rnacentral:lncRNA from 1 species
AUCCGUCUCAAAAUCUUGGAAGAAAGAGCGCGCUGCUAAGACUUGAAAGUACUGCUCUCCUACAAGCUCCAUAUCUCCACCUGAAGUCUCCUUGAGGUAACCUUGAGCCAUCCACAUCUUCACCAAUUCAUAUUUUCCCAUCUCGUAGUCUUUUGGAAACAUGGCACAAUACAAGAAACAUCGUCUUACCACAGAAGGUAAAUCAUAGUAACUCAAAAGCAAAGGUAUAAAUAUUUGUCUUUCAACCUGAUCUCUAUCAACCUCAUCUAGCCUCCACAAUUCGCUAGAUAAAACACGCUCCCACUCUUCUCUUGUUAUUUUAGACUGCAUUAGACCUCCUAAUACCUUGGCAGCUAGAGGCAAGCCCUUGCACUUGUUUGCAAUUUUAUCGCCGAUAUCUGUCAAUCUUUCGCGCUCAUCUUUGCUUCUUUCCUGGAAUGCCACAUGAUUGAAUAUUGACCUGCAUAUCUUAUCAGACAAUUUCUCAAUGUUGAUCCGGUGGUCAGUUCCCAUCAUCGUUGCCACAGCGUCCUUACGAGUGGUCACUAGAAUUCUGCUUCCAGGUGCACCGCCUUUGAGAGAUAGUUUCAGUGGUUCCCACUGUCCAUGAUUUUCUGUCCAGACAUCAUCUAGGACAAGAAGGAACCUCUUUCCCUUAAUGGAUUCAGAAACCCUUUGCAUAAGGGAUUGCAAUUCAACCAAAUCGGGUGCCCUCCCUUCAAGCUGCUCAAGGAUACCUUUGGCUAUUCUAACCUCAUCAAAUGGUUCUGAAACACACACCCAUAUCUUUUUCUCAAAAUGAGCCGUAACCUCAGCAUCAUUAAAAGCUAGUUGUGAAAAGAAUGAUAUCUUUUGUAUUAUGUUACAGAGUAAACAAAGGUUACAAUUUAUACUAAUGGCUUGAUACAAAGAGCCUACAUUAAAGCCUACGAUCAGACCUAAUUAUCACAGAAUAAGGAAACAAAUAAGUGAAGAUUCAAUUACAGUAUUUGACAGACUUGAUUUCCUAUUCUGUGAUUGAUUUCCUAUGCUGUGCUUGGUUUCCUUUAACACUCCUCCUCAAGUUGGAGUGUAUGUUAAUUACACCCAACUUGCUAAGUAAGGUCUCAAACUGUGUGGAGCUUAAUGGUUUAGUAAACAAGUCAGCCGGUUGGUUUGUAGUCCGUAUGUAGGUUGUUUGAAUCAUUCCUGCUUGAAUUUUCUCACGUAUCAAAUGACAGUCUAUUUCUAUGUGCUUGGUUCGCUCAUGAAAGACUGGAUUCGAUGCUAUGUGCAUUGCUGCUUGGUUAUCACAAAAUUAAGGUUACCGGUUGUGUGUGAUUUAUCUGCAAGUCCUUCAAAAUAUUUUUCAGCCAUGUAAUUUCGCAGCAUGUAGUAGCCAUGGAGCGAUAUUCUGCCUCUGCACUUGAACGUGAUAUUGUUGUCUGUUUCUUACUCCUCCAUGAAACUGGUGCUUCUCCAAGUAAAAUGCAGUAACCAGUAACUGAUCUUCUUGUGUCCUUACAACGAGCCCAAUCAGCAUCAUAAAAUGCUCGUAACUGAAGUGAACCUGUGGACGGCAAAAAGAUGCCUUGCCCAGGUGUUUGUUUGAUAUAUUUGAGCACUUUAUAAGCUGCAUCCAGGUGUGGUUGGCGGGGCUUAUCCAUGAACUGACUAAGGAUGUGCACAGCAUAAGUCAAGUCUGGUCUAGUUAUUGUAAGAUAGAGUAACCUGCCAACUAACCUCCUGUAUGUUGAUCCAUCUUCCAAAAGCUUUCCAUCGGAUUGUGUUAGAGACACAUUUUGCUCCAAAGGAAACCGAGAUGGCUUGACACCCAAAAACCCUGCAUCAUCCAAAAUCUCGAGUGCAUAUUUUCUCUGUGACAAACUAAUGCCAUGUCGUGAUUUGGCAACCUCGAUGCCAAGGAAGUAUUUAAGUUGCCCCAAGUCCUUAAGUUUGAAUUGUUUGGACAAGAAGAGUUUGGUGUUCUCUAUGUCCUGCAAAUUAUUCCCAGCUAAUAUCACAUCAUCAACAUAUAUCAGUAAUGCUAGAAAGUUACCAUGCUGGCUUCGGACGAACAAGGAAUAAUCAGAUAGGGACUGAUGGAAUCCUGCAGCCUUGAGUGCACCGGACAGUUUGAUAAACCACUGUCUAGAGGCUUGUUUUAAGCCAUACAGGGAUUUAUGAAGUUUGCAAACGCGUGUCUCCCCCUUUCAUCCGAAGCCAGGAGGCAAAGUCAUGUAGACGUCCUCAUCCAAGUCACCAUGCAAGAAUGCAUUGUUGACAUCAAGCUGAUGUAAAUGCCAACCACGCAAAGCUGCCACACUAAGUAAGAGGCGGACAUUGACCAUCUUGGCUACGGGAGCAAAGGUUUCCUGAUAAUCAACACCUGCAACUUGGCUGUAGCCCUUGGCCACCAGUCGUGCCUUAUAGCGUUCCACUGUCCCAUCAGCUUUCAACUUGAUUUUGUAUACCCAUUUGCAGCCGAUCGGCCGUUUGUGGGAUGGUAAAGGUACCAAACUCCAAGUCUCAGUGGCCUGUAAAGCAGAUAUCUCAUGGUGCAUGGCCUCACGCCACUGAGGAUGUUGAACAGCCUGUGAAAAACUGGUAGGUUCUUUGAGGAGAGUGAGUUGAGCAGUAUAAGCUUUGUGAUGAGGAGAAAGGUGAGUGUAAGAUAAAUAGGCAGAGAGGGGAUAAGCAGUACCUGAAGUGUGAACCAUGUUCGUGGAUGAUGUCGGGUCAGGCCUUGAAGGGAGAGUCAUGGCGAGAUGGAAAUCCUGCAAGUAAGAAGGAGUGGUGAUAGAACGACUGCCACGACGAAGAGUAGGAAUGGGCACAGGUGAGGAGGUGUUCAGUAUGGGAGAAAAAUCGGGUAGUGGACUAUCAGUAGGACUGGCUGAAUGUGGGGACUCUGUGAGAGGAGCUAGAGGAGUGGAUGAGGUGGUGGAUGGAUGGGUCUGGGAAUUGGGUGAGCUAGGAAAGGUAGGAUUGGGAAGCAGAGAAGGGGGUUCAAAGUGUAUGUCGAAAGGUAUGGAUGGAGUGGGAGUGGGCGUGGGAGGUGAUAAUGAUGGGAUAUUGGUAUGUGAUGCAGAUGUAAUAAAGGGAAAUGUAGAUUCAAAGAAGACGACAUCCCUAGAGACAAGUGUUCGUUGUGUAGCUAGAUCAAAAACUCUAUACCCCUUUUUCCCAUAAGGAUAGCCAAGAAAAAUACACUGAGAUGCUCGAGGAUCAAAUUUUGAGCGAUUUUGGGCAUGGGUGGAAACAAAAAAUAAGCAACCAAAUACUCGUAAGUGUGAGUAAUUGGGAACUUUGUUGAAGAGUUUUUCAUAUGGUGUUUUUCCAUGGAGAAUGGGGGUUGGUGUUCGAUUUAUGAGAUAAGCGGAAGCAAGAAUAGCGUCACCCCAAAAUUGGUGAGGAAGGUCGGCUUGAAGAAGUAAAGCACGUGCCAUAUUUAACAAAUGCCUAUGUUUGCGUUCGGCAACGCCAUUUUGUUGUGGAGUAUUAAUGCAACUGGUUUGAUGAAUAAUACCUUUGUGAGCGUAAAAGCUGUCAAGUUUGAAUUCAAGACCAUUAUCACUACGAAUCAUUUUGACUUUGGAAUCAAAUUGGUUUUCAGCCAUGUUGAUGAAAUUGACUAGAAGACCCCUAGUGUCAGAUUUGUGUUUCAUAAGAUAAAUCCAUGUGCAUCUAGUAUGAUCAUCAACGAUAGUAAGAAAAUAUUUGGCACCUGAAAUAGAAGGAAUUUUAUAACCACCCCAAAUGUCAACAUGGAUUAAAUCAAAUGAAGAUAUGGUAGUAAUGGAACUUGAAGAAAAUGGAAGUCUGGUUUGUUUUGCUAACGGACAAAUACAACACUUGUCGUUAGAGCAAGAAUUAACUUUAGGAAAUAAUGGAGAGACUUUGGUUGAGGGAUGCCCAAGACGUUGAUGCCAAAGGUUCGGGUUAGAAUUUUUGGCAUGGUUGCAGGUUCCUUUCUUGGCUUGGUCGAGAAAGUAGAGACCCUCCCGUUCAAUUCCCGUCCCAAUCAUCUUCCCCGAACGUAGGUCCUGAAUCACACAAAAUUGGCUUAGAAAAAUGGUGAUGCAAGAAGAAUCAAAUGCUAGUUUGCUAAUGGAAAUUAAAUUCAAUCGGAAAUAUAGGACACAUAAGACAUUAUCAAGGAUCAAAUCAGGAGAUAGAUGAACUCUGCCUAUGUGAGUUACUUGUGCUAUUGAUCCAUUCGGUAAUUCAACAGUGCGGCCAUUAACCGGUCUUGAGUAUGUGAGCAGAUUUUGGUCAUAAAUCAUAUGAUCUGUGCACCCACUAUCCAAAAUCCAUGUACUUCUGUUGCCAUUAGAGAAGAGUGAAAAAGCUUUACCUGAGAGCUCAUCAUGAGUUGGACAGUUACUAACAUGGUUGGCAGAGGAUGUUUUGGUUUUUAACAUGCUGAGUAUCUGUUUGCACUCGUCAGGUGUGAAAGGAAAAUUCAUCUCCUUCCUCUCAUUCGUAUGGGAUGCAACUUGAUUUCCCUUGGAAAUCGCCAUAUUAAAUUCAGCUUCAGUUACUGCUUUCUUCUUGCGACAAUACUCGGCUGUAUGUCCCUUCCAGCGGCAGAAAGUGCAUCUGAGAUGUGCACGACAAUCCUUGGUGUUGUGAUUUGUUCUAUUGCAUCUUGAGCAUCUCUGUUCAGUUUCAGUCUCAUGGCUUAAAUUCUUUACGGCAAAGGCAUCAGCCUCUGGUUGAGCAGGACUUUUCCCAGUUGUCACUUCUGAUUGUUUUUCAUGACGAAGAACCAGUGAGUAUGCCUUGUUGAUUGUUGGUAAUGGAUCCUGCAACAGAGUGUUGCUACGAACACCCACAUAUGAAUCACUAAGACCCAUGAGAAAUUUCAUGGUUUUCUGUGUGUCCAGGUAUGCAGCCACUUCCUUGACUGAUCCACAAGUGCAUGUUGGAAAGGUGCAUAGUGCAUCACGCUCAUCCCAUAAACCUUUCAGUUUUGUGAAGUAGGAUCCCACAGACAUGCUGCCCUGCACACAGUUGUGAAUUUCAUUCUCAAUGUUAAAUAACUGAACCACAUUCACAUGUGAGAAUCUUUCCUUUAAAUCAAGCCACAUUUGUCUGGCAUCCUUGCAGUUGAUGACGCUAGCUGCAAUAUCUUUGGACAUAGAUCCCAGCAGCCAAGUUUUAACCAAACUGUUGCACCGAUUCCAUUGUUGAUGCUCAUCUGGUUUCUUCUCAUCAGGCUCCUUCAUUGAGCCAUCUAUAAAUCCAAUCUUGUUUUUAACUGUCAGAGCCAUAGUCAUGGAUUGGCUCCAUGUGCUGUAGUUGUCUUCAACCAAAGGUUGUGGCACAAGAACAGCGCCAGGUUGAUCUGAAUGGUGAAGGUAAAGCUGGUGAUUGGGAUGAUCCCAUCUUGCUCCUGAAGACAUGCUUCCUUGGUUUUCGUUUCCCAUGGAAGUUGGCUAAAGGGUUUAUGUUUUAUUUUGAUACCUAGAUUAAUUGCUCUGAUACCAUGAAAAGAAUGAUAUCUUUUGUAUUAUGUUACAGAGUAAACAAAGGUUACAAUUUAUACUAAUGGCUUGAUACAAAGAGCCUACAUUAAAGCCUACGAUCAGACCUAAUUAUCACAGAAUAAGGAAACAAAUAAGUGAAGAUUCAAUUACAGUAUUUGACAGACUUGAUUUCCUAUUCUGUGAUUGAUUUCCUAUGCUGUGCUUGGUUUCCUUUAACAAGUUGGGCGAGAGUUGUUUUUCCAAUUCCGCCCAGCCCUACUACAGAGAUGACAUCCACGUCCCGUGCUUCUUGACUACUUUCAGCCAGCAACUUGCUUACAACAUUUCUCUUUUCACCAUCUCGACCAAUCACACUUGAUUCAUCAACAAAGGAGGUAGUUGUUAGCCGCUGGAGUUCAUCAGUGGCUUUGUACAGAUCAAAGCCAUACUUAGCUCUCUCUUUGGCAAUGUCAUCCACUUUUUCACUAACUUCUUUGAUCUUCCGGGCAAUGUCGCGACGUCGAACCACUUGAUUGAAACAAAAGCAAGGAGAUCCCAGGAAGGAACACCGUAUCUUCUGUCGGCUGUGAGUAUUUUCAGCUUCCUCCAUUUUCCAUCGAAGAAUUGCAGUGCUCCAUUCAUCUAGCACGUCAUCCAUAUCAUAACAUGCAUCUUUGAGCUUGUCUAGCCAAUCUCUUACAGCCUUAUCCCUCACUUGUUUUCUAUCUGCAUCUUCAAGGACAGAUUGGAUAUCAAGGAGAUUGCUUUUCAGCUUGUCACAUUGUUUCUUCACAUCCACUACUAGGUUCACCUCUUCUUGUACCUAUUAGUGUACAGAUGAAAAGAAACGUUAAGCAUAGGAAACAUUUCUAUGAUUUCAAUACAAAUUCUUAAUUUUUAGCAAUUAAUAGAUUAAAUCAUUUUUAUUAAACUUUUUCACAGUAGCAAUUAAUAUAUUUAUAUUGUUAAUUAUAUUCAAAUUAUAUAUAAUAACUCUCUAAAAUAAAAUGACUCGUAAAUAAUGUAAUGCUAAGCCACUAUUAUUGCACUAAAAUUUACUAGAUGCGUGAAUUAAAAUAUAUUUUAUUUGAAUAAAGGAUUUCUUUAGAUAAAAAGAUAGAAUUCAUAGAUAUUAUAAUUGUGGAGCGCAAUAUAUACAUUGCAAUUUCACAAUAUUUUUAGGUGACUUUUAAUAAUUAUCAUAGUCUAUUUUUUAAAAUAUUCUGUGAGGUUGAUCAAAAUAAAAAAGAAAUAUUAAUUAGAAUUUCUAUAAUCAUGUUUGUAAUCGAAUAUUUGACUAUAUUUAUUUUAAUCAUUUUAUCAUACUAAUUUUAUUUCAAAUAUAGUUAUUUAUGCAUUCAAAUAUGAUAAGGAAUUAUUAAAAAAGGAAUUUACUACUAUUUUACUAUAUUGAUUUGUUCUAACCAGCCAUCACAAUAACCAUAUUUUGUAUAGCACAAAAGAUAUAAAUAAAAAGAAAGAGAAUCGUAAGAACCCGCUAUCUUGUAAAAAUAAUAUACAUACAUACAUACAUACAUAUAUAUAUAUAUAUAUAUAUAUAUAUAUAUAUAUAUUAACUAAUUUAUUUGAUCACAUGCAAUGUGAUAAUAUAUAAAUCAAGCUACUGAUUUAGCUUCUGACAAAUUAACAGAUAUUCUAUAAGAUAAUGAAAUCAAUGUAUAAUGAACUAUAAAUGUUAGGUUAAUUGCAAAAUUGUAGAAAAGUAAUUAAGUACCUGUUGAUUAUAAAAAAAAGAAAAAAAAAAAAGAAACAAACAAAAAAGAGUACCUGUCGAGCAACGAUCGUGGUUAACUGCUCCAAAAUUGGGGAUACAAGUGCGUCAGCCAUUGUUGUUCUUACUACUGAAUGUGUCAAGAAAAAGGAGAGAAAGUAAUGGGGCGUUGUUGACUGAUGAAAUGAGAAGUUGAUGAAGAUAGGAAGGAUAGUGAUCUACUCUGUGGAGUGCCAGAGAAAAUUAAUUUGAGGUUAUUCUCCAUGAAGUUUAGGCAAUAUAUACUGCAAAUUAAGAUCAUUUGCUUAAGACUGGGGUUAGAGUAUGAUUCUGAACUUCAGUAUAAAGCAACUAAUUUCCUUCAAGGUUGAUGCAAGCAAAGAAUGUUACUGAAACAAUGAGAAAAUAUGUGUAACAAGGAAAAGGAAAAGGCAAAGGCAAAGGCAAGUCUAGAAUUAGCCAUUGCUUCACUUUGGGUUCAAGUAUAAUGCAUCAGUCAUUUUUUUAUUUGCAUGGUUAUGGUUAUAAGAUCACGGUAAUUCUGUAAAAAAUAAAUUAAAAUAAAUUAUUUUAGAAAUAAGUUUCUUGUUGUAAUUAAAUUGCAAAAAAUAGUUAGGAUAAAAUUUAAGAUAAAUCCUAGGGAACACAUUCAAAAUGCACUGUGUACUGGAUUCUCAAUGUUCAUUUUACAGUUUGACAAGAGAAUCUUUCCUUCACUUUCACUUGCACGAUCUUUUUUUUAUCUUCUUUUUUUUUCAAAACUUACAAUCUUUUUUUUUCCCAGAUCUUUUUUCACUGUGUACCCAUUAUUUGUUUGGUUUACGAUGCUUUUUUUUUAAUACCUUAUAAGUGCCAAAAUUACCAACACCAUCAAUAGCAUAAUUUUUUUGCCUUAAUUUUAACUGCAAAACAGCUACCUUACCGCCCCAGCAAACGAGAACGAAAAAGCUCACCAAGAUGCUCUCUUUGAAAAGAUUCUCAAUGAGUCACUGACAUUUACUCUCAUUGUUUAAAAAAGUUAGGGUAAAGUUGAAAGAUAAAAUUAAAAAAAAAAUUAUUGAUUAAAAAAACAUUAUUAUAAUGAAUAGUUCUUUUAUGAUGAGGGGUAUUGUAAAAUCCUCUCCUCUUUUGGUGUCUACUAGUUAUGUGAAUUGUGCUUCACUUCAGGUCAAGUAUUUUUAAUUUUUUAUAAAAAAGGUUGUAUAUGCAGAUUUUUUCAACGUAUUUUUGUACUUUAAAAAAUUUAAGUGUAUAUCAAAAAAUUUAUGCACACAUUUAAUCAAAUAAAUUGAGAAUUAUAUAUGUUAAUAAACAAAUAAAUAAUCAUUAACGACACCUAAAAAUAAAACUUAAAAAAUUGAGAGACAAAUAUAGAUCAAUAUAUUUAAUUUCGCAAAAUAAGAUAUUUACCCGAUCAUGUUUGCUAAAUUUUUUAUUAAAAAAAUUUCUAAUUUAAUCAAAUGAUAAUAAAAUAGAUAAACAUAUUAAAUUGAUUGAAUAAAAUAAAAAGAAAAUAUGAAUAAUAUGCAAGGCUACACAUAUUAGAAAUAUCAUAUAAAAUAAAUAUUUUUUAUUUUCAAAAAUAUAGUUCACCUAUGCAAAAGAUAAAAAAAUUAUAGAUAGAUUAGAAAAAACCUCUUUAAAAAUUAAACAUAUAAUCAAAAAAAUCACCAUUAUUUAGAAGAGGUUAUCUAAACAAAAUAAAAAAGAAAGAAAGGGUGGAUAGUGAUCUACCGUGGAGCGCAAGAGAAAAUUAAUUUGAGGUUAUUAUCAAUGAAGUUUAGGCAAUGGCGCAAAUUAAGGUCAAAUUGGAUGUUUUGCACUUUGGAUAAUGAUAUUAAUUUUUGGUGUUUGGUGAUAGAUUUCUUGUUGUGAAAUAGUUAUGGUAAAAUUUAAGAUAAAUCCUAGUGAACACGUCUUGUUGUGAAAUAGUUAUGAUAGACUCUCAAUGUUCAUUUUAGAGUUCCACAAGAGAAUCUUUCCGUCACUUUCACUUACUGCAAAACAGAGCUAUCAAUUUAAAAAUAUAUAAUUGCUCAAAUCAAGAAAUCAAUCUCAAUAAAUAAUAAUGUUUUAUGGCAACAACAGAUAAUAAAUAUUAUAUAAAUUACUAAGAAGUACUAUCAAUUUAAUAUUAAUAAUUUGAAUAUUUAUACUACUCCUCUGCAGCAUAUGAGAUAGUAAGUGAUAGAAUGGUCCCACUCCCCAUGUUAUGGUUUAUAUUUUGCUUUAAACAGAGUAUAGUUGUACUAAAAAUACACCCCUUUCCCGAAAGGAAGGGGAAGAACACAAUCAAGGGAUUUCUUGUUGUUUGACUUCUCAUGUUUCUCUCCCACCACGGGCAACUGUUUAUUUUCGCCAAGGUGAAUUGAGGCUUCAAGUAGAAGAAAUUAUUUACUGGUUAGAAACUUGGUCGAUUUCACUGUUGUCUUUGAGACAAAUGAAACUGAGGUUUUUGGUUUGCAAUUUGGGCAGAUAAGGAUAAUCCUUAUUGUUUGGUGUUUGAGAAUUUAAUUGGUGCUAAAUUUCUUGUUGUAAAUUGCAGAAAAUAGUCAGGGUAAAAAUUUAAGAUGAAUGCUAGGGAACACAUCUUCCCAAAAUGCACUGGGUUCUGGAUUCUCAAUGAAUGUUCAUCUUACAGUUUGACAAGAGAAUCUUUCCUUCGCUUGCACUAUCUUUUUGUUUGUUUGCCCGAUGCAUGAUUUUUUUACCAAAUAAGGAUAAUCCUCAUUUUUCCUUGAUAAAUUCUAACUACAAAACAGCUACUUCACCAACAAGAUGGAAAAGGCUCGCCAAGAUGUUCUCUUUGAAAAGAUUCUCAGUGAGUCGUUGACAUCUCAUUUUUGGAAUUUCUCCAAUAGCUUGAUGUCUACUCUCACUAUAUUGAGUAGGAUGACUGUAUAGAAUUACUCUGAUUUAUCAACACAUAUCAAAUUCUUGCUGCUGCUGAGGAAGAUAUCUGCACUUAGCCAUCAUAGAGGGUAGCGAAUUUUGUGUUGAUGGAAAUUACACUGACUCAUUGUGUACCAUCUAGAAUUCAAUUUUAAAAAAUAUUGCAAGAAAUGAUGUUUUUUCCUAAAUACAUCAUUCGGGUGUGGAUAGCUUGAUUAAAAUGCGACUCACUAAAAAGUCUUGGUCUUAAUAUGCAAAGAUGAUCCUAGUAUACCAUAUUUCUUUUAAAAUAAAACCCACAGAUCUAGUCCACGCAAAGGUACUGGAAUAUGGAUUUGUAAAAAAUAAAAAUGAAAAUUUAUACGAAAUUGAAUUGUGCUAAAAAAACCCACAGAUCUAGUCCAUGAUCUACGGCUCCUCCAGAGUUCCGUAGUGGUGUCUUUCUCAACUAUUCUUUAAAUAAAAUGUUUGGGAUGUGAGAAAUCUUGUGCCUAUCUUCACCCCUCCCCUCCUUCCCGUAACGUUUCCUUAGAGAAUUUAUGUAGAGGCGCUGUCAAAACAUAGGCCGGUAGUGCUCUCAACAAUGGGCAUUUGAGAAUUCUAAACUCAACAAGUUGUGGCAUGAUGAAUAUUGAAGUCAUGGUGGAAUCUUCUUCUCCCACUCUCCUUUCAAUCCCAUCCCACUCCUCUAGUUCUUUGAGAUGCCAUAUGCUAAGUUUUUUCAAUUUGGGGAAAGCAGGGACUCUUGCAAUUUCUCCUUCAUUAAUAUUGGUAUUGCCAACAUUUUCUUUGCCUAAAAAUCCACCAUCCAACCUUCUCAGCUUCAUGCUCAUCCAUCUGAAAAUCUUGGAAGAAACAACGUGCUACUAAGACUUGAAAAUACUCCUCUCCAACAAGCUCCAUACCUCUACUUGGAGUCUCCUUAAGAUAACCUUGAGCCAUCCACAUCUUCACCAACUGGUCUUUUUCCAUCUCGUAGUCUUUUGGAAACACCGUCUUGCCACAGAAGGUAAAUCGUAGUAACUCAAAAGCUGAGGUGGAAAUAGUGCUAUUUCAACAUGUUCUAACUCCCACAGUUCGCUAGAUAAAACAUGUUCCCACUCUUCUCUUGUUCUUUUACACUGCACUAGACCUCCUAAUACCUUGGCAGCUGGAGACAAGCCCUUGCACUUGCUUGCAAUUUUGCCGCCUAUUUCUGUCAAUCUUUCGCGCUCAUCUUUGAGUUUUUUUUAUUGGAAUGCCACCUGAUUGAAUAUUGACAUCCAUACCUCAUCAGAUACUCUCUCAAGGUUGAUCCAGUGGUCCGUUCCCAUCAUUGUUGCUAUAGCAUGUUUACGAGUGGUCACUAGAAUUCUGCUUCCAGGUGCACCGCCUUUGAGAGAUAGUUUCAGUGGUUCCCAUUGUCCAUGACUUUCUGUCCAUACAUCAUCAAGGACAAGAAGGAACUUCUUUCCCUUCAUUGAUUCAGAAACACUUUGCAAAAGGGAUUCCAAUUAAACUAAACACUUUCCCUCAAGGAUAGCUUUUGCUAUUCUAACCUUAUCAAAUGGAUCUGAUACACACACCCAUAUCUUUUUCUCAAAAUGAGCCGUAACCUCAGCAUCAUCAAAAGCUAGUUGGGCGAGAGUUGUCUUUCCAAUCCCGCCCAUCCCUACUAUAGAGAUGACCUCCACGUCCCCUGCUUCCUGAAUACUUUCGCCCAGCAACUUGCUUACUAAAGCUUCCCUUUCCUCAUCUCGACCACUCACGAUUGAUUCAUCAACAAGGGAGGUACUUGUUAUUCGUUAGAGUUCAUCAGUGGCUCUGUACAGCUCAAAGCCAAACAUUGCUCUCUCUUUGGCAAUCUCAUCCACUUUCUCACAUACUUCUUUGAUCUUGAGGGCAAUGUCGCGACGUCGAGCCACUUGAGUGAGACAAAAGCAAGGAGAUCCCAGGAAGGAACAUCGUAUCUGCUGUAGGCUGUGAUUAUUUUCUUCAGCAUCCCUCAUUUUUCAUGUAAGAAUUGCAGAGCUCCAUUCAUCUAGCACAUCAUCGAUAUCAUAGCAUACAUCUUUGAGCUUGUCUAGCCAAUCUCUUGCAACCUUAUCCUUCACUUGCUUUCUAUCUGCAUCUUCAAGGACAGAUUGGAUAGCAAGGAGAUUGCUUUUCAGCUUGUCGACUUGUUUCUGCACACCCCCUACUAGGUUCACCUCUUCCUGUACCUAUUGGUGUAGAAAAGAUAAGAAAGUUGAAGCAGAGGAAACAUUUCUAUGAUUUCUUUACAAGUUUUUAAUUUUAAUUUUUGGUAAUGAAUAGAUUAGCAGUAGUUGACACGUACUGCGAAAUGGAUUGGCUAUAUUAAUAAUUUAUACAUAAAAUAUUUAUUAAAAACCUAUAUAUUAAAAAUAAUAAUAUUUCUUUUUUGUUAUCAUCAUGAUGAUACCUGUCUGCACUCUUCCACUACAAAGAAAUAUAUAAAAGGAAUAAAAGGAAAGUGAAUAAAAGGAUCUGUAUUUGUUGGUAUUUGUAAAGUCCAUUGACAACUCAUUCUUUUUCCUUCUAAAGAUGUUUGAUUUGAGUAUUUGAGAUUUUAUUUUGUUUUUCUUAAAGGGAAGAAAAAAAGACUUCAUUUUUAUGUUUCUUAUUCAUGGUAGGUUAAUUAGGUCAUUGCAAAUUGUAUAAAAGCAAGUACCUGUUGAGCAACGAUCCUCGUUAACUGCUCCAAAAUUGGUGAUAAAAGUGCCUCUGCCAUUUGCCUGUUUAGUUUAAUUUUAUUUUAUUUUUAAAAAAGAGACAAUGAUGAGAGGAUGAACUGAGAGAGAGAGAGAGAAGAGAGUGUGAGGGGAAGGAGGCUGCUGGUUGUGAAAUGAAGAGAGAGGGUUAGUUUAUGUACUUGGGCCUUGGGGUUUGCUGAUGAGGGUUAAAGUUUUUUUUAGUCCCUGUAUGAUUUUUAACAUUUCAAUUUAGCCCCUAUAUUAUUGGACUUCUCAGUCUAGUCUCGGUCAGGGGUUACAUACUGAAAUGUAUCUGAUAUGGACACUGAUUAUAGCAUUAUACUGAAAUCCUUUCUUCUUCUUCUUCUUCUUUUUUUUUUUUUUUCACUCCUUUAUUAACGUGAUUUAAGGCACUUCUUUCGUUGUCUUUUUCUACUUUUUCAUAAUUUAAGGUACUUCUUUCUUGUUUUAGCUAGAAACAUAAUGCAAGACAAUUAGAAAAACAAAGGAAGAGUGUUUUCAAGAUUCAGGAAUCCGAGAGUGAAGAGCUGACAUGCAGAUGCAGGAACAUAGGAAGAGAGUUGUUUGGUUAUUAAAAUAAGGGCUAAGGUUAUGAAAUCUGGAAAUUGAAAGUCAGAUCUAAAUUACAGAGGAAAUCAGCUAACACCACCGGCGAAGUGAAUUCUUGCAUGACAGCAGCAGUUUCCCUCACAAGUUGUCUGACAGGAAUUGGUUCCUACAACCAUAAAAAUUCACAAGUUAGAACCUUCACGAUUUAACUCUUGGAUUUCACGCUAGAUUCAGCAGCGGUUGGGGUCAGAAUGACAUUGUUGGGAAGAAGACAACUAACAACAAGUCUUGUGAUACAGACAACCUCAAUAAGUACUUUCCAGAUGUAUUAUCUUAACCAGGUCAUCAAGCAUUAGAGGAAUUAUGUACAUGAGUUUGUUUAGAGACAUCAAAAGGAUGCCCAUACACCAUUCAUAAGAUAAGCCAUGGAAAUUUAACAACCUUAUCACUUAUCAGUGAAAUUAAAAGAAGAGCUGAAGAACAAACGUGGAGUUUUAUAUAACUAUAUUAUUUGAUAGUUUUAUCUAUAUUUAUCUAAUAUUUUAAAUAUGUUUUAUAUAUAAAAUAUCUUGAUAUUUUUUGUUUUAUAUCUUGAUAUUUUUUGUUUUAUAUUUUAAAAACACUUUUGAAUAUAAAAUUAAAAAAGAAGUAAAUUGAAGAUAAUUAACAGAUUUGAUCUCCAAUCAAUGAGAUUCAACUCUAGAAGUCGAAACGAAGUGAUUUCAAGGGCAUUAAAAAUCCAACAUCCAUACCUUUCUAUAUAUAUACGGCAAAAAAAAUAAAAAGAGAAAGAGCAUCGAGAUCGCAGCUUUCAAAGACAAAUCUGGCAUUUUAUCAGUGUUGAUCUUUGAUCAUUCUAACUUGAAUAUCUUGAGUUAGAGAAGUUUAUUUGAUGCAAACUCAAUUUUAUUGGAUUCCUGACUCAAAGAUCUAUCAUCAUACCAAAGUUCAGCAUAAAAAGAGCUCAUAUGAGAGAAAUAUAAUUUUUUCUAAGAUGCCACAUGAAUUCUACCAGUAGACAAGUUUUAUGAAGAAAUAAGUACAAAUUAAAUCCCAAAGCAUUCAAACCGACAUCCAAAUCUUUAUUUCGGCAAUUUAACUUCUCAAAGUCAAAAGUCAAAACUUGAAGAAAUUAUGCAAUACAAACACAAUUCUAAACAAAUAUAAUUUCAAAAUUUAAAAUAUUUCUAAGUAGUCAAAAUAGAUUUUUAACUUAAAGUAAUUCAAUUUAAACAAAAUAUCAAAAUAUUUUGAAAGUAAAAUAUUUUAACAAAAAUAUUUUAAAUAUAAAGUUAGGUCAAUGUUAUCAAGGCUAAUGGAAUCUAAAGUAUCCCUUAUUUUGCUCAAAUUCCUACAAAGUAUAAACAUAUAUAUAUAUAUAUAUAUAAACAUGAAUAUAAACCAUAUAUAUUAGUGAUAAAUCCAAUUUUAAAAAAUUAAUAUCAUUGUUAAUAAAAUAGUAAUAAUAAUUUUCAAUAUUAUUAUUAAUAUCAUUGUUAUUGAAAAUAGUAAUGAAAAAAAGCUUUUUAUUAUUAGGCAGUUUAAUUAAUUAAAUUGAACAAGGUUCAAUUUAAUUCAAUGACUUUUUAAGAACGGAACAUAACAUGUGGAAUGAAACCGGAACGUUCCGGGCGGAAUUUAGCUGAAAAAUCCGGAACGGACCGAGAUUUAAAAUGAGAUGAAAUUUGUUCCGUUUUGUUCUGUUUUUUGAAUUGGUAUGAAAUGUUUCGGCCCUGAUGAAACGAAAUGGAAUUGACAAUCUUGCUUCUAGAGAUAUCUUUAAGAGAGAGAGAGAGAGAGAUUACAAGUCAACAAUAAAUGAUUACAAAUGAUUUCAAUCCAAUUACAGUAAAGAGGUAUAUGAAACAUUAGGUGCAUAAACACAACAUUGAAUGAAAUCCUCCACGUAAACACCAAAGCAAACAAUUAAUACACUCAGAAUCAAAACGGAAGCCACUCUGUAGUAGCUCUUUAGUAUCUUCAAAGCCCAAGCUGUCAAACACACACCAAAAGCAUACGUGUCAUCACCAAAACAAUCCAAUGGAUGCCCUUCGAUUUGAUUCCAAAAAUAUUAUAACUUGGAAAAUCUUCAGAUGCACAUGUUAAAUAUAUCAUGUAAUGGUAAACAAGAAUUAGUAAAUAAAAAACAAAGUUAAUUAAUUUGUAUCUUUCUCCUCAUCCACUAACUCUUGCUUCUUUUUUUCCCAUGAAAAAACGGAGAGCCGAAAAUAGAUUUGUUAAAAAUUAAAAUUAUAAUCUCUACGCUAAUAAUUAUAAUAGUAAAAUCUUUUACAGUUAAGAAGUAACACUGGUAGUAGAAUUUACCUGUUAAUUCCUGUCGGUCCUACAGACUUCCGUAGAGGUCUUAACUAUAAAUAGAAAUGUUUGGGAUGCGAGAAAUCUUUUGCCAAUCUUCACCCAUCUCCUCCUUCCCGUAACGUUUCCUUAGAUUGCGGCAACCACUUAUGUCCAAUCCUGUAGAGGCGCUGCCAAAACAUAGUCUGGUAGUGCUCUCAACAACGGGCAAUAUCAAUAUCAACUCUCGAAGUUGUGGCAUAAUGGAUAUUAUUGAAGUUGUGUUGGCAUCUUCUUCUCCCACUCUCCUUCAAUUCCAUCCCACUCUUCUACUUCUUGAGAUCCAAAUAUAAGUUUUUUAAUUUGGGGAAAGCAGUGACCCUUGCAAUUUCUCCUUCAUUAAUACUGGCAUUCUCAUCUUUUUCUAUACCUAAAAAUCCAGCAUCCAGCCUUCUCACCUUCACCCAUCAAUACCAGGCUUUCAAGGUUGGGCAAUCUUCCCAACGGAGGCAAGACCUCCACGUUUUCACAAUCACAGUUAAGCCCUGUAAUCUGGUUAAUGUCAUCAUCCAAUUUGGCAAUCCAACCCUCCGUACUAUAUGGUUAGAUUUCCAAGUCUGACGGAGGCUGUAAAGCUUCAAUUAAAGAGCCUUCAUUCGCUUGCAACUCUGUUAUCUCUCUGUCGAAAAACAAUCCCAAACAACGCAGGCGUUUCUUAUUCUUGAGUUGUGCUUCUGCAGCGUCACUCGCAUCUUCUUUACCGACUCCUAGAUUCUGUAUCUGAAGACUACCUCCAAUGUGAUUUAAGUUUUUUAAUUCUCUCAGAUUAGCUGCUUUACUUCCAUUCUCACCACCACCACACACAGUAAACCGAUCUAAUGUUCGAAGACAUGUUAUCCUCUCUAUUCCCUUUGGUAUGAAGGCCACUUCUGAACCAUAAAUCCGGAGAUGCCUCAAUUUGAUAAGUUUUCCAAUAGCCUUGGGCAAUUCCUUGAGAGACCGACACCAAGUAACAUCUAGGGAUUGCAGAUUGCAUAAAUCACACAUGGUUUCUGGCAGGGAUUCCAACUGAAAACAAGAUGCCAGAUUGAGGUGUCUCAAAUGUAUCAAUUUCCCUACCUCGUUUGGUAUUUCUUUGAUUGAAGACCCUGACAAAUUCAAUGACCUGAUGCAUGUCAACUGCUUGAACAAAUCAGGCAGUGCAGCUCCAAGCGAAGGGUCUCUAGUGUCGAACAAUAGGCUGCGAAGACCUUUUGCUUUGUGAAUGGACACGGGAAAAGAGGUCUCCUCUGACAGCAUCAUGCUUAAAUGACGAACCCUUUCAAUUGAAGUCUCCACUGUUGCUUCUCCAAGUGUAUUGACAUCCACUGUUAGACAUUCAUUUUUUGUCAUAUAUUGGGCAAAAUCAUGCACUAUAUCAUGCAUCUUGAAUCUAAUAUGUUCUCGAUCAUACGUCUUAAAAUCUUGGAAGAAAGAGCGCGCUGCCAAGACUUGAAAGUAAUCCUCCCCAACAAGCUCCAUGUCUCUACUUGUAGUCUCCUUAAGGUAACCUUGAGCCAUCCACAUCUUCACCAAUUCAUCUUUUCAUCGUAGUCUUUUGGAAACAUGGCACAAUACAAGAAACAUCGUCUUACCACAGAAGGUAAAUCGUAGUAACUCAAAAGCAAAGGUAAAAUAGUCCCUCUUUCAACAUGUUCUAGCUCCCACAUUCGCUAGAUAAAACACGUUCCCACUCUUCUCUUGUUCUUUUAGACUGCAUUAGACCUCCUAAUACCUUGGCAGCUAGAGGCAAGCCCUUGCACUUGCUUGCAAUUUUAUCGCCGAUAUCUGUCAAUCUUUCGCGCUCAUCUUGCUUCUUUCCUGGAAUGCCACUGAUUGAAUAUUGACCUGCAUACCUCAUCAGACAAUUUCUCAAUGUUGAUCCGGUGGUCAGUUCCCAUCAUCGUUGCCACAGAAUGUUUACGAGUGGUCACUAGAAUUCUGCUUCCUCGUGCACAGCCUGUGAGAGAUGGUUUCAGUUGUUCCCAUUGUCCAUGAUUUUCUGUCCAGACAUCAUCAAGGACAAGAAGGAACCUCUUUCCCUUAAUGGAUUCAGAAACCCUUGCAAAAGGGAUUGCAAUUCAACCAAAUCGGCCCUCCCUUCAAGCUGCUCAAGGAUAGCUUUGGCUAUUCUAACCUCAUCAAAUGGUUCUGAAACACACACCCAUAUCUUUUUCUCAAAAUGAGCCGUAACCUCAGCAUCAUUAAAAGCUAGUUGGGCGAGAGUUGUUUUUCCAAUUCCGCCCAGCCCUACUAGAGAGAUGACAUCCACGUCCCGUGCUUCCUGACUACUUUCGCCAGCAACUUGCUUACAGCUUCCUUUUCACAUCUCGACCAUCACGCUUGAUUCAUCAACAAAGGAGGUACUUGUUAUUCGUUGGAGUUCAUCAGUGGCUUGUACAGAUCAAAGCCAUACAUAGCUCUCUCUUUGGCAAUCUCCACUUUUUCACAUACUUCUUUGAUCUUGAGGGCAAUGUCUCGACGUCGAACCACUUGAUUGAAACAAAAGCAAGGAGAUCUCAGGAAGGAACACCGUAUCUUCUGUCGGCUGUGAGUAUUUUCUUCAGAAUCCCCCAUUUUCCAUGUAAGAAUUGCAGAGCUCCAUUCAUCUAGCACGUCAUCCAUAUCAUAGCAUACAUCUUUGAGCUUGUCUACCCAAUCCCUUACAGCCUUAUCCUUCACUUGUUUUCUAUCUGCAUUUUCUCUAAAAUAAAAUGACUCGUAAAUAAUGUAAUGCUAAUGCCACUAUUAUUGUACUUAAAUUUACUAGAUGAGUGAAUUAAAAUAUAUUUUAUUUGAAUAUAGGAUUUCUUUAGAUAAAAGAAUUCAUAGAUAUUAUAAUAAUCAUAUAAUUAUGUAGCGCAAUACAUUGCAAUUUCACAAUAUUAUUAUGUGACUUUUAAUAGUUAUGCAUAGUCUAUUUUUAAAAAAAAUCUGUGAGGUUGAUCAAAAUAAAAAAGAAAUAUUAGAAUUUCUAUAAUCAUGUUUGUGAUCGAAUAUUUGACUAUAUUUAUUUUAAUCAUUUUAUCAUAAUAAUUUUAUUACAAAUAUAGUUAUUUAUGCAUUCAAAUAUGAUAAGGAAUUGUGAAAAAGGGAAUUUACUACUAUUUUACUAUAUUGAUUUGUUCUAACCAGCCAUCACAAUAACCAUAUUUUGUAUAGCACAAAAGAUAUAAAGAAAAAGAAAGAUAAUCGUAAGAACCCGCUAUCUAGUAAAAUAAUAUAUAUAUAUAUAUAUAUAUAUAUAUAUAUAUAUAAAUCAAGGUACUGAAUUAACUAAUUUUAACAGAUAUUCUAUAAGAUAAUGAAAUCAAUGUAUAAUGAACUAUAAAUGUAGAAAAGUAAUUAAGUACCUGUUGAUUAUAAAAGAAAGAAAGGAAACAAAAAAGAGUACCUGUAGAGUAACGAUCGUGGUUAACUGGUCCAAAAUCGGGGAUACAAGUGCGUCAGCCAUUGUUGUUCUUACUACUGAAUGUGUCAAGAAAAAGGAGAGAAAGUAAUGGGGCGUUGUUGACUGAUGAAAUGAGAAGUUGAUGAAGAUAGGAAGGAUAGUGAUCGACUGUGGAGUGCCAGAGAAAAUUAAUUUGAGGUUAUUUUCAAUGAAGUUUAGGCAAUAUAUACUGCAAAUUAAGAUAAUUUGCUUAAGACUGAUGCAAGGUUGAUGCAAGCAAAGAAUGAUUCUGAACUUCAGCAUAAAGCAGCUAAUUUCCUACAAGGUUGAUGCAAGCAAAGAAUGUCACUGAAACAACGAGAAAAUAUGCGUAAGAAGGAAAAGGAAAAGGCAAAGGUAAGUCUAGAACUAGCCAUUGCUUCACUUUGGGUUCAAGUAUAAUGCAUCAGUCAUCAGUCAUUUUCCUAUUUGUAUGUUUAUAUGGAAAUGACCUGUCGUUUUGAGUUCCAAAAGUGAAAGGCCCAUUUUUUUGCCUUAAUUUUAAAACAAAUAAAUAAUCAUUAACAUACCUAAAAAUAAAAUUUAAAAAUUAAAAGAUAAAUAUAGAUCAAGAUAUUUAAUUUUACAAGAUGAGACAUUUAUCUAUUUGCUAAAUUUUUUUAUUAAUUUUUUUUAAUUUAAUCAAACAAUAAUAAAAAUAAACAAAUAUAUUAAAUUGAUUGAAUAAAAUAAAAAGAAAACAGGAAUAAUAUGCAAGGCUACACAUAUUAGAAAUAUCAUCUAAAAAAAUUGAUUGAAUAAAAUAAAAAGAAAACAGGAAUAAUAUGUAAGGCUACACAUAUUAGAAAUAUCAUCUAAAAAUAAAUAUUUUUUAUUUUUAAAAAUACAGUUCAUCUAUACAAAAGACAAAAAAAAUUAUAAAUAAAUCAGAAAAAUCUCUUUAAAAAUUAAACAUAUAACAAAAAAAUCAAUAUUAUUUAAAAGAUACUGUCUGAACAAAAUUCUACUGUGGAGCGCAAGAGAAAAUUAAUUUGAGGUUGUUCUCAAUGAAGUUUAGGCAUUGAGAACAAAGAUCAAAUUGGAUGUUUUGCACUUUGGAGUUUGGAUAAUGAUAUUGUAAUGUUUUGAAUUAAUGAGAUAGGAAAAGCCUAGAAACCCCUUGAAGGCUUAGAUGUAGGAAUAAAUUAAAUGAGGGGUAUAGUAGUAAUUGGAUAAAUAGUUGAUAAAUAUAAAUAGGAAGUAAAAAAAUAAAAUAAAUAUAGAAAUCUGAUUUUGAGAGGAAGAGAAUCGGCAGAAGUGAGAAAGGAAAGAAGAAGAAGAGAAAAGAGGGGAAAAUAAGGGGAAAAAGGAAGAGAAUUGGAGGAAAUAAGUGAAAAAGGUAAGAUUUAGGUUGUUUAAUGUGUAUAAUAUGUUAAUUAAGUUUUAAUUUCAGUUUUAUGAAUGUUAGGGUUUUGAGAAUUUGUGUUCGAUUUAAAUGAUGAAUUAAAUUGAAGGUUAGGGGUGAUUGUUGUUGUUUAAUUGAUGAUUUAGUUGAUUAUGGAAGAUUAUGAUGAUUUGAGUUAUAGAAUUGUGUAAAUGGUGAAAAUUGAGUUAGAAAUCAGGGAGAACAGUGGGGUUUCUGUUAAAAUCUGGACUGGAGGUUGAAGAUGACGAAAAAUUCAAUUUGGUCCCUCAAUUCAGAAAAUUACAGUUAGUCCCCGAACUUUGGAAAAUUACAAAUUGGUCCCUGGAGCAUAUUCCGAGAUUCUGAACAGAAUAACAUAUGAAUUAUGGACAUAAUUACUGUAUAGAUAAGAGAAUUUAACACUUUCAAUUUAGUCCUCCAAUUUGACAAAAAGUACAAUUUGACCCUAAAAAUUUAGUAAAAUUCCAGAAUGAUCCCUGAAGCAUAAUGAUACAUCCUGGACAGAAUUGAGGAUUAAUUAAGGUCAGAAUUUCAGUAUAUUCAUGGAUUUAUGACAAAUUUCAGUUUGGUCCUCCAAUUAGACAAAAGUUACAAUUUGGCCCUAAAAAUAUGAUAAGUUCCAGAUUAGUCCCUAGCUGUAAUAUUAGCUUUUGCAGAUUAGUUUGAUGAAUAAUUAAGGGUUAUUUAGUGAAUUAUUACCAAUUUUAUUAGUUGUUUUUAUUAUGGAUUAGAUUUCGGGAAAACCGUUAGAUUUUGGGUUUUUAAGAAAAUUGACUAGUUAGUUCAAAAACAUAUAGGGUUACGGAAUACACCCUUAGUUAAGUGUAUUAAAUAUUAAAUGUUCUUUCGAGUCGUUUUUGAAUAUGUCUCCUUUGUAUUCAGAUAAUCCUGAUAUUCUACCGGCAGGACGUCAGUAGAAUUUCCUUCGGUUUCAGCUUGUGUGUGUUGUUUGCUUUUGAGUCAGGUGAGUGGAUAAUUUUCCAUAUGCAUGAGAAAUAUUAUAAAUAUUUGAUUUGUUAAUAUGAAUUGGAUCAUGCUUCUUGAUAAUAUAUAUGCUGAUUAUUAUCCUUGAUAUGAUAAAGCAUGAUCAAUUAUUGAAUCUGAUUUCUUGAUAUGAACCAAUAUGAUUUGACUUCUGAAUUGAUAGCUCCUCAUUUGAUGGAUGUCAUGAGUUGAGCUUUGAGAUAUGAAUAUGUUUGUUUGAUUAUGAUUAUGAACCUAUGGUAUGUCAGUCAGAAUACCCAUGCUAACAGGGUAGUGUUAGUCUUUGUGCACAUCGUAUCUGAACCCUAGUUGGUCGGGGGAGUCACCAACCUGUGUGGACUGAUCAUCCCACAGUACGGAGCCUCAUGCUCAUUGCAUUUUGAUUUUCUGACGAGUUUUACCAUAUGAUAUUCUUGUUAUGGCCUAUUUGAUAAACCUUCGUAUAAGAACUAAAGCCAUACUUGUAUAUAUAUUUCUCAUUGUUAUAUUACCUCGUAUGUGUAUAUUGAAUGUUAUCUACUCACUGAGUUGUUGAACUCACCCUCUCAUUAUUUAUUCUUUUCAGGCUUAUAGCUUGAUAGCGGGUUACUUUUGUUGAACCUUCCGAACCUGCUUUUGGUUGUAAUUUGUAUCUUUCUUUUUAUGUCAAGUUAGUGCUCCAAAACUAUGAAAAAUUAUUAACUCUUGUAUUAAGACAAUUACAUUAUAUUAUGAAGUUGUUUGUUGUUAAUUAUGCGUUAAACUCUGAUUGAGUUGUUUAAAGGAUUGUAUGUAAGUUUGGGUUCGCAUAGGUUUGGAACCUUGGAGGGGAACCUUGCCUAUGUGCCGGUCAUGGAUCCGGGAUUCGGGUCAUGACAGAUAUUAAUCUUUGUUGUUUGGGGAUUAAGAAUUUGGUGAUAAAUUUCUUGUUGUGAAAUAGUUAUGGUAAAAUAUAAGAUAAAUCCUAGUGAACACGUCUUCCCAAAAUACACUGCGUGUACUGGACUCUCAAUGUUCAUUUUUGCCUCAUUUUGCCUUAAUUAAUUUUAACUGCAAAACAACUAGCUCAGUACCGCACCAGCAAACGAGAAUGGAAAAGCUCACCAAGAUGCCCUCAAAUUAAUGGAGUCAAUGGAGAAAAAAACUGGAGCUGCUGGAGGCCAGACGGCACAUGGUGGAAUAGUUCAUGCCCUGGCAUGCGUCAUCACUGUUCCACCAUGUGCCGUCGCGACCUCCAUUGAACAACAAUGAAAAACAUAUACGAAUUUAGCUUCAUGUCUUUAUAAGAGAAUUUCAUAAACAUACCAUAACAAAAAAUAUCAUAAAAUAAAUCUCUUAAAAAAUAAAAAUACAAUAAACAUGUAGGUUCAUAUUAUAAGAUAAUCAGUUUAUAUAAAUUGUUGACACCCCCAAUCAAUUAAGGAUCAAAUACGAUAUAUAUAAAUAUUAACAAUUAACAAGAUCUUAUUAGCAUGAAUAUUCUAACUAUUAUAUCAUAGGGUUAUAAUCAAACGAACAAAAUCAUUUUCUAAAAGCUCAACUCAUAUAAUUAAUUAAAUAAAAAACUAUCAAUUUAAAAAUACAUAAUUGCUCAAAUCAAGAAAUCUAUCUCAAUAAAUAAUAAUGUUUUAUAGAACAACAGAUAAUAAAUAUUAUAUAAAUUACUAAGAAGUACUAUCAAUUUAAUAUUAAUAAUUUGACUAUUUAUACUACUCCUCUGCAGCAUAUGAGAUAGUAAGUGAUAGAAUGGUCCCCAUGUUAUGGUUUAUAUUUUGCUUUAAACAGAGUAUAGUUGUACUAAAAAUACACCCCUUUCCCGAAAGGAAGGGGAAGAACACAAUCAAGGGAUUUCUUGUUGUUUGACUUCUCAUGUUUCUCUCCCACCACGGGCAACUGUUUAUUUUCGCCAAGGUGAAUUGAGGCUUCAAGUAGAAGAAAUUAUUUACUGGUUAGAAACUUGGUCGAUUUCACUGUUGUCUUUGAGACAAAUGAAACUGAGGUUUUUGGUUUGCAAUUUGGGCAGAUAAGGAUAAUCCUUAUUGUUUGGUGUUUGAGAAUUUGGUGCUAAAUUUCUUGUUGUAAAUUGCAGAAAAUAGUCAGGGUAAAAAUUUAAGAUGAAUGCUAGGGUACACAUCUUCCCAAAAUGCACUGGGUUCUGGAUUCUCAAUGUUCAUCUUGCAGUUUGACAAGAGAAUCUUUCCUUCACUUACACUAUCUUUUUGUUUGUUUGGCCGAUGCAUGAUUUUUUUACCUCAUUUUUCCUUGAUAAAUUCUAACUACAAAACAGCUACUUCACCAACAAGAUGGAAAAGGCUCACCAAGAUGUUCUCUUUGAAAAGAUUCUCAGUGAGUCGUUGACAUCUCAUUUUUGGAAUUUCUCCAAUAGCUUGAUGUCUACUCUCACUAUAUUGAGUAGGAUGACUAUAGAAUUACUCUGAUUUAUCAACACAUAUCAAAUUCUUGCUGCUGCUGAGGAAGAUAUCUGCACUUAGCCAUCAUAGAGGGUAGCGAAUUUUGUGUUGAUGGAAAUUACACUGACUCAUUGUGUACCAUCUAGAAUUCAAUUUUAAAAAAAAUUGCAAGAAAUGUUGUUUUUUCCUAAAUACAUCAAUCGGGUGUGGAUAGCUUGAUUAAAAUGCGACUUACUAAAAAGUCUUGGUCUUAAUAUGCAAAGAUGAUCCAAGUAUACCAUAUUUCUUUUAAAAUAAAACCCACAGAUCUAGUCCACGCAAAGGUACUGGAAUAUGGAUUUGUAAAAAUAAAAAUGAAAAUUUAUACGAAAUUGAAUUGUGCUAAAAAAACCCACAGAUCUAGUCCAUGAUCUACGGCUCCUCCAGAGUUCCGUAGUGGUGUCUUUCUCAACUAUUCUUUAAAUAAAAUGUGUGGGAUGUGAGAAAUCUUGUGCCUAUCUUCACCCCUCUCCUCCUUCCCGUAACGUUUCCUUAGAGAAUUUAUGUAGAGGCGCUGUCAAAACAUAGUCCGGUAGUGCUCUCAACAAUGGGCAUUUGAGAAUUCUAAACUCAACAAGUUGUGGCAUGAUGAAUAUUGAAGUCGUGGUGGAAUCUUCUUCUCCCACUCUCCUUUCAAUCCCAUCCCACUCCUCUAGUUCUUUGAGAUGCCAUAUGCUAAGUCUUUUCAAUUUGGGGAAAGCAGCGACUCUUGCAAUUUCUCCUUCAUUAAUAUUGGUAUUGCCACCAUUUUCUAUGCCUAAAAAUCCACCAUCCAACCUUCUCAGCUUCAUGCUCAUCCAUCUGAAAAUCUUGGAAGAAAGAACGUGCUACUAAGACUUGAAAAUACUCCUCUCCAACAAGCUCCAUACCUCUACUUGGAGUCUCCUUAAGAUAACCUUGAGCCAUCCACAUCUUCACCAACUGGUCUUUUUCCAUCUCGUAGUCUUUUGGAAACACCGUCUUGCCACAGAAGGUAAAUCGUAGUAACUCAAAAGCGGAGGUGGAAAUAGUGCUAUUUCAACAUGUUCUAGCUCCCACAGUUCGCUAGAUAAAACAUGUUCCCACUCUUCUCUUGUUCUUUUACACUGCACUAGACCUCCUAAUACCUUGGCAGCUAGAGACAAGCCCUUGAACUUGCUUGCAAGGAGAUCCCAGGAAGGAACAUCGUAUCUGCUGUAGGCUGUGAGUAUUUUCUUCAGCAUCCCUCAUUUUUCAUGUAAGAAUUGCAGAGCUCCAUUCAUCUAGCACAUCAUCGAUAUCAUAGCAUACAUCUUUGAGCUUGUCUAGCCAAUCUCUUGCAACCUUAUCCUUCACUUGCUUUCUAUCUGCAUCUUCAAGGACAGAUUGGAUAGCAAGGAGAUUGCUUUUCAGCUUGUCGACACACCCCCUACUAGGUUCACCUCUUCCUGUACCUAUUGGUGCAGAAAAGAUAAGAAAGUUGAAGCAGAGGAAACAUUUCUAUGAUUUCUUUAAACAGUAUCUCACAUAAUUUAAUCUCCUGAACUACUAACUAAAGUGUUGAGAGCCAAUUUAAGUUCUCAAGGCUGAAGACCCCAACUAGACUACUGUUACCUAGAAUUCAUUUUACCUACAAUACUCAGUAUGUGUGGCAGAAAAUCGCAAUACCUAAAUGGCUGAAUUUACAAGUAUAUCAAUCAAUUAUGUAAUGAACCGGGUGCAAGUGCAUGGCGCAAGUAUAUUAAACCUACUGAAUUUUUCUUCUACUUUUUAUAUACCAAACCUUGUAAAAAACACCACUGCUCAAAUUCAAAAAUAAAAAGUGGAGGAAAUUUUAAAGUGAUGUACCCCUCUUUGAGUGUCAAGAUAGCGGUGUGUACAGCAUCAUCAAGCUCCAUAUCAUCAGUGUAUCUACAGAGCACAUAUUAAGUUAGGGAAAACAAAAGUUGUUCAAAUCAAAUGAAGAUAUGUGGACAAAAAACAAAAAUAUUUACCAUGUUUCUGUCCAUUCAAUUCUUUUUUUCUCACUUUCUUUUUCUUUUUUCAAAAAAAAGAAAGGCAAUCCAAUUCUUCUUGGAUGGGGUGUAGCUCAAAGUAAGCUGGCAGUUGAAAAUUGAAGGUGGCUUGAUCUUUGAAUGAAGAAUAUGUUUGGCAGUUGAUGGCUGGAGGUGGAAACACAUUUGUUGCUAGCUAGGAGAACCCAUGAAGAUGUUUAGAAGUUUUUGCAGAAUCAAUGCAUUUCAUGGUACCAAAAACAAAUAAAUACCUCUUCUCAAGAAAUGUUUUUGCAUUUGAAACAUUUUUCCCCAUUGCUGAGGCUUUCCAUGAGAAGUAGGAACCUGAUGGAUCGACCUAGCCAAACAAAUACAAAACAUAACAUCAUCGAAAAUGACAAGAAAAUGAGAAAAAAAGAAGAAGAGAGAGAGCUUAAAUUGCAACAACAUUUGAUUCCGAGAGAAGUUUGGCCUGAUCCAACGGCAGUCAAUGCGUGCUCAAUCUGUACUGGCUUUCCGGUAGGACUGAAAGUAGUGAGAGAAAAGGAGUACUGGCUAUCACCCAUGGUUUAUUGCUUGAAGACGCAGAGAGGAAAAACUGAGAAUGCGAGCGUGUGGGAGAGAAAGGCAGGGAUAUUUACUUGGGGUUUUAACUUUGCUUUUCUCGUUGGAGAAGAAGGUGUUUUCUUACGAGGGCUUUUACAAUGGAGUAUAUUGGGCUUUUAUGACGGCAGGUUAGUCCUCUUUACAUUGAGCUCAGUGAAGGCUCGGAACCAGUUUUGUUUUUAAGAAUUAUUAACAAAUUUUAUUUAUUUAUUAAUAUACAUAAUUUUAAUUUAUUUAAUUACAUUUAUAUAUAAAAUUUUUAAUUUAUUAUAUUUUUUUGAACUAGAAAAAUAUAUUUAAAGAACUGCAUGUAUAAAUGUUUAUAAAAAAUAAAAAUAUUUGACUCACAAUAAAUCAUCCAUACUCUUAUAAAAAAGAUGAGUUGCUGCUGAAUUUUGUUGUUGAUUUGUAAUUUAAUUAUUGUUGAAGAUUUUCUGUGUUAGGUUUGGAUAACUUUAUUUGGAUUUAAUCCACUGAAACUGAGGUUUAAGAAUUUCUUGGAUUUAAUCCACUGAAACAGUUGCUUGAUCAAGAUCAUUGGCUUGUUUGUAGGCAGAUAAAGGCAUAAAAAAAAAAACAAAUAUCAUCUUAGAUUAAUUAUAGAUAUGAGUUACAGUAGUUGAAAUUUGAAAGGCAAUUUUUUUAGCGUGGCAUUUGGAGAAUUUAAGUAAGGAAUAAGCUUCACGUGAGCGAGUUAAUAUCACAGCUGCAUUUGAUAGAUUAAAUGAUAAGUAGGAAAUAAAAUCGAAUUACAGUAAAGUUUGAAUGAAAUCCUCCAUGUAAGUAAAGAGGUCACAUAGAGUAAAUAGUAAGGCUUACAUAUUAUUUACAUUCAACCUUAGCAAACACCAAAGCAAAUAAUUAAUACACUCAGAACCAAAUCUUUUACCGUAGAAGAAUUUACUUGUUCCUGCCGGUCCAACAGACUUCCGUACGUUGUGGUGUCCCAUAGAUAUGAUCACUAAAACGAAUGUUUGGGAUGUGAGAAAUCUUUUGCCAAUCUUCACCCAUCUCCUCCUUCCCGUAACGUUUCCUUAGAUUGGGGCACCUUUGUAUGUAUAAUUCCUGUAUAGGCGCUGCCAAAACAUAGUCUGGUAGUGCUCUCAACAACGGGCAAUGACGAAUUCUCAACUCUCGAAGUUGUGGCAUAAUGGAUAUUAUUGAAGUUGUGUUGGCAUCUUCUUCUCCCACUGAUCUCCUUUCAAUUCCAUCCCACUCUUCUACAUCUCCGAGAAAAAAAAACGUAAGUGUUUUUAAUUUGGGGAAAGCAGUGAUCCUUGCAAUUUCUCCUUCAUUAAUACUGGCAUUCUCAUCUUUUUCUAUACCUAAAAAUCCAGCAUCCAACCUUCUCACCUUCAUCAAAAUCAAAUCCAGGCUUUCAAGGUGGGGCAAUCUUCCCAACGGAGGCAAGACCUCCAGCUUUGUACAAUUAUCCAGUCUAAGCGCCUGUAAUCUGGUUAAUGUCAUCAUCCAAUUUGGCAAAUCCAACCCUCCGUACCCAUAUAUGCUUAGAUUUUCCAAGUCUGGCGGAGGCUGUAAAGCUUCAAUUAAAAUGCCGUUAUCCUGGUUGUGGUUGAAAUACAAUUCCAAACGAAGCAGGCGCUUCUUAUUCUUGAGUUGUGCUUCUGCAGCGUCACUCGCAUCUUCUUUACCUCCUCCUAGCUUCCGUAUCUCAAGACUCCCUCCAAUGUGAUUUAAGUCUUUUAAAUCUCUUAGAUUAGCUGCUUUACUUUCAUUCUCACCACCACCACACACACUAAACACAUCUAAUGUUUGAAGACAUGUUACCCUCUCUAUUCCCUUUGGUAUGAAGGCCACUCUUGAACCAUAAAUCCGGAGAUGCCUCAAUUUGAUAAGUUUUCCAAUCGCCUUGGGCAAUUCCUUGAGAGACCAACACCAAAUAACGUCUAGGGAUUGUAGAUUGCAUAAAUCACACAUGGUUUCUGGCAGGGACUCCAACUCUCCACAGGCUACCAAAUUGAGGUGUCUCAAAUGUAUCAAUUUCCCUAACUCCUUUGGUAUUUCUUUGAUUGAAGACCUUGACAAAUUCAAUGACCUGAUGCAUGUCAACUGUUUGAACAAAUCAGGCAGUGCAGCUCCAAGCGAAGGGUCUCUAGUGUCGAUCAAGAGGCUGCGAAGACCUUUUGCUUUGUGAAUGGACACGGGAAAAGAGGUCUCGUUGGGCAGCAUCAUGCUUAAAUGACGAACCCUUUCAAUUGAAGUCUCCAUUGUUGCUUCUCCAAGUUUACUGGCAUCCACUGUUAGACAUUCAUUUUUUGUCAUAUAUUGGGCAAAAUCAUGCACUAUAUCAUGCAUCUUGAAUCUAAUAUCUUCUCGACCAUACGUCUUAAAAUCUUGGAAGAAAGAGCGCGCUGCUAAGACUUGAAAGUACUGCUCUCCAAUAGCCUCCAUAUCUCCACCUGAAGUCUCCUUGAGGUAACCUUGAGCUAUCCACAUCUUCACCAAAUCAUAUUUGCGCAUCUCGUAGUCUUUUGGAAACAUGGCACAAUACAAGAAACAUCGUCUUACCACAGAAGGUAAAUCGUAGUAACUCAAAAGCAAAGAUAGAAAUAUUCCUCUUUCAACCUGAUCUCUAUCAACCUCAUCUAGCCCCCACAGUUCGCUAUAUAAAACACGCUCCCACUCUUCUCUUGUUCUUUUAAACUGCAUUAGACCUCCUAAUACCUUGGCAGCUAGCGGCAAGCCCUUGCACUUGUUAGCAAUUUUAUCACCGAUAUCUGUCAAUCUUUCACGCUCAUCUUUGCUUCUUUCCUGGAAUGCCACAUGAUUGAAUAUUGACAUGCAUAUCUCAUCAGACAAUUUCUCAACAUUGAUCUGGUGGUCAGUUCCCAUAAUCGUUGCCACAGUGCCCUUACGAGUGGUCACUAGAAUUCUGCUUCCUCGUGCACAGCCUGUGAAAGAUGGUUUCAGUUGUUCCCAUUGCCUAUGAUUGUCUGUCCAUACAUCAUCAAGGACAAGAAGCAACCUCUUUCCCUUAAUGGAUUCAGAAACCAUUUGCAAAAGGGAUUGCAAUUCAAUCAAAUUCGGUUCACUCCCUUGAAGCUGCUCAAGGAUAGCUUUUGCUAUUCUAACCUCAUCAAAUGGUUCUGAAACACAUACCCAUAUCUUUUUCUCAAAAUGAGCCGUUACCUCAGCAUCCUUAAAAGCUAGUUGGGCGAGAGUUGUUUUUCCAAUUCCGCCCAGCCCUACUAGAGUGAUGACAUCAACGUCCCGUGCUUCCUGACUACUUUCACCCACCAACUUGCUUACAAUAGUUUUCUUUUCAACAUCUCGACCAAUCACGCUUGAUUCAUCAACAAAGGAGGUACUUGUUAGUCGUUGUAGUUCAUCAGUGGCUCUGUACAGAUCAAAGCCAUACAUAACUCUCUCUUUGGCAAUGUCAUCCACUUUUUCACAUACUUCUUUGAUCUUAAAGGCAAUGUCGCGACGUCGAACCACUUGAUUGAGACAAAAGCGAGGAGAUCUCAGGAAGGAACAUCGUAUCUUCUGUAGGCUGCGAGUAUUUUCUUCAGCUUCCUCCAUUUUCCAUCUAAGAAUUGCAGUGCUCCAUUCAUCUAGCACGUCAUCCAUAUCAUAACAUGCAUCUUUGAGCUUGUCUACCCAAUCUCUUACAGCCUUAUCCUUCACUUGUUUUCUAUCUGCAUCUUCAAGGACAGAUUGGAUAGCAAGGAGAUUGCUUUUCAGCUUGUCACAUUGUUUCUUCACACCCACUACUAGGUUCACCUCUUCUUGUACCUAUUAGUGUACAAAGGAAAAGAAACGCUAAGCAUGGGAAACAUUUCUGUGAUUUCAAGACAAUUUCACACCCCCUACUAGGUUUACCUCUUCCAAUACCUAUUAUUGUAGAACAGACAAGGAAGUUCAAGCAUAGGAAACAUUUCUAUUUUGUAUUAAUAUAUUUUAUUGUGAAAUGGAUUUACUAUAUUAAUAUUUUAUAUAUAAUUAAUAUAGGCAUGAAAAGAGUUCAAUAUUCUCACGAGAGAAGUAAUAUUUCUCCUUUGAACCGACAUAAAAUCUGGUUUUCAUUUUACAUUAAACUAUAGAUAUAUGGAUGUAUAAAGGCAAGUGAAUAAAAGGAUCUGCAUGUAUAUAUUUGUGAAGUCAAUUUAGAAAUAAAGGCAUGAUAAUAAGAUUGUGUGAUAACUAUAUAGUUUUAAUUCACACCAAAUACUCACUCGCUAAUCCUUUGAACUUUUUAUUGAUUAUUUUACCUUUAAUAGUUCAGUUUAAAGAGAAUUGGCAACUCUUGUUUUGUCUUUUUUGGUUUUCUUAUAUUUGGAAUGAUAUAUUUUCUUUAUGUUAUUUUUAGAAAUAUAAAAAAUAAUAAAACUAGAAAAAGAAGUCUUUAAUAAAAUCGAAAUAUAUACUUGAGGAUUUAAAAUAUUAUUUUUAUUUUUUCAAGUUAAAAGUAUUCAUUUUAUGAGAGGAAGAUAAAAGGCUUGAACUUUAUAUAUAUUUCUUAUCUUUGCCAGGUAAAUCAGGUUAUUGCAGAUGGCAGAAAAAUACCUGUUGAGCAACGAUCGUGGUUAAGUGCUCCAAGAUCGGAGAUAGAAGUGCCUCAGCCAUCGUCUGUUUAGUUCUGAUUGGAGAGAGAGAAGCAGUGAUGAUAGGAAGACAGAGAGAAAGAGAGGGUGAAGGGAAGGAGGCGGCUGAUUGUGAAUGGAAGUUAGUUUAUAUACUUAGGGUUUGGCGUUGCAGGUGAAGCUUUUGUAUUUUAGUGUCUCCACAUUUUCUUAUUAGUAUUUGUAGGGACAGGGUAAAGGGAGAUCAGCGCACCUUGUAAUUUUAGCUGGCAGUAAACCUGAAGCAUAGUUUUAAAACCCGGACCGGCCCGGCGGGUCGAUCUGGGACCGGUUCGGGUGAAGGCCAAAACCCGUUUGGAAAUUGACCCGGCUAGACCGGGGACCUGGUUGACCCGGCAAGACCCGGUCUCAAACCCGUUGACUUUUAUUUUUUUUUGUUUUUUUUUUUUUGCUAAAACGACGUCGUUUUGAUUUUUUUUAAAAAAAAUAAAAAAUAAAUUUUGACCCGGCCGACCCGGUCAAGACCCGAUGACCAGGUCAAAACCAGGAACCCGGGCCUUGGACCGGGCCGACCACCGAGCCGGAUCUUAAAACUAUAACCAGAAGUAAUGAGAAAAUAAUUUUAGCCAGCCGGCCCAAUCUAUUUUAGGCUAAUAGUGUGUUAGGCAAAACACAUAUAAGCCUUAUCCCUUUAUUUUAUUAUUUUUUAUUUUAAUAUUUAGCUAAAUAAUUUUUUUUGAAAAUCAAAAAUCAUUAUGAAUGUUUUUGAAUUUAUUUAUGGGUUUCUUUUUUUAUUAUUAUUCAUUGUAUAUUUGUAUAUUUGAUUUUGUGGAUUUUUAUGGUGGAAUGUAAAUAUAGUAUACGAUACAUUUGUUUCUCUUAAAAAAAUAUGUAUGUUUUAAUUUAAAUUCAUUUUAUUCAUUAAUCUAACAACUAUGUAAGUUUCUAGUGACCUUAAGAUUUGUGAGACUGGAACUAGUAAUUUGAGGUUCAACAUCCCAGGUCGAGAAUUAGGUCUUAAUAUGGAAGGGUUAAUCUAGGUUAACCUAAUUUUUUUAAUAAAAAAAUUAAAAUAAUAUCGUUUUGACCGAAUUUUUUUUUUCCAAAAACAAAACUACCAAUAUUUAAACAAGUUUUACUUGAGUCUAUCGGGAUAUUUUAACCAGGUCAAACCAUAUUAAUUCUUUUCUUUAUUAUAUUUUUUUGAAGUUCUUACCUUUAUUACCAAAAAAAUCCCCUUAAUUUCAGAGUCCUUACAUCUCUAAUUAAUUAUAAUUACCUUACCAGUCAUAAUGUUCUUUUCUGUACCUGAUGAAUGAUAUUAUUUCUGAGAUUUUUGAACAUGUAAUGACGGAAGCCUGCGCUGGGCUGGUUCCCUUUGUUACGUUGCUGGAGUCGCAAUGUUUCGAGGUAUCAGACCAAAUUAAUUCUCUUGCUUUUUGCAGCAAAGCUGUAUCUCUUGCUACUUGCUAGAAGCGUAAUCUCAGGAUACCACUGUUUUGGUGUUGCCUCUCUCACCAUUGUUAUUAGGUUGAAUUAAAUACCAGAAGAUUUCUGAGUAUGCAAUGACUGUAUGAUUUAACUAACCAAUACACUAUCAAGGGUGUGGCGUAUGAACUUCAUGCGCCGGCGUGUGUCACCACCGUUCCACCGUGUGCCGUUGCGGCCUCCCCAUUGAAGGUCCAAUUUUCAAGCUCACAAGCAUGACAUCUUUAAACCUUACUUGAGGUUCAACAUCCUAGGUCAAGAAUUAAGUCUAGCAUGAAAGGUUAAUCCAAGUUAAUUUAAUUUUUUUUUAAAAAAAAAAUUAAAAUAACAUAGUUUUGAUUGAUAUUGAUUUUUUCAAAAAAAAAAAAUCCAACAAUAAUUAUAUUUUAACCAGGUCAAUUCAUAUUAAUUCUUUUCUUUAUUAUAUUUUUUGAAGUUCUUACCUUAAUUACCAAAAAAUAUCCACUUAAUUUUGAGAUAUAUUCAAUUUGGUUUUGUAAACAGUACCUUAACAUAUUUUGAUUGAAAUUGAUUUUUUUUUUAAAAAAACCCAACAAUAUUUAAAUAAGUUUUACUCGGGUCUACCAAGAUGUUUUAACCAGGUCAAGGCAUAUUAAUUCAUUUUUUAAAUUAAGUUCUUACCUUAAUUACCAAAAAAAAAAUCAGCUUAAUUUUGAGAUAAAUUAAAUUUGGUCCUAUAAACAGUACAUUUUAUUUAGUUGAUCCAUCGAAUAUCUGGUGCUAUUCAAUUCAAUUUAACCAAACUUUUAUUUGGUUGAGAAGAAUUUGACAAUCAGAAUCCUGUAAUAUUGAUGAUGGCUCUUGAACUGGAAACCAUGUUUAUAUCGCAGAUAUAUUCUUGGACACCAUUCAUAUAAAGGUGAACAAUUAAGCACUCUCAAAAACCAAAUCAUAGGGAAGAGCUCAUCAACUCGAGCGCCACCAGAGAUUUACAUUUGCAUGUGAGUUGGGAUGCAAGAAUCAAUGAUUCUUAUGAGGCUGAUCACACAAUUCUAUGUGAAUUUGGGUGCGCAAUACUUUUAAGGAGAGAACUCAUCCUAGUCCAAGCACAUUAAACUUCGGAAUUCUUAUGGCAUAAGGUGUACGAUACUAAAUACACAAGUCCUAGUUAAUAUCCUCUACCAUGCAAUGCAGUGGUUCAGUCGCACCAUUUCAAAUUGUUAUUAUGUCUAUAAUCUAUGUUCAGGUACUGCAAUCUAUCUUGAAUUCAUGGUCUUCACUUAAUAACAAGUUUGGUCUGGAGAAUCCUUUAACUUGAAAGGGGACUUGUCUUUUACUUGUAGAAAUGCCAACAUUAAAUUGUUAAUAUUAAAUUUUUUUCUAUUUAGUUAUUAAACUUUCAUGACACGGAUUCCGGGUUUGACAGGUUAACCUGGUUUGACGAGUUAACCCAGUUAAUUCUGGGCUAACCCAUUAAUUUGUUUUUUCCUUUUUAAUUAUCAAACUUUCACGAUGUGAAUUCAAGGUAUGAUGGGUUAAUCUGGUUUGAAAGGUUAACCCAAUUAAUUCAUAUUUUUUUUCUUUUUUUUCAUUAGUUUUUUUUUUCUGUUGGUUUUUUUCUUUGUUUUUUUCUUUUUAACUAAUCUAUUUAAUUAUCACACUUUUAUGACACGACCUUGCAGCCAGAUCUACGUCCAAUGCUAUUGGGUAUAGUAUUGUAGUGCAUACACUUUUAUGCUAAGAGUUAACCCAAGUUUAAUGUUAUUAUUAAUAUUAUAAAUAUUACUCUUGGAUCAGGCGUUGCAACUAAAUCUAAAAUUCUUGGAUAUAACUUUGUAAAAAAACCUAAUAUUUUUAGAUCUUGGCUUUUUUUUAAAUGUAAAAAAUAAUUAACCUAUGGCAUCGCGCGGGGCAUGUAACUAGUAAUUUCUAAAAGGAAACUCAUCCUAAACUUCGGAAUUCUUAUGAAUUAAGUGUACCAGGCUAAAUAUCCUCUACCAUGUAAAGUAGUGAUUCGGUCGCUCCAUUUCAAAGUAUUUUUAUGUCUAGAAUUUAUAUGUUUUGGUAACUUUUUUUUUUUUCUGGGUGUUCAUGGUCUUCACUUAAUAAAAGGUUUGGUCUGGAGAGUCCUUGAACUUAAAAGGGGCUGUGAUGGCAUUUGGAAGGCACACGUACUGGGGGACUUGUCUUUUACUUGCAGAGAUCAUAUCCAUUGGUGAACAUUUUUCGCGUUAGGUUUGGAUAACUUUAUUAUGAUUUAAUCCACUAAAUCAAUGUGUAUCAUGUUUAAAAAAGAAAAAAGAAAAAACAGAGAGAGAGAGACGAUGUGAGAAUAAAUGGGAAGUAGGAAAUAAAAUCCAAGUCAACAAUAGAUUACAAAUGAUUACAAUCCAAUUACGGUAAGGAGGUGUAUGAAACAAACGGUGCUUAAUACAACACUGAAUGAAAUCCUCCAUUUGAUUAUACCAGAAUGCCCUUCGAUUUGAUUCCAAAAAUAUGAAGGGAAAAUCUUCAAAUGCACAAAGUAAAUCGGAACCCACAGUGAAGUAGCUCUUCAGUAUCUUCUAAGCCCAAGCUGUCAAACACAGACCAAAAGCAAACGUGUCAUAACCAAAAUAACCCAAUGAAUGGUAGAUGUUAAAAUGAGCAUUCCAUUUUCUGAAUGAAAAAAAUCCCAGUGACCUAGCUAUGACUUACAUAAUUAAUUAAAAUGGAUUUGUUAAAAUAUAGUAAAAUAUUAUACCGUUAAGAAUUAACACUGGUAGAAGAAUUUGUUGGGCGGAAUCCAGCGAUCGGUGAUGAACUGAUUAUUACUUAACGGAGGGGCAAGCACACUGACAACAAUAUUUUACGUGGUUCGGCAAAAUCACCUACAUCCACGGGAGAGAGUCCAUUUAUUAGAGAUUAGAAAAAGGAUAUAAUAAAUAUAUAGAGGAGGAUCUAAUCACUCAACUCCCAUCUCUCUUGCUGUCCUUGCAGCUGCUGCAAUGGCUGCUGCCAUUGCAGCUCUCUUUUUCUCUCUAUCCUCUUACGUUUCUCACACACUCCUCACCAGAUUUAGCUCUCUUUGCAUGCUUCUUUUAUAGGCAAUGAAUGGUCAUCAUGGAGGGGCCAACAUGCCACCAUUAGUGGCACUAAUGGAGCAACCACUUGCUUGGUGGUGGUGGCCACUUGCUUGGUGGUGGGGGUAUUGCCAAUAAAUGGCAAUAUCCUAACAGAAUUUACAUGCUCCGUCCGGUUCUAAUUAAAGAGUUCUGUCUUUCUCACCUAUAAUAAUAUAUCAUGAAAAUAAAUGUUUGGGAUGUGAGAAAUCUUUUGUCAACCUUCACCCAUCUCCUCAUUCCCGUAACUUUUCCUUCGAAUGCGGCAACCACUUAUGUAUAAUUCCUGUGGAAGGGCUGCCAAAACAUAAAAGCUGUCCCGUUUAUGUUGGAUUAUGCAAACAUGGAGGUAUCUAUAUUGAUUCUGAUAUCACAGUCUGAAUUUAUUGUCUUCCGUUAGUAAAUCUAUUGGUCUGAAGAAUCCUCUGUCUGGAAGUUCUUUGAAUGGGGCUGUGAUGGCAUUUAGAAAGCACAGGCACCAGGGGGCUUGCCUUUCACUAGCAGAAAUCAUAUUUAUUGUUGAAGAUUUUUUGUGUUGGGUUUUGAUAACUUUAUUUGCAUUUAAUCCACAAAAUCGAUGGGUAUCAUCUCUUUUAGAUGAAUGGUUUAGCUUCCAAGUCUACCAUUCUCUCAUUUAUUUGGACUUAAUCCACUGAAACUGAGGUUUUAUUUGCGCGGAUAAUGAUAAUAUUUGGUGCUAAAUUUCUUGUUGUGAAUUGCAGAAAACAGCUGCUUGAUCUUCACUAGGAUGGUGGUUGCAAAUAAUAAUUAUGCAACCCGGUACGAGUUGCAUGUUAAAUAACUAGUGUAUAUGUAGAUACAGAUGAUGGUAUUUUUUUUUUAUAAUGACCCGUCCGUGUCGUUGUAAGAGGGGCCACCGUUGAUUGUGCCUUGGCCAUGGAGUGAUAUUCCACGCACCACCAACACUGUUCAAGAGCCACACGAACAUGGAGGAAUUACAGGGGCUGGCAGGGGCAGGGUCCUGCAAGGUUUUUUUUUUCUUCAAUAAAUUAGAUUUUUAUCUUUAAAAAUAUAAAAUUUAAAAUUUUGGCCCUCCCUCUAAAAUCUUUUAUCUAAUUUGACAUUCCCAAACUACAAUUCCUAACUCCGUUGCUUACUAUACACACGAAGUCAUUGUUUUAUGAUGAAAAAAUAAUAAAUUUUUUCUUCUUUUCUUGUAUUUUUAAAUUUUGGUUUUCUUUUAUCUUAGAUUUUAUGAAUGAUGAAUUCCAUAACAAGGAUGAUACAUGCCCAUUAAUCAUACAUGUCAUUAAUAACUUUAAAACAUAGACACCUAAUGGUGAAAAUUAUAGAUACAACCAUCAAUUAAAAAAUAAAAACAGCGAUUAAAUAUAUAAAAAAAGUAAUGGAAGUACAAGAAAUAAAAUAGAAAAAUUAAAAUUAGAGACACUUCCAUUGAAAAAUAUAAAUAAUUAGAGGCCCUGAAAACACUAUACACACACACAAGAUUAAGCGCAUUGAAUAAACAACAUGGAUUGUUGGAGUGGCUGUUUUUCCAGGCCUUGGUGAGGUGGUGCAAGUAAAUGAAUUCACACCAAAUACUCACUCGCUAAUCCUUUUCAACUUUUUAUUGAUUAUUUUACCCUUAAUAUUUCAGUUCAAGGAGAAUUGGCAACUCUUGUUUUGCCUUUUUCGGUUUUCUUUGUUAAAACUUCCUAAUCGUGUAUACGAGCAUAAAAGAAUAAUAAUAAUAAUAACAACAACAAUAAAAAUAAUUACUGCAUUAAUUUUUCUCGGAAAAUGUUUUGAUGGGCACCUUUACAUAUUUUCCAUAGAAAGUGUCUAAGAUGCUCUAUGAUAAGAUUUCAAUCCAAUUAAAUAUUUUACAUAUUCAUGGAAAAUCCUCUCCUUGAAUUCUUUUUGCCUUUAUAUCAUAAAUUUUUUAAAAAAACCCUAUUCAUGUUAAAACAAACUUUUCUAUUUUAAUUUUUAAAAAUAGAAUGUUUAAUAAGAGAUAUUAUUAAAUAAUCAUAUAAUAUUAUAAAUAUUAUUAUUAUGAAUUUCACUUUUCACAUGAACAAGAAAGUAUUGCAUUAAAAAUAUCUAAUGAUAAUAAAAUUCUCUUAUUAUACAAGGUAAUUAAAGUUUUUUUAACUCAAUAUAUGUUGAUCAAUACAUGGAUGUAAUUAUCCUGUUAUUUGUGGAUAUCAUUAAAUAAUUAGUAAAAAAAAUAGGUUUUCAUGAUUAGAAAAAUAAAGAAACUUUGAAAAAAAAGAGACAAAAAAAGACAUAAUAUUUAAUGUCUUUGAUUAUUUAUUUAAAAAUUGAUAUUUAUUAACAUUUUGAUACUAGAUAAAUGGGGGAUCUAAUCGGAAAUGUAUUUUGUCUGUAACCCAAAUGAGAAUAAAAAGAUAAUCGGAGGAAAAACAAGUUGUCCUUUUCCCAAAAUAAAAAUAAAAGAGAGGAUAUGGUGUGGACAUUGAGAAAACAAUCAUUUUCAAUAACAACUGAUUAUAGUCAAUUUCAUCCAAAUACUUAUCUCUUGGAAUGGUGUUUUUUUUUUUUUUUUUGUAAAAAAAUCAUUUCCUAUAAUAGUAUUCCAUGCUAAUACAAGAGUUCGGAGGUUUGAUAUAAUAUAAAUAUGAAUCACAUUAAUUAUUUAAUUCCAUCCUAAUAACUGAAAUCCUUUUCUUUUGAGUUCUAUGGACCUGAUCAAGGAACAUUAAUCAUGCAGGAAGAGCAGGCCUCCAUGCCCUUAUGCAUUGUUCUGAUUACAGUGGUAACCUGUUCAAUUUGAUCUUCGCUUGAGCAUGCUGAUAGAAGUACUUUGGCAGUUCCUCCAUCAGGGUGACAUCCAGCAUCGAUCAUUUCUUCAAAGAUUUCCAAGCAUCUUGCGUAUAGUUUCUUUCUAGAGUAGGCUCCCAAUCUUGAAGUCCAAGUCACAACAUCAGGUUUCAGAUUUUUGGUUGGAAGUGAUUGGAAAAUACCUUCCAUUCUCUCGAAAAAUCCUGCUCGUCCAUAUAUGUUGAUUAAGAUGUUGUAUGUACUGAUAUCAGCUCCAUAAGGUCCCUUUUCCAUUGCAGUUAGAACUUCCUCCAUCUUUUCAAAUUGGCCAAGCCGGCCAUACAAGUGCAUCAUGCUGUUGAGGACAAACGUGUCUGGUUCAAGCCCAGAUUCGCUCAUCUGGUUAACAAUUUCUUCGCAUUUAUCCACAUUUCUUGCCCUUGAGUAGGCACACAGAAGUAGCAUGUGUGAUUUCAUUGUAGGGGUUAUUCCUAGUCGCUUCAUCUCAUUGAAUACCGCUUGAGCAUCUAAAAAACAUGAAGGAGCAGCCAAAUCAUUAAGCCAAAACUUCAUUCAAGGAGCAUAUACGAAAAACAAGAGGAAUUUCUUCUAAGCAAGGAAAGGUGUCGCAAAUGGAUGAAAUGCUGAUAGCCUGAUAAUAUCUCAUACAACUUUAUCUUGUUUCCUAGGAAAUCUUAGAAAUAUUGUGGAAGAUCUCCAGAAUAAAAUUGAACACUGUUCCAAAAUAUAAUCCAAAUGUUGCAAUAUAGAUCCCUUCAAGUUCGUAGUUGAUCCGAACGUUUUUAAACCAUUACAUGCUCAAAAUGUUCCCAAAUUCUCUGGAGCUUAAUCUUUCCCCAAUUCUCACUUAAUAAAGUACAUUGAUACUAUUUGGUUCAAGCAUCUUACCCUCAUGAAGGCCAGCUCUCCCAUACGCAUCUACCAUGAUGUUAUAUGAAGCUCUAUCCGGCUCACAGCCCAUGUGCCGCAUGAGUGAAAAUAUUUCUGCAGCCCCGUAAGGAAAACCUGCACGACUGUUAGGACAAGAUAGUUAAAUAUCAUCAGUUCUAUUGGGAAUCUCUUGGAAGCAAGAAGCAGCACCUCCAGUAUUCUUUUCCAUUUUCUUUGAAAGAUUAUUGAAACACCAUAUCAUUCUAUGAUACUAACCUGUAAGCUUCCAUGAGCGCGUUGUAAGUAUACACAUCAGGCUCAAGCUUAUCUUCUUGCAUCUGCUCAAAUAUUUCUUCUGCCUUCUCACAGAGUCCCUCUCUAGCAAACGCGUUCACCAGAGCUGUGUAUGUGCAGAUAUCUGGUCUGCAUUUUUGACUUCUCAUUUCGUUAAACAACUUCAAGGCCAUGUAAGAUUGACUUGCCUGUGUACAGGAAAAAGAUUAGCAAAAUGAGUUUUUAAGGAUCCUAAACACCACUGUUGUCCAGUUAUCAGAAUUUAUAACCAUAUCCUUGAAUUUAGUCUGAUAAUUGUUUGAAAUUGAAUGCAUAUAUUUCAAGUUGUUUGUUGUAUCACUGUAGACUCGUAGACGUACGAGUUACGCAUAAUUUUCUACUGGGACCAGUGGCAUUUCAAGAAGAUCAGAUUUGCAGAAUAAUUCAGAGCCAAAUACCACUGAGCUUACCUUCCCAUGAAGGUUGAUCAACAGUGUAUAGGUGUCAGUAGAGGGCUGGCAGCCAUCAUUUUUCAUUCGCUGAAAGAUCUGAAUUGCUCUUUGAGGGUUUCCAGCCUUCGUUAACCCAUCAAUAUAAGCAUUGUAUACAAUUGCACCUGGCCAAAAUUAGAGUAUAUGCUCACUUUUCACUCAUAGAAUGUGCAUGCAAGUGUAUCAACUAUCAACAGAACAGCUUGAAAAACGAAAAUCUGAGACGUAAAUAAGAGAAUGAAACACAAAAGCAGAACUAAUGCCCUGUAUUUCACCACCACAAAAAGAAGAGAAAUAACCCACGCAAUCUCAUAAAGGAAAGCUACAGAAGCAAGUUUGUCAUCCAGGAGCCUCUAGCCUAAUCCAGUUCCGGUCUAGCUAAAUUAGCAAGGGGGUCCCUCUUGGUUUAAUCAACCAUUCUCUAAGCAUGGUGAUGUAGAUAAGGAGUAGUAAUCACUACUAUUAUAGUAGCAACAAGAAAUAUGCAGACCAUGAACCAAUCUUCUCUUUUCCUACAUUUAGUAUACUUCACCCCCGAAAAGAAAAAAGAAAUACAGCUCUGUGCAAUUAUUGAGCAAGGUUUCAAAAUUUAAAACGAAUUUAACCCCACAAAAAAUCAAUUUUUGAGGCAAAGAAUCUUACAAGUUGAGGAAAUUUUUGUUUUGUAAGAAAUGGUUGAUGUAGUCCAAUAACUUCUUGAAAAUACAAUUUCCCUAAAAGCUAAGAAGAAAUGAAUUGGUAAACACAUACUUGGAGGAAGGCUAUACUUUCGCAUAUCAACAAAGGCAGCUUCAGCUUUUUCUAACAAUCCACAUGCACAGUAAGCCUUUAUAAGAAGGGCAUAAGUGUCUUCAGUAGGGAUACACCUGGCUUGAAGAAGAUCAACAUAUGUUUCUUCUGCCUUCUCGUACAAAGAUUUUUGCCCAUAAGCAUCUAUUAGUAAAUUGUAGCACAUGACAUCUGUCUGGAAGGAGCUCUUGUACAAUAUCCAUUGACAUAUCUGGAAAUUUUAGAGUUACACCCAACAAGAUUAUUAAGAAUUAAGAACAAACGAUAUGAAAAAUGUCUAUAUAAUAAAUAGAGACAGUAAAGAGAUUUGUUUCAUUUAGUUGUAGGAAAAUGCUGGUAUAUGAGAAUUCCAAACACCAACUGCAGCACCAACCACUUAAAGGAGAUUUGAACAAUCGAGGAUUCAGUCUUAAUGGUUGAAGAGAAAAAUACUGUACAAAAAUCCUGCCACAAAAAUUUGUGCGUGCAAGGUGGUUUAAUCCAUCGCCUACCACCUUACACGAUGAAAGAAAUAAGGCACGAUUUACUCACCAAUGCAAUCGGAUCCCAUUGUUUAUUCAAACGAAGUUGGACGGCUACAUUAAUAAGAUCAUCCCAAGUCUCGUGAGUGACAGGAAGAGUAUCAAGAGCAGCCCAAACAUUAUUCGGAUCCACUUCUUUCCGCACAAAGUUCAGAAUCUGAUGAGCAACAGGACUUAGCACUGGGAAAAUUCCAUCAACAAAUCCAGAUCCAUAUUUCCAUCCUUGUCCCCUCAAAGAGCCACCUGGGUAUAAAAGAUGACUUAAUAAUUAAAGCCAUAUUUGCUUGAGCAGUUAUAUGUAUGAGCACAAAGUGAAUUACUCCGUAUUACAUCGUUUCCUGGACAUCUUUUUGUGAUCAAAGAUUCGCCAUUUGCCAUGUUUGUCGAUAUAGACCCUGUCGCUUUUCCACUUUUUAACAUCUCCACUACUGGAAUUCUUUUCUCGGCGUCUGAAAUGACCAUUCCGGAUUCUUGAUUCUAUAAAAAUAUGAUUCAGUGUGCAUCUAACAAGCAACCUGCAAACACUAAUCAAGUAAACACACAAUUGCCAGCAACAAAAUACACACCUCUUAAUUUAAAGCCAUUACACGGAGGAAGCAACCAAAUAAAAUCCAUAUAAAGGAUGCUUUAGACUUCAAAAUAAUUGGACAAAGAGAGACACUAAAACUACUUUUAAUCACAAUAGCAAACACUUGAAAUGCAAACCAGAAAACCUAGUUAAAAAAGAAGAAGAAAAGUAGUCAACUUUUCCUUUGUAAACCAAAUAUCUUUUCCCUUUCUUCCGCAGUAAUUCUUAACUGCUGUGAGUAUACGUUUUUUUUUCAUUACAGAAUCAAAUAUUAGUCUAAUCUAUCAGAUUAAACUACAAAAAUCAAAAUUUGCAAGAUAAACAAGGCCACAACUGUUGAAGACUGGUUAGAGUUCAACAACGAUAAGCAUAGCACUCUGACAGCUAAAACUGGUCCAUCAUCUUAUAACUUCUGAAGUCACAGUAAGACUUUUUAGAUAAUGAUGAUUGCUCGUUCAAUAUAUAUGAGAGCCAACAAAAUGCUAAAAUGUUUUAACUAAUAAGAACACAAAACAAUUUAGACAUACUCUCUCAAGUGAACGUUGAUACUUAGCAAUUCCAUUGAAACCCAUUUCCCAGAACAAUAAAUUCCAUGAAAAAGCAAUAUUAUCCAGCAAGAGGAGAAACACCAGAAUUGAAGUUAAUAAAUACAGAAAAUAACAAGGCAGCAUGAACAGCAUUAGCAGUGGCAUUGCAUAAGGAAAGAGAGGAAGGAAGGAUACGACUUACAUGAAAGCAUAAAAGAGGAGUUUGGAGUUGGGUAUCUGUAAACAUCCAGUAGGCAAGAAGAUAUGUGAAGAGUGUUUCUUGGAUAAUGGACUACAUGGAUGAAGACCAGCACUGCCAGACAAAAGUAGCUUCUGUUUUUUUCUGUUUACUAAGGGACAAAAGCCUCAAAAUAUCUCUAACGAACUUAAGGCGUCAAACAAUAGCGUUAUUGUAGCCUCGUGGUGUCUGAGGUUGCAUGGGAUUCUAUAUUGAGACAGUAGCUGAUAGCUAGAAUAAUCAAUUCUAAAAAAGUUUAUUUUUAAUAAUAAAAAAAGAAGAAGAUCAAAGGUUAAUUUGUUUAAACACAAUGGACAAAUUAUUGUCAUUAUUAUUAGUAUAAUUUAACAGCAGAUACUCCAGCAUGACACUUGUUGCAAAGACGAAGCUAUGAAGUGCCAAUUGAGUUGCAAUUCGACUCUACUAGCAGAAGUUUCCAUGCUAAAAAAGCGAAAACUGCUGUUAAAAUGGGUUAAAAGGCUUAUUGAGGUUGGGGUGAUUUUUUUAUUUUUUAAAAAAAUUAAUUCGCUUUUAUAUUUUCAGAGUUAAUAUUAAUUUUUUAAAAUAAUAAUAAAAAUAUCAUUUUAAUAUAAUUCCAAGCAAAAACAUAUUUCAAGGGCGAAACUUCCAUUCUCUUAAUAUAAACAGGGUUACGUCAUGCAUUUCCAUUUUUACAACAGUAGUUUUGGCUGCAAUUAGAUGGGGCAAAAUAAGCUAUAACUUUUGUGUGACUUGGAUCAAAUUGAAGAAAUAGAGUGUAAACUGAAAAAUUGAGGCAAGUACAAGGACCCAAAAAUAAAGUAAGCAUUUUAAUUCGAUAUCCAUAUUCCACGGUCCCUCUCUUUCCUUCUUCGGAGCUCCAUUGGAAUUAAAUGAGAACGGCCAUAUUACAGGUCAAGCAUUGAGAGGAGAUAAAUAUAAUUGAAAAGACCAAUUUUCUGCACUCUGUCAAACGUAUCAUAUAGGAAAUCAUAUUGAUGCAAAACUUUAGAAGCCAUCUAAGAUUGGAGAGAAGUUUUGUAACAUUUCCACAUCACAGUUCUACAAACAUGGAAUUAAUGGAAACUUCGGCUAAAAGCAACUGAUUCAAGCAAAUUCCAGAGGAAAGUAACACAAGUAUCUCGAUUGGUGUCAAUACUGGCAAGAACUCCACUUUAGCCAAAAAAUACAAUGUCUAUUCCACUUCAGCCAAAUAAUCAUCAAUUUCGGCUGGAGUUAGUACCCUGCAGUAAAGAAAGCACAAGGGAUAAGUUUGCCAUGGUCAUGCCACACAUAAAUUCUUCCAAGGAAGCUUAAACAUCCAAAGAAAUAGUGGAUUGGCCAUUUUGAACACGAGAUCCAUAUGUAAAUUGUCAGACUGAAACUAGAGCAAGGGUGCGUGAAAAUCAGAACUUCAAAACUGAAACCACAAGUGGAAGGCCAUAUAUGAAAUUGGUGAGAUCCAAAAGAUUUUAGAUAUCAGAUUUUAUCUAGUUAUGAACUGUGUUAACAAAAAUGUGCAUCCUGCAAGUUACUUCUGGAACUCAUCCUAAGCUUGAAAUUACGUGACACUAUUACCAAGUUUAACAAGGAAAAAGGGUACAAUUUCAAUGUUUUUCAAAGAGCAUGCCUGAAUUGACAUGCAAAGACACCUGGUACAGCUGUGGACCUUUGUCAUCAAAACCAGCGAUUAGUAAAGAUACUCCAAAAGGCCUUACACCUCUGCGAGGAAAAACAAAGGAUGAGUAUUUUCAAACUUCAAGAAUAAGAGCAUGAAGAGUUGACAUGCUGAUGCAGGAACAUAGGGAGAGAGUUGUUGGCCUAUUAGAAUAAGGACUAAGGUUAUGAACUUUGGAAAUUAAAAUUCAGAUCUAAAUUACAAAGGAAAUCAACUAAAACCACUGAAACACUUUGAAUGUAUAAAAGAUGUUCCAGUACCCAGAUUGAGUAAACUCUUGCAUGACAGCAGCAGUUUCCCUCACAAGUUGUGUGACAGGAAUUGGUUCCUACAAUCAUAAAAAUUCACAAGUUACAACCUUCCCGAUUAACAACAAAAGAUGACAAUGAAUUGAUAUAAAAUAGUAAUUGGAUAUUUAACUCUUGGAUUUCAAGCAAAAUUAAGCUGUUUUGGGGGUCAGAAUGGCAUUGUUGGGAAUAAGACAACUAAUAAGAAGUCUUGUAAUAUAGACAACCUCAAUACCUGCUUUCCACUUUGGACCUUAGCACGAAUAUCUAAAGGAAAUGUAAUUACCCCGACGCCUCCCCAGGCGGGUGAUAUCUUAUCUUAACCAGGUUAUCAAGCAUUAGACGAAUUAUAUACAUGAGUUUGUUUAGAGGCAUCAAAAGGAUGCACAUAUCCCAUUCAUAAGAUAAGCCAAGAAAAUUUAGCAACCUUAUCACUUAUCAAUGACAUGAAAAGAAAAGCUGAAGAACAAACGUGAAGCAAAAUAAUAAAGAAAAUCUUGAAGAUACCACCUUGUACAGUCUAUGAUAUUGCUCUGCUUGCUUCCUACUUUUCCGAACCAAAACUAGAAAGUCAGGACCCAUUCCACUGCAACAAAAUACAUGUGAUUCAGCACUGUUAAGAAAAAAGUACAGCAAAGCAACCCAUUUUGACAUAGGUAAUAAGUUGCACAAGUUAGUAAGAAGUGGCUCAUUGAGCAACCAAAUUGCCAAGAUGUCUUAUUUCAAACCCAAGUACAGAGGAACUACAUAUUUGUCCCCCUCUUUUUUUCAGUUGAAACAGAAACAGGGUACAUGUACAACGUGUUAAAGUCACGUCCAUAACCAGACCAAUUAAGAACAUUGACCUACAAGGAGUUCCACUGAAGUUCAGAUUAUAACAACAGGCAUGCUUCUAUCUCAAUUUACCACCCCGGGUCAAAUUUCACACUUAUCAGGACACUAUAACAACAGCAGAAACUAUACAAUUUCCCACCAAACAUAAAGAGAGCUUUGAAUCUACACACCCGCCUGCUACAAUCAUUCAUGACAGAUAUUUUAGCAAUAAUUAAGGCCAGAGAAACACAAGCUAAAAAAAUGGAACUUCCUAAUUACUGAGAAGCAGGCAGAAACAAACCUGUAGACAACUCCAAUAUUGGGUGUCAGAUUCUGUAUUUUCUGAACCUGAAACAAGAAGCAAUUAAAUACCAUCAACAACCAACUCAAGUUACAUCCCAUCUUGCAAAUUAGAAUAAUAGACCAAUAAACUGGCUUCAAAAUCAAACCAUCUCCACCUCAGUCAACACGAUUUAAAAUAACCAACACUGCCUUUUUAUACAAUGUGGGAUUAAAGAGGAUAUAAAUCUACACACUCCAACAUUCAAAGCCCCAAUCUUAGAGUCAUUGACUAGUAUAGUAACGCCUCAUUGGCAGGAACCCAAAUCACUAAGCUCAAAUUACUAAUAAAAAUUACAAAUUUACACCGAAUUUGAACAGAUUUCUACCAACCGAUGUCACUAAAGAAAACACAAAAAAAAAAAAACGCAAAAAACCAAAAGGGCUUCUUGAAUUUAAACCAAAGAAUAUAACAAAACCAAUAAAAAAAAUAAUAAAUGUUUACUUACAGAAGAUUCAUCGACUAAAAUAGAUGGCAAUUUCUUCUCAGUUGCAAUAACAACACCGUUUGCCGCUACAACACCAAAAAAAUAAUAAAAUCAACAACAUAAUAUCUAAGCACUCAUCAACAACGUAGUGCAUUCGAAAAUGACAAGAAAAUGAGAGAAAAAAAGAGAGAGAGGGAGCUUAAAUUGCAACAACCUUUGAUUCCGAGAGAAGUUUGGCCUGAUCCAACGGCAGUCAAUGCGUGCUCAAUCUGUACUAGCUUUCCGGUAGGACUGAAAGUAGUGAGAGAAAAGGAGUACUGGCUAUCACCCAUGGUUUAUUGCUUGAAGACGCAGAGAGGAAAAACUGAGAAUGCGAGUGUGUGGGAGAGAAAGACAGGGAUAUUUACUUGGGGUUUUAAGUUUUAACUUUGCUUUUCUCGUUGGAGAAGAAGGUGUUUUCUUACGAGGGCUUUCACAAGGGAGUAUUAUGGGCUUUUAUGACGGCAGGUUGGUCCUCUUUACAUUGAGCUCAAUGAAGGCUCGGAACCAGUUUUGUUUUUAAGUAUUAUUAACAAAUUUUUAUUUAUUUAUUAAUAUAAAUAAUUUUUAAUUUAUUUAAUUACAUUUAUAUAUAUAAUUUUUAAUUUAUUAUAUUUUUUGAACUAGAAAAAUAUAUUUAAAGAACUGCAUAUAUAAAUUUUUAUAAAAAAUAAAAAUAUUUGACUCAUAAUAAAUCAUUCAUAUUUUUAUAAAAAAAUAAAGAUGGGUAAACUCUUAAUUAGGCCUUGCUGCUGAAUUUUGUUGUUGAUUUGUAAUUUAAUUAUUGUUUAAGAUUUUUUGUGUUAGAUUUGGAUAACUUUAUUUGGAUUUAAUCUCCAAAAUUGAUGGGUAUCAUCACUUAUAGAUGAAUGGUUUAGCUUCUCUCAUUUAUUUGGAUUUAAUCCACUGAAACUGAGGUUAAGAAUUUCUUGGAUUUAAUCCACUGAAACAGUUGCUUGAUCAAGAUCAUUGGCUUGUUUGAAGGCAGAUAAAGGCUUAAAAAAAAGGCGAGAGGGAGCGAGAAAGAGAGGAUGUGAGAAAUAAUUAUAGUUGAAACAAAUGAAUUACAUAUCAUUUUAUGUUGAGGAGAGAGAGAGAGGAUGUGAGAAAUAAUUAUAUCAUCUUAGAUUACAAAUCAUUUUGAGAAAAUCUAAAAGAAAAUAUCAUCUUAGAUUAAUUAUAGAUAUGAGUUGCAGUAGUUGAAAUUUCAAAGGCAAUUUUUUUAGAGUAGCAUUUGGAGAAUUUAAGUAAGGAAUAAGCUUCACGUGAGCGAGAUAAUAUCACAGCUGCAUUUGAUAGAGUAAAUGGUAAGUAGGAACUAAAAUCGAAUUACAGUAAAGAGGUCACAUAGAGUAAAUGGUAAGAAUUAACACCAAAGCAAAUAAUUAAUACCCUCAAAAAAGUUCUGCCUUUCUCACCUAAUCAUAAAAAUCAAUGUUUGGGAUGUGAGAAAUCUUUUGCCAAUCUUCACCCAUCUCCUCCUUCCCGUAACGUUCCCUUAGAAUGGGGCACCAUCUUAUCUCCAAUUCCUGUAGAGGCGCUGCCAAAACAUAGUCUGGUAGUGCUCUCAACAACGGGCAAUUAACAAUCAUCAACUCUCGAAGUUGUGGCAUAAUGGAUAUUAUUGAAGUUGUGUUGGCAUCUUCUUCUCCCAAGGAUCUCCUUUCAAUUCCAUCCCACUCCUCUACUUCUGUGAGACCCUCCAUCGCAAGUUUUUUUAAUUUGGGGAAAGCAGUGACCCUUGCAAUUUCUCCUUCAUUAAUACUGGCAUUCUCAUCUUUUUCUAUACCUAAAAAUCCAGCAUCCAGCCUUCUCACCUUCAUCAAAAUCAAUACCAGGCUUUCAAGGUUGGGCAAUCUACCCAACGGAGGCAAGACCUCCAGGUUUUCACAAUAACGGAGUGUAAGCACCUGUAAUCUGGUUAAUGCCAUCAUCCAAUUUGGCAAAUCCAACCCUCCGUACCCAUAUAUGGUUAGAUUUUCCAAGUCUGACGGAGGCCGUAAAGCUUCAAAUAAAAUGCCGUCCUCCAGGUUGUGGUCGAAAACCAAUUCCAAACGAAGCAGGCGCUUCUUAUUCUUGAGUUGUGCUUCUGCAGCGUCCCUCGCAUCUUCUUUACCUCCUCCUAGAUUCCCUAUCUGAAGACUCCCUCCAAUGUGAUUUAAGUUUUUUAAUUCUCUUAGAUUAGCUGCUUUACUUUCAUUCUCACCACCACCACACACAAAAAACUGGUCUAAUGUUCGAAGACAUGUUAUCCUCUCUAUUCCCUUUGGUAUGAAGGCCACACCUGAACCAUAAAUCCGGAGAUGCCUCAAUUUGAUAAGUUUUCCAAUCGCCCGAGGUAAUUCGUUGAGAUAACAACACUGAGUAACGUCUAGGGAUUGCAGAUUGCAUAAAUCACAAAUGGUUUCUGGCAGGGACUCCAACAUUCCACAAAAUGCCAAAUUGAGGUGUCUCAAAUGUAUCAAUUUCCCUACCUGAUUUGGUAUUUCUCUGAUAGAAGACUCUGACAAAUUCAAUGACCUGAUGCAUGUCAACUGCUUGAAUAAAUCAGGUAGUGCAGCUCCAAGCGAAGAGUCUCCAGUGUGGAUCAAGAGGCUGCGAAGACCUUUUGCUUUGUGAAUGGACUUGGGAAAAGAGGUCACCGCUAAAUGACGAACCCUUUCAAUUGAAGUCUUCACUGUUAGACAUUCAUUUUUUGUCAUAUAUUGGGCAAAAUCAUGCACUAUAUCAUGCAUCUUGAAUCUCAUUCCUUCACGAUCACUCUUCUCAAAAUCUUGGAAGAAAGAGCGCGUUGCUAAGACUUGAAAGUACUGCUCUCCUACAAGCUCCAUAUCUCCACCUGAAGUCUCCUUGAGGUAACCUUGAGCCAUCCACAUCUUCACCAAUUCAUCUUUGUCCAUCUCGUAGUCUUUUGGAAACAUGGCACAAUACAAGAAACAUCGUCUUACCACAGAAGGUAAAUCGUAGUAACUCAAAAGCAAAGGUGGAAAUAGUCCUCUUUCAACAUGUUCUAGCUCCCACAGUUCGCUAGAUAAAACAUGUUCCCACUCUUCUCUUGUUCUUUUAGACUGCAUUAGACCUCCUAAUACCUUGGCAGCUAGAGGCAAGCCCUUGCACUUGCUUGCAAUUUUGUCGCCGAUUUCUGUCAAUCUUUCGCACUCAUCUUUGCUUCUUUUAUGGAAUGCCACCUGAUUGAAUAUUGACCUGCAUACCUCAUCAGACAAUUUCUCAAGGUUGAUCACGUGGUCAGUUCCUAUCAUGGUUGCCACAGAAUGUUUACGACUGGUCACUAGAAUUCUGCUUCCUGUUGCACCGCCUUUGAGAGAUAGUUUCAGUGGUUCCCAUUGUCUAUGAUUUUCUGUCCAGACAUCAUCUAGGACAAGAAGGAACCUCUUUCCCUUAAUUGAUUCAGAAACACUUUGCAAAAGGGAUUCCAAUUCAACUAAAUUCGGUGCACCCCCUUGAAGCGCCUCAAGGAUAGCUUUUGAUAUCCUAACCUCAUCGAAUGGAUCUGAUACACACACCCAUAUCUUUUUCUCAAAAUGAGCCGUAACCCGAGCAUCAUUAAAAGCUAGUUGGGCGAGAGUUGUCUUUCCAAUCCCGCCCAUUCCUACUAUAGAGAUCUCCACGUCCCCUGCUUCCUGAAUACUUUCGCCCAGCAACUUGCUUACUACAGCUUCCCUUUCAUCAUCUCGACCACGCACGAUUGAUUCAUCAACAAGGGAGGUACUUGUUAUUCGUUGUAGUUCAUCAGUGGCUCUGUACAACUCAAAGCCAAACAUAGCUCUCUCUUUGGUAAUCUCAUCCACUUUUUCACAUACUUCUUUGAUCUUGAGGGCAAUGUCGCGACGUCGAGCCACUUGAUUGAAACAAAAGCAAGGAGAUCCCAGGAAGGAACAUCGCAUCUUCUGUAGGCUGCGAGUAUUUUCUUCAACUUCCUCCAUUUUCCAUCUAAGAAUUGCAGUGCUCCAUUCAUCUAGCACGUCAUCCAUAUCAUAGCAUACAUCUUUGAGCUUGUCUGCCCAAUCCCUUACAGCCUUAUCCUUCACUUGUUUUCUAUCUGCAUCUUCAAGGACAGAUUGGAUAGCAAGGAGAUUGCUUUUCAGCUUGUCGACUUGUUUCUGCACACCCCCUACUAGGUUCACUUCUUCCUGUACCUAUUGGUGUAGAAAAGACCAGAAAGUUCAAGCAGAGGAAACAGUUCUAUGAUUUCACUACAAGUUUUUAAUUUUAAUUUUUGGGAAUUAAUAGAUUAAAUAAUUUUUAUUAAUCUUUUUUCCGCAUAGUUCACACGUACAGUGAAUUGGAUUGGCUAUAUUAUAAAUUCAUAUAUAAAAUAUUUAUUAAGAACCUAUAUAUUAAAAAUAAUAAUAUUUCUUUUUAUCAUCAUCAUGAUGAUAUCUCUGUCUGCACUCUGCUACUAUACAAGAAAGGAAAAAAAUGAAUCUUAAAUUGUUCGACGUCAAACCUGUAUAUAACAUAAGCUUGGCGGAUCAAAGAAAUAUAAAAGGAAUAAAAGGAAAGUGAAUAAAAGGAUCUGUAUUUGUUGUUAUUUGUAAAGUCUAUAAUAAGAUUAUGGAAGAAAAAAAAGACUUAAAUUUUUAUAUUUCUUAUCAUGUUACGGUUAAUUCGAUCAUUGCAAAUUGUAUAAAAGUAAUUACCUGUUGAGCAACGACCGUGGUUAACUGCUCCAAAAUUGGCGAUAAAAGUGCCUCUGCCAUUUGUCUUUUUGGUUUAAUUUUAUUUUUAAAAAAGAGAUAAUUAUGAUGAUGAACUGAGAGAGAGAGAGAAGAGUGUGAGGGGAAGGAGGCUGCUGGUUGUGAAAUGAAGAGAGAGGGUUAGUUUAUGUACUUGGGGUUUGGUGAUGAGGGUUGACUAUUGUUUCCAUCCCUGUACUGUUUCUAACAUUUCAAUUCAGUCCCUGUAUUAUUGAACGUUUCAGUCUAGUCUCGGUCAGGGGUUUCCAUCUGCGGAUGGCUUUUCCUGAUUGUAUGUUUCUACUGAGAAUGACAUGCCAUUUUGAGUUCCAAAGGUGAAACACUCGUGCUUUUCUAACUUUUCCUGGCUAAGGAUUAUUAUUUGUGGAAAGUAAUUUCUUCUUCGAUUUAUAGCAAUUAUUUUGGAUUGAUACUGACCUUAGGUUAAGAAUGCUGUAGUUUCUACUGAAAUGUAUCUGAUACAGACCUUAGGGACAACUGAUUAUAGCAUUCUUCUCGUCUGCUUCUCUAUUUCUUCUCUUCAUUUUAUGUUAUUCCACUAGUCUUCCAAACUGGAUCACGGUGAUAUAUAUCUGUCCAUCCAAACUAAUUUACCCAAACCAAAAGUAGUAACCAAUUAGCUCGUGUAAUGGAACUAUAAACAAGCAUCUAUCUUUCUGGGUUUUUGAGAUCAGGUGAUUUUAUCCUGUUUUCAUAGCAGGGACUGGGGUUUGAUAUUGAUCUUUGAUUUUACCCAAACCAAAAGUUUGAAAGGAUUGCUGGUUUGUGUGAUUGGAGCUCCUUUCAAUGGGUGUGAAAAGGCCAAGAAAUGAGCAAGAUUUUCUGGAGGAAAGGAUUCAUAUUGUCUGGACUCAAUCACCUUCCUUUCUUCUUCUUCUUCUUUCUGCAGGAAAAAAGUAGAGCAGAGCAACCCUUUUUGACAGAGGCUAGUAAGUUGCAGAAGUUAGUAAGAAGUGGAUCAUUGAGCAACCAAAUAGCCAAGAUGUCUUAUUUCAAACCCAAGUACAGAUGAAUGCCGUAUUUUUAUUUUUCUAAGGAACUGCAUAUUUGUCCCCCCACUUCUUCUUUUUCUGUUGAAACAGCGACAGGGUACGUGUACUCUAGAAAAUAUUUAGAAUGGAAACAAAUAGAAAGUAGCUUAAAAUUGUGAAAAUAUUGUUUUUAAAUUGUUUAUUUCAAACCUAAUUAAUAAUAUGUUUUUGUUUUAGAUAGUUUUUGUGAUUCUGAUUUGAAAAAAAAUAAGUUUUAAAAAAGUACAGCUAGCUGUGAUUAAUUGAAUUUAAAUACGUGUUUAAUAAAAAUUAUGGUUAAAGUUUAUGUAUAAUAAAAAAUAUGUAUAAAAUAUUUGAUAGUUAUGUUUGAGACUGUGGUUGUGAUUGUUUUUUAAAGUGUUUUUUACAUUAAAAUAAUAUUUUUUUAUUUUAAAAAAAUUAUUUUUGAUAUCAGUGCAUCAAAAUGAUCUGAAAACACCAAAAAAAUAUAUUAAUUUGAAAUAAAAAAAAAUUGUUUUUUACCAGUAAAUCAAAGUGUUUUUUACCUCAUUUUUCCUUGAUUAAUUCUAACUACGAAACAGCUACUGCACCAACAAGAUGGAAAAGGCUCACCAAGAUGUUCUCUUUGAAAAGAUUCUCAAUGAGUCGUUGACAUCUCAUACUUGUCUAAAAAUUUUAAUCUUUUUUUGGAAAAGAUUCUCAGUGAGUCUGUCUCCUGGCUUAUUGAUCAACACUUUUAUCAUAUUGUGAACAAACAUGUCAAUUUCCAGAAUUUUAUUGAGUAGGAUGACUGUAUAGAAUUACUCUGAUUUAUCAACACAUAUCAAAUUCUUGCUGCUGCUGAGGAAGAUAUCCUGCACUUAGCCAUCAUAGAGGGUAGCAAGGUUUUGUGUUGAUGGUAAUUACACUGACUCAUCGUCUAUCAUCUAGAAUUCAAUUUUAAAAAAUAUUGCAAGAAAUGUUUUUUUUCCUAAAUACAUCGAUCGGGUGUGGAUAGAUUGAUUACAAAGCGACUUCCUAAAAAGUCUUGGUCUUAAUAUGCAAAGAUGAUCCAAGUAUGCCAUAUAUUAUUUUUUUAAAAUAAAACCCACAUAUCUAGUCCACGCAAAGGUACUCGAAUAUGGAUUUGUAAAAAUAAAAAUGAAUAUUUAUACGAAAUUGAAUUGUGCAAAUAAAACCCACAGAUCUAGUCCAUGAUCUACGGCUCCUCCAGAGUUCCGUAGUGGUGUCUUUCUCAACUAUUCUUUAAAUAAAAUGUUUGGGAUGUGAGAAAUCUUGUGCCUAUCUUCACCCCUCUCCUCCUUCCCGUAACGUUUCCUUAGAGAAUUUAUGUAGAGGCGCUGUCAAAACAUAGGCCGGUAGUGCUCUCAACAAUGGGCAUUUGAGAAUUCUAAACUCACAAGUUGUGGCAUGAUGAAUAUUGAAGUCGUGGUGGAAUCUUCUUCUCCCACUCUCCUUUCAAUCCCAUCCCACUCUUCUAGUUCUUUGAGAUGCCAAAUGCUGAGUUUUUUCAAUUUAGGGAAAGGAGAGUGGUAGUUUUUUCAAUUGGGGCAAUACUCUUCCAAUUCUCUUUCACUAAUAUUUAUUGGUGGAAAAAAUCACUGAUAGUAGUUUUAAAACACUCAAAGAAAAUAAAACAUAUUGUUUUAUUUCAACAACAAGAAGCUUACAAUAAUUAAACAAAAGCUUUUAAUACACACCCUCUUUUUCUCUCUAGUGUUCAUCUCUUAUCUUUCCCACACACAAUUACAUAAACUUACCUAUCUAUUUAUACACAAAUUAAAAGUAAAAAAAAAAAAAUCAAACUUCAAGUGUGAAGGCGGCUGGUGGCUAAACAGUGGGGUCCUUUUGUAUUUUGUCAAAAGAGAUGAAAUUAUAAUCAAUGAUGAUGAUAUAUAUAUAUAUAUAUAUAUAUAUAUAUAUAUAUAUAUAUAAACUACUAUGUGCAUUCUAUAAUUUAGUUAUAUAAUACAAUAGAUCUUUACAAUUAGUGAUUUCAACUUACCAAUAGAGAAAUUAUAGUAGAUCUUUACUAUGAUAUAUUCAAAAUAAAUAAAUAAAACAGGUAUACUUCAACACGCAUAUUAUACAUACACUUCUUUUUUAAAAAUUAAUCAUAAAAAAUUGAUUAGUUAUUUAUUAUAAAAAUCAGACCUGUAAGUUAUAUCUAAAUCAUUGAAAAUAGUAAAGGUAAACUAAUUAGAAGAGACAAUGUAUUUCAAAUUAGUUAAUUUAUAUAGAAUUAUUUUAGUUACUAAAUUAAAAAAUUCAAAUUUUUAUAUCACUUGGAAUACAUAAGGUGGAUUUAAUCCACAAAAUCGAUGGGUGAUAACCUCUAAGAUAUCGAUGGGUACAUAUAUGGUGGAUUUAAUCCACAAAAUCAAUAAGAGACCAAUCGGCUAGCUCCAAAAUCAAACCAUCUCCACCUCAUUCAAACACGAUUUAAAAUAAUCAACACCACCUUUUUAUACAAUGUGGGAUUAAUGAGGAUAUAAAUCCAAGGCUCCAACAUCCAAAGUCUCAAUCUUAGAUUUAUUAGCUAGUAUAGCAACGCCUCAUUGGCAAGAACCCAAAUCACUAAGCUCAAAUUACUAAUAAAAAUUAUAAAUUUUCAGAUAAUAUUUUUAAUAUUUAAUCUUUCUAGCAAUUGAUGAUAGCAAUUGCAAAUGAAUAGAGGAGGAAGCAUCGAGAUCAUUGGCUUGUUUGAAGGCAAAUGGACCCUUUGAUCGUUAGAUGAUGCAUCUAAAUGAGGCUCCACAUUAUAAAAGCGUAAUUAGGUGGCACGCGCUAUCCCACAAACUCACCUUAGAUUUUCAAAAUAAAAUUAGAUGGAGGAUCCAUGUCUAUUUGGGUCCUCCCUAGACAGGACCCCAACAUAUUCGGGUCCAGUAACGACCAGGUCCAAGUCUAGCGUUGGGCUAGGUUGGGUAGGACCCAAGGUUAUUUGGGUGUACCUGGCAGAAUCCAAGAUUGUUUUUGAGUCCUGCAACUAAUAAUUAUAUGUAAUUUCUAAAUGAAACUAAAUGUAAAAUUAAAUAUAAUUUGAUAAAAUUAUUAUAAACAUUUGGUAAAAUUAGUAAAUGAUAUAACAUUUUCUUUCAAAUUCAUCAAUUAUUUAAAUAUUAAGUACAAAAAAUACUCUUAUGAAUUUUGAUAAAAAUAAUAAUAUUUAUAAUACAACUGAUAACAUUUUUAGUAUUAAAUUAUUAAUUAAUAUAAAUAAUAUUAUUUAUAACACCAAAAAUAAUAAUAUUUUUGAGAUUAAUACUAUUAAUUAGACUAAAAAAUAAUAUUAAUAAAACAAAUAAUAAUAUUUCUAAUACUAAUACUAUUAAUUAUACUAAAAAUAUAUAUUAAUAAAAAUAUAAAAUACUCUUAAUAUUAAUUAUACUAAAAAAAUAUUAAUAAAACAAAUAAAUAUUUUAAUACUAACUUGUAAUUAUACUAAAAAUAUGGGCAGCCCAAGCGCUAAGUGAUGCUUGGACUACACUCAAGAGAAAUCAUAUUAUUUUAAAAUAUUUGUCCACUAAUUGCUAUUGAAUUUAAAAUAAAUAUACUUUUAAAACUAAUAUAAAGUUACCAAUAGUCGAUUUGAUAGCUGCUUGCAUAAAAUCUCAUUGAAUUUGGCCAAUGGUUUUUUAGAAUAAAGUAAAAAAAAAGUUAUUUCAAAACAUAACCAAAGUAGUUUUAGUUAUUUGUCAGAAACUAGUAUAUCCCAUAAAAAUCAGAGUUUUGGAUGAAAUAAAAUCAAUUCUAAAAUCAAACGCCGAUUGAAGCUUCAACGCAUUUGUGAACUAGAGAAUUUAAUUAUUAAACUCGUUUGUUUCGCGUUCAAAAAUAUUUUAAAAUUAUUUUAUUUUUUAUUUAUUUUUUUGUUUUUUAAAUUAAUAAUUUUUUUAGUAUAUUUAGAUCAUUUUAAUGUGUUUAUAUAAAAAAUAAUUUAUAAAAAAUAAAAAAAAUUAUUAUUUUAAUAUAUUUCUAAUAAAAAAUACUUUGAAAAAUAAUUAUAAUAAUACUGUCACACAUGCUGUUUAAUGUUUGUUCAAAAAUUGUGCUUUUUAAAAUAUGCAUUCUAACGCAAAGAAAGCAUAUAAAACACAUCAAAGUUGCAAAAGUACGUAGUUUUAAUUAUUAGCAAAAGUAUUCUAAAAUAUGAAAAGAUAGGUUUAAAUACCCUAAAUAUCCGUAAAUAACUAGAAAAAAAUUAAUAAAACUAAAAUCCAAAAUUAUCAAGGCAAAAAUCUAAAAUAUGGUCUGAAACUUCAAAGGCAAUUUUUUUAGAGUGGCAUUUGGAGAAUUUAAGUAAGGAAAAAGCUUCACGUGAGCGAGAUAAUAUCAUCUUAGAUUAAUUCUUUAACAUGUAAAAUUUAAGUCUAAUUCAAUAAUUAAAUAAAAAAUUACCUCUUCCUGCCGGUCUUAACUAUUCUUUAAAUAUAAACAUAUGAAUUACAUAUUAUUUUAUAUAUGUUGAGAGAGAGAGAGAGAGAGAGAGAGGAUGUAUACUAUAUAUAUCACAGCUGCCUUUGAUAGAAUAAAUGGUAAGUAGGAAAUACAAUCCAAAGUCAACAUUAUACAGUAAAGAGGUAUAUGAAACAUACCUCGUCCUGCCUGUCCUACAGAUUAUGGUAAGUCGGAAAUCGAAUUACAGUAAAGAGGUCACAUAGAGUAAAUAGUAAGGCUUACAUAUUAUUUACACUCAACCUUAGCAAACACCAAAGCAAAUAAUUAAUACACUCAGAACCAAAUCUUUUACCGUUAAGAAUUAACACUGGUGGAAGAAUUUAUCAUCAAAAUAAAUGUUUGGGAUGUGAGAAAUCUUUUGCCAAUCUUCACCCAUCUCCACCUCCUUCCCGUAACGUUAGAUUGGGGCAACCAUAUGCGUAGAUCCUGUAUAGGCGCUGCCAAAACAUAGUCUGGUAGUGCUCUCAACAACGGGCACCAACGAAUUGUCAACUGUCGAAGUUGUGGCAUAAUGGAUAUUAUUGAAGUUGUGUUGGCAUCUUCUUCUCCCACUCUCCUUUGAAUUCCAUCCCACUCUUCUACUUCUUCGAGAUCCCAAAUCUCAAGUUUUUUAAUUUGGGGAAAGCAGUGACCCUUGCAAUUUCUCCUUCCUUAAUACUGGCAUUCUCAUCUUUUUCUAUACCUAAAAAUCCACCAUCCAGCCUUCUCACCUUCAAAAGUACCAGGUGUUCAAGGUUGGGCAAUCUUCCCAACGGAGGCAAGAACUCCACGUUUUCACAAUAACGGAGUGUCAGCACCUGUAAUCUGGUCAAUGUCAUCAUCCAAUUUGGCAAUUCCAACCCUCCGUAACAAUAUAUGCUUAGAUCUUCCAAGUCUGACGGAGGCUGCAAAGCUUCAAUUAAAGAGCCUUCAUGCUCUGGCAACACUGUUUUCUCUCCGAAGAAAUUCAAUACCAAACGAAACAGGCGCUUCUUAUUCUUGAGUUGUGCUUCUGCAGCGUCACUCGCAUCUUCUUUACCUCCUCCUAGAUUCCGUAUCUGAAGACUCCCUCCAAUGUGAUUUAAGUUUUUUAAUUCUCUUAGAUUAGCUGCUUUACUUUCAUUCUCACCACCACCACACACAGUAAACACAUCUAAUGUACCAACAGGUGUGUGGCUCAAGUGGUGAAGGGGGCAGCUCUCCUUUCAUCGAACCCAGGUUCGAAUCCCAGUGGGAGUGGGGCUGGAGAGUUUGCUCUCUUCCUAUUUCUCUUGGGUCCUCCCUGUGCGGUAUCCCUGUCACCCCCGCGGUGUCUUACCUGCUCACUAGGGCUUGCAGGAUGUUCAGUGGGCCGUGGGAUUAGUCGUGGUGCGCGUAAGCUGGCCCGGACACCCACGUUAUCAAAAAAAAAAAAAAAAAAAAAAAAACACAUCUAAUGUUUAGUUAUAUAAUUGAUCAUCGUGGCUACAAAAUGAAGUGGAACUAAUAAUUAAUGGAGUGGAAUACUAAAUAAAAUGAAUUGCUAUGUGUAUUCUAUAAUUUAGUUAUAUAAUAUAGGCAGAUAUGUACAAAUUAGUCAUUUCAACUUAUCAAUAAAGAAAUUAUAAUAGAUUUUCACCGUGGUAUGAUCGCAAUAAAUAAAAUAAAAUAGAUAUAUCUCACAGCAUUAAUAAUUUUUUAGUUUUUGUUAAACAAUGUCAACAUAUAUAUAUAUAUUAUACAUACACUCAUUUCUUUAAAAAUAAUUAUAAUAAAAUUAAUUAGUUAUUUAUUAUAAAAACCUGACCUAUGAGUUAUGUCUAAGCUGUUAAAAAUAGUAAAAAUAAAAUAAUUUGAAAAUAGAAUUAUUAAUUAAUUUAUAUCAAGUUGUUUUAUUUAUUAAAUUAAAAAAUCCAAGUUUUAUAUCACCUAGAUUACUUAUGUUGGAUUUAAUCCAUAAAAUUGAUGGGUAUCAUCUCUUAUAUAUGAAUCGAUGGGUAUCAAGUUACAUGCCAUCUUGCAAAUUAGAAUAAUAGACCACUCGACUGGCUCCAAAAUCAAACCAUCUCCACCUCAUUCAACACGAUUUAAAAUAAUCAACACCACCUUUUUAUACAAUGUGGGAUUGAUGAGGAUAUAAAUCUACAGACUCCAACAUCCAAAGUCUCAAUCUUAGAGUUCUUAUCUGGUAUAGUAACGCCUCAUUGGCAAUAACCCAAAUCACUAAACCCUAAAUCACUAAUAAAAAUUACAAAUUUACACCGAAUUUGAACAAAUUUCUACCAGCCGAUGUCACUAAACUCAAAUUACUCCUAAAAAUCUCAAUAUAAACCCAUUAACUACUAGACCAACAACUCAUUGGCUAGAAUCCACGUUGCUUUUCCACAACAAUCAUCAGCUUCUUCAAUUAGGAUGCUACAAGCCCUUGUCUAUAUACUAGCUUAAAUUGCAACAACCUUUGAUUCCGAGAGAAGUUUGGCCUGAUCCAACGGUAGUCAAUGCGUGCUCAAUCUGUACUAGCUUUCUGGUAGGACUGAAAGUAGUGAGAGAAAAGGAGUACUGGCUAUCACCCAUGGUUUAUUGCUUGAAGACGCAGAGAGGAAAAACUGCGAAUGCGAGCGUGUGGGAGAGAAAGGCAAGGAUAUUUACUUGGGGUUUGAACUUUGCUUUUCUUGUUGGAGAAGGAGGAGUUUUCUUACGAGGGCUUUUACAAUGGAGUAUUUUGGGCUUUUAUGACGGCAGGUUGGUUCUCUUUACAUUGAGCUCAAUGAAGGCUUUAAUUUUUUAAACUUAACUUUAUCCGGGUCAGUUCACGGGAGAAGUUUAAUUUUUUUUUUUUUAAGAAAAUAAAAUAACAUUAUUUUUAGUACUUUUUUAAAAUGAUAUUUUACCUGAGUCCACAGGCGAUGUAUAAAGUUUUUUUUAUUUAAAAUAAUAUUUUUUUUUUAUUUUAAUAUUUACUUACUAUUUGUAUACUAAAACAGUAAAACAUGUGAGAUUUUCACUUUAUAUUUGUUACUGUGCAAAAUUUUAUUUUUUAGUUUAGUCCUCAAACUUUAUUUUUGAACUAUCAAGUCCUAUUUAAAAAACAAUUGAUUUUAAAUUCUGAUAAAAAAUUUGGAUUGGAAGAGAGGAACUGAAAUGAAAAACACGAUAGAUAUGGGUAACGCACCUUAAAUUUUUAAAACAUUCUCUUUGGUCUUCCAACUUAAACAAUCACACAAAUUAUAUAAUUUUGGUACCUCAAAAUUGUUCCAAUUCCAUUUUGGUGCGAAGAUUUAUUUUUGUUAUUUUCUAGUUCCUAAUUAAGAGAGGAGAGAAAGAAAGGGGUCACUAGAUUCCAAUAAUAAAAAGAGAAACUUGUCGUUGACACCAACUUAAACCACUAAAAUAAGGGAUCUUUAUGUCAAAUUAUUAGGGGAGUUCCUAUUAGAUGUUUUUGUAACUUAAAAGUUCAUGAAAAAAAGGAUCUAAACUCGGGUUAAUUUUUUUUAUUUUAGACUGUGUUUGGUUUUUUAGGCAGUUUUUUGGAUCUAGUAUGGUUUCCCGAUCCAAGUACCUAGGGUCUGGCAUAGUUGCUAUAAAAAUAUAACUUUAAAGAAUAUAAUUAAAAACAAAUAAAGUGACGUGAUUAGUUAAAAACUAAAAAUAAUAAUAAAAAAAAAGACUUAACCUCAUUUUUUUGUUGUUCAGAAGGCUUCUUUUAAAUAAUAUUAAUUUUUUUUAUGAGUUUAAUUUUCAGAGAGGUUUUCUAGUGUAUUUAUGGUUUUGUUUGUCUUUUAUAUAAAUAAAUUAUAUUUUGAAAAUAACAAAAUAUUUAUUUUCAGAUAAUAUUUUUAAUAUGUAGUCUUCGUAGUGAUUGAUGAUGCCAAUUGUAAAUGAAUGGAGGAGGAAGCAUCAAGAUCGUUAGCUUGUUUGAAGGCAGAUAGACCUUUGAUCAUUAGAUGAUGCCUCUAAACGAGGCUCCAUAUUAUAAAGGCAUAACAAAGAGAGGAUGAGAGAAAUAAUUAUAGACCAGUUAGGUGGUUUGUGCUACAUCGCGGGCUCACCUUUAAUUUCUAAAAUAAAACUGGGUGAGUACCCAAGUCUAUUUAGGUCCUUUUCAAAUAGGAGCCAAGCAUAUUUGGGUUCUAUCGCGGCCAAGCCAGGUAGGACCUAAGGUUAUUUGGGUCAUGUACCUGGCAGGACCCAAGGUUAUUUUUGAGUCCUACAACUAAUAAUUUGUAUUUAAUUUUUAAAUAAAACUAAAUGUAAAAUUAAGUAUAAUUUGAUAAAAUUAUUAUUACAAUACAUUUGGUAAAAUUAAUAAAUGAUAUAACAUUUUCUUUCAAAUUCAUAAAUUAUUUUAUUAAUAAUAUUAAUUACAAUAAAAUAUACUCUUAUAAAUUUUAAUAAAAAUAAUAAUAUUUAUAAUACAACUGAUAAAAUUUUUAGUAUUAAUAUUAUUAAUUAAUAUAAACAUAAUAUUAUUUAUAACACCAAAAAUAAUAAUAUUUUUGAGAUUAAUACUAUAAAUUAGACUAAAAAAUAAUAGUAAUAAAACAAAUAAUAAUAUUUUUAAUACUAAUACUCUUAAUAUUAAUUAUACUAAAAAAAACUAUUAAUAAAAAAAAUAAUAUUUCUAAUACUAAUAUUUGGAAUUAUACUAAAAGUAUGUACGGGCAGCCCAAGCGUUAAGUGGCGCUUGAACUGCACUCAAGAAAAAGCAUAUUAUUUUAAAAUAUUAUUUGUCCACUAAUUGCUAAUAUAAAUACACUUUUAAAACUAAUAUAAAGUCACCCAGAGUCAAUUUGAUAGCUGCUUGCAUAAAAUCUCAUUGAAUGUGGCCAAUGUUUUUUAGAAUAAAGUGAAAUAAAAAGUUAUUUCAAAACAUAACCACAGUAGUUUUUAAUUAUUGGUCUAGAAACUUUAGUAUAUCUCAUAAAAUCCAUGAGUUUUGGAUGAAAUAAAAUCAAUUCUAAAAUCAAACUCCGAUUGAAGCUUCAACUGCAUUUGUGAGCUAGAAAAUUUAACUUAUUAAGUUAGGUUUGUUUUUGCAUUUUAAAAGCGUUUUUAAAAAUUUUAAAUUUAUUUUAUUUUUUUCUUUGCUUUAAAUUAUUUUUUUUUUGUGUUUUUAGAUCAUUUUGAUGCGCGAAUAUCAAAAAUAAUUUUUAAAAAAUAAAAAAAAUAUUAUUUUGAUAUAUUUCUAAGUAAAAAUCAUUUUAAAAAGUAAUCACAACAAUAUUUUCACACAAUCUCUUCAAAACUUGUGCUUUUUAAAACAUGCAUUCAAACGCAAAGAAAGCAUAUAAAACACAUCAAAGUUGCAAAAGUAUGUAGUUUUAAUUAUUAGCAAAAGGGUUUAAAUACCCUAAAUAUCCGUAAAUAACUAGAAAACAAUUAAUAAAAAAAUAAUAAAACUAAAAUCCAAAAUUUUCAAGGAGAAAAUCUAAAAUAUGGUCUGAAAUUUCAAAGGCAGCUUUUUUAGAGUGGCAUUUGGAGAAUUUAAGUGAGGAAUAAGCUUCACGUGAGCGAGAUAAUAUCAUCUUAGAUUAAUUUUUUUAACAUGUAAAAUUUAAGUCUAAUUCAAUAAUUAAAUAAAAAAAAUUACCUCUUCCUGCCUGUCUUAACUAUUCUUUACAUAUGAACAUAUGAAUUACAUAUUAUUUUAUGUUGAGAGAGAGAAAGAGAGAGAGAGAGAGAGAGAGAGAGGAUGUGAGAGAGAGAGAGGGGUGUAUAUAUAUAUCACAGCUGCAUUUGAUAGAAUAAAUGGUAAGCAGGAAAUACAAUCCAAAGUCAACAUUAUACAGAUAUUUGACUCACAAUAAAUCAUCCAUACUCUUAUAAAAAAUAAAGAUGGGUAAACUCUUAAUUAGGCCUUGCUGCUGAAUUUUGUUGUUGAUUUGUAAUUUAAUUAUUGUUGAAGAUUUUUUGUGUUGGCAACCCAAACUAUCAUUGUGUUGGGUUUGGAUAACUUUAUUUGGAUUUAAUCUCCAAAAUCGAUGGGUAUCAUCACUUAUAGAUGAAUGGUUUAGCUUCUCUCAUUUUUUUGGAUUUAAUCCACUGAAACUGAGGUUUAAGAAUUUCUUGGAUUUAAUCCACUGAAACAGUUGCUUGAUCAAGAUCAUUGGCUUGUUUGAAGGCAGAUAAAGGCUUAAAAAAGAAGAAGCAAAUAUCAUCUUAGUUGAAAUUUCAAAGGCAAUUUUUUAGAGUAAAGAGGAAAUAAUUAAUACACUCAAAGCAGGUUCUAAAGAGUUCUGUCUUUCUCACCAAACAUGCAAAUAAAUCUUUGGGAUGUGAGAAAUCUUUUGCCAAUCUUCACCCAUCUCCUCCUUCCUACAGCUGUAACGUUUCCUUAGAAUGGGGCAACCCCUUAUCCCCAAUGCCUGCAGAGGCGCUGCCAAAACAUAGUCUGGUAGUGCUCUCAACAAUUGGCAAUAUUCAAUUCCCAAGUACUGAAGUUGUGGCAUAAUGGAUAUUAUUGAAGUUGUGUUGGCAUCUUCUUCUCCCACUCUCCUUUCCUUCCCACUCUUCUACUUCUCCGAGACCGUCCAUCCAAAGUUUUUUUAAUUUGGGGAAAGCAGUGACCCUUGCAAUUUCUCCUUCAUUAAUACUGGCCUUCUCAUCUUUUUCUAUACCUAAAAAUCCAGCAUCCAACCUUCUCACCUUCAUUGAGCUCAAUACCAGGCUUUCAAGGUUGGGCAAUCUUCCCAACGGAGGCAAGACCUCCACGUUUUCACAAUCACGGAGUGUAAGCUUCUGUAAUCUGGUUAAUGUCAUCAUCCAAUUUGGCAAAUCCAACCCUCCGUAGCUAUACAUGGUUAGAUUUUCCAAGUCUGACGGAGGCUGUAAAACUUCAAGUAAAAUGUCGUUCUCCCGGUUGAAGUCAAAAUCCAAUUGCAAACAAAGCAGGCGCUUCUUAUUCUUGAGUUGUGCUUCUGCAGCGUCACUCGCAUCUUCUUUACCUCCUCCUAGAUUCCGUAUACGAAGACUCCCUCCAAUGUGAUUUAAGUCUUUUAAUUCUCUUAGAUUAGCUGCUUUACUUUCAUUCUCACCACCACCACACACAGUAACACAUCUAAUGUUUGAAGACAUGUUAUCCUCUCUACUCCCUUUGGUAUGAAGGCCACACCUGAAAGAACAACCCGGAGAUGCCUCAAUUUGAUAAGUUUUCCAAUCGCAUUAGGCAAUUCCUUGAGAGAAGCACACAGAGUAACGUCUAGGGAUUGCAGAUUGCAUAAAUCACACAUGGUUUCUGGCAGGGACUCCAACUGAUAACAAGAUGCCACAUUGAGGUGUCUCAAAUGUAUCAAAUUCCCUACCUCGUUUGGUAUUUCUUUGAUUGAAGACCUUGUCAAAUUCAAUGACCUGAUGCAUGUCAACUGCUUGAACAAAUCAGGCAGUGCAACUCCAAGCGAAGGGUCUCUAGUGUCCAUCAAGAGGCUGCGAAGACCUUUUGCUUUGUGAAUGGACUUGGGAAACGAGCUCUCCUCUGACAGCAUCAUGCUUAAAUGACGAACCCUUUCAAUUGAAGUCUCCACUGUUGCUUUUCCAAGUUUACUGGCAUCCACUGUUAGACAUUCAUUUUUUGUCAUAUAUUGGGAAAAAUCAUGCACUAUAUCAUGCAUCUUGAAUUUCAUUCCUUCACACCAAUCCAUCUCAAAAUCUUGGAAGAAAGAACGCGCUGCUAAGACUUGAAAGUACUGCUCUCCUACACCCGAAGUCUCCUUGAGGUAACCUUGAGCUAUCCACAUCUUCACCAAUUCAUAUUUUCCCAUCUUGUAGUCUUUUGGAAACAUGGCACAAUACAAGAAACAUCGUCUUACCACAGAAGGUAAAUCGUAGUAACUCAAAAGCAAAGGUAUAAAUAUGCGUCUUUCAACCUGAUCUCUAUCAACCUCAUCUAGCCUCCACAGUUCGCUAGAUAAAACACGUUCCCACUCUUCUCUUGUUAUUUUAGACUGCAUUAGACCGCCUAAUACCUUGGCAGCUAGAGGGAAGCCCUUGCACUUGUUUGCAAUUUUAUCUCCGAUAUCUGUCAAUCUUUCGCACUCAUCUUCGCUUCUUUCCUGGAAUGCCACAUGAUUGAAUAUUGAACUGCAUAUCUCAUCGGACAAUUUCUCAAUGUUGAUCCGGUGGUCAGUUCCCAUCAUCGUUGCCACAGCGUCCUUACGAGUGGUCACUAGAAUUCUGCUUCCUCGUGCACAGCCUGUGAGAGAUGGUUUCAGUUGUUCCCAUUGUCCAUGAUUUUCUGUCCAGACAUCAUCAAGGACAAGAAGGAACCUCUUUCCCUUAAUGGAUUCAGAAACCCUUCGCAAAAGGGAUUGCAAUCCUACCAAAUCAGAUGCCCUCCCUUCAAGCUCCUCAAGGAUACCUUUGGCUAUUCUAACCUCAUCAAAUGGUUCUGAAACACACACCCAUAUCUUUUUCUCAAAAUGAGCCGUAACCUCAGCAUCAUUAAAAGCUAGUUGGGCGAGAGUUGUUUUUCCAAUUCCGCCCAGCCCUACUACAGAGAUGACAUCCACGUCCCGUGCUUCUUGACUACUUUCAGCCAGCAACUUGCUUACAACAUUUCUCUUUUCACCAUCUCGACCAAUCACGCUUGAUUCAUCAAACAAAGGAGGUAGUUGUUAGUCGCUGGAGUUCAUCAGUGGCUUUGUACAGAUCAAAGCCAUACUUAGCUCUCUGUUUGGCAAUGUCAUCCACUUUUUCACAAACUUCUUUGAUCUUCAGGGCAAUGCCGCGACGUCGAACCACUUGAUUGAAACAAAAGCAAGGAGAUCCCAGGAAGGAACACCGUAUCUUCUGUCGGCUGUGAGUAUUUUCUUCAGCUUCCUCCAUUUUCCAUCUAAGAAUUGCAGUGCUCCAUUCAUCUAGCACGUCAUUCAUAUCAUAACAUGCAUCUUUGAGCUUGUCUACCCAAUAUCUUACAGCCUUAUCCUUAACUUGUUUUCUAUCUGCAUCUUCAAGGACAGACUGGAUAUCAAGGAGAUUGCUUUUCAGCCUGUCGACUUGUUUCUUCACACCCACUACUAGGUUCACCUCUUCUUGUACCUAUUAGUGUACAAAAGAUAAGGAAGUUCAGGCAGAGGAAACAUUUCUAUGAUUUCACUGCAAAUUUUUAAUUUUAAUUUUUUGUAAUUAAUAGAUUAAUAAUUUUUUUUAAUCUUUUUUUCGCAGUAGCUGACACGUACAGUGAAAUGGAUUUGCUAUAUUAAAAUAUAUAUUAAAAUCCUAUAUAUUAAAGAUAAUAAUAUUUCUUUUUAUCAUCAUCAUGAUGAUAUCUGCCUGCACUCUGCUACUAUACAAGAAGGAAGAAACCUAUAUAUAACAUAAGCUUGUUGGAUCAAAGAAACAUAGAGAAUGAAAGGAUCUGUAUUUGUUGGUAUUUGUAAAGUCUAUAGUUUUAAAGUGAAAAAUAUUCUUCCUUCAUAACACUCACUAAUUAUUUUAACAUUUGAUUGAUUAUUUUACAGUUUAGUGAGAGGAUCGACAACUACUACUCCUUUUUCCUUCUAAGGAUAUUUGUUUUAGAUUAUUUCCGGAAAUAUGAAAAACAAUAAAACAAUAAAAAGAAAUUUCUUUAAUAAAAUCCAAAUCUAGAUCUGAGGAUUUGAUAUUUUAUUUUAUUUUUCUAAUAAAGGAAGAAAAAGAGACUUCAUUUUUAUAUUUCUUAUUCAUGUAAGGGUUAAUUAGAUCGUUGCAAAUUUUACAGUUAAGCAGUAGUUUGCUGAUUGAAAUGACUGUAAAUGGAUCCCAAUUGGAAACUGUCAUAAUUGAACUGCGAGCUCCGUUUUAUGUUUCUUCAGAACAUCAGUUUCCAUCGUGAUGCCUUCUUCCUUCAUCAAAAAGUGGGCAAAAUCAUAGGAGUAUGUGUCGCCUCUUCAACUUUAAAGAGUCCUCCUUCUUUUCUUGAAAAUCCUGGAAAAAAAGCUAAGAUUUUGAAGUACUCCUUACCAGCCAGCUCCAUUUGAUCUGUAUGGAAACGGACAGCUCUCCAUCAAUCAGCAACGGAGGGGUAGGGAGGUGAAGAAGAGAGGGAAUAGAUGAAAUCCCUAAUAGUAGCUUGGUGUUUUUUGUUCCAAUGACCAAACCAGAUAAUGUACGAGUUGACAGGUGCAGCCAGAACAGGCCCCUAGAAAAGCAACUGAAGGUCUACUACAUCAGAUGACCCUUCAUAGUUCUUGGCCCGGUUGAAUAGGUCGUCUAGACAAACAAAACAGAGAGAGCAAGAGUACAUUGUGUAGCAUAAGCUUAUUAUGCAUUUAAGUCUUUAGACUUUUUUUAUUAUUAUUAUUAACGUAGGUGUCCAGGUCAGCUUCCGCGCACCUUGAUUAAUCUCACGGGCACAUUGUCAGAAAUUACAGCAAGAAAUUCUGUAAUUAUUGUAAGAAAGAAGGGCAUGUAAUCAAGGAAUGUCGUCUGCGACCACAAAAUCGACAAGGAUUUACUGUGCAGUCGAAAUUGGGGGCUGCUUUUAUGGCCGCCGAAGCCGUGUCCUCACCAUCGACACUGGAAUCUUCAUCGUCGGUGAGCUCUUCGUCGAGCACUCUCACUCCCGAGAUGGUGCAGUAGAUGAUAAUAUCUACCUUCUCUGCACUCGGGAUUUCUGGUAAGAAAAAUAAACUUAACUUUCCCUUAGAUUCAGCACAUAAUAAACAAUGGUUAAUGGAUUUGGCAUCGUCUAAUCACAUGACCAACAGUGAAAAUGGGUUGUGUAAUGUGCUAAAAUACAUGGGUAAUUAGCAUAUACAGGUAGCAAAUGGUGAUAAUCUGCCAAUUUUGUCGAUUGGUAAUUUGGGGUCUUACUUCAAUAAUAUUUUUGUGUCACCAAAAUUAUCAACAAGUUUACUCUCUGUUGGUCAAAUGGUAGAAAAUAACUGUGAAAUUCACUUUGAUCAUCAUGGUUGUUGUGUGCAGGAUCAAGUGUCGGGGGAAGGUAAUCGCGAAGGGGCCUAAAGUGGGACGUUUAUUUCCAAUACAAUUUUCUAUUCCUAGUAUUAAUUCUUGUGCUUAUUCUACUCUCAUUCAUAAUCCUCAUUUUUGGCAUAAGAAAUUAGGGCAUUCUAAUUCUAAUGUAUUGACUUAUCUUAUGAAACAUGGAUAUUUGGGGAAUAUAAACUCUUUUUCAACAGAAUUUUUGGAUUGUAGUUCUUGCAAAUUGGGUAAAAGCAAAGCAUUAUCAUUCCCUUCACAUGGUAGUUGUGCUUCUAAAUGUUUUGAAAUUAUUCAUACUGAUGUAUGGGGCAUAAGCCCUGUUAUCUCUCAUGCUAAGUAUAAAUAUUUUGUCACGUUUGUUGCUACCUAAUUUUUGAUAAAUUUUCAGAAAAAUCAAAAAUAGCAAAAAAAACAAAGAAAAACCCAAAAAUAUAUUUUUGAUGUAUUUGCAUCGUUUUUAGCAUUUUCAAUGCCAUCUCAAAAGAAUUUAAAUUUUUAAAGGAAUUUUGGAACGCGUUCAACUUUUAACGCGUAAAAUUUUAUGAUCACUGAUUUUUAUUUUUGAGUUGACGGUGAUAUUGCUCGCUUUCGAAAACACAAAAAAAGAGAGAAAAUCAAAAUUUAAGAAAAAAAAGAGGAAAAGUUGAGGGACCAUUGUGAUUUUGGCCAUGCCACAUUUCUCCUAUAAAUACUAAGCUACAGUAAUGAACCAAGGGGCGAAAAAUAGACACAGGGAGAAAAAUGGUUUCACGGGGGAGAAAUUUACAUGGGGGGAAAGGCAAGUAGAAAAAAACCCUAAAGCCAAAAAAAAAAACCUAGAAACUAAAAAAACCCUUUCUUCCCCGGCAGCCGCCCUUGGCCUUUGAAAAAAACCUAGAACUAAUGAUUUUCUUCCUUAGCCACAACGCUGACCUCUCUUUUUGAAAAAGGGAGGAACAGACCGCCGCUGCAGAGUCUUUGAAAGGAAAAAGUCACCUGGCUAGGCGUUUCAAACAGCCCCGCCUCUCCUCUCUCCUUUUCUUCUCCCGAAACUAGCCAAAACUGACCCUCUCACUCUCAGCACAAAGCAGCCGCCCCCUUUACCCCCAUCUUCUUCUCCCUCAACCGACAGAUCUCACCCUCCAAUAGCAACCCCUCUUGCACGAAAAAACCCAGAGAAACCGUCCCUAAGCUCUCCAUUUUCCCUGCAGGAGGAGAGAAACCCACCGGACACAAGCCUUCUCCAGGUCUCCCCCGGAGCCGCCGCCCCCCAUCGUCUUGGAUUUGUUUCUCUCCCGAGACCAGCCGGCCACUCAUUUUUUCCCUUGGCUUGCUAAACAAAGCGGAGAAACUGGAGAGCAUCAGACUGACCUCUCUCUCCCUCGGCCGACCACCAUCAACCGGUCAACAGCAGCAUCUUCCCUUCUCCUGCAGCUCGUUACAGAGACAAUGAGAAGGGAGGCCAGAGGAUAGUGAAGAAGGGGCAGAAAACCGAAGCUUGGAUGGGCGCCGAUCUCGCAACCAUGGCAGCGGUGGACAACACCACCGUUGCAGAAACGAAAUGGGAGGAAGGGAAGUUGCUGAUCCAGCCAUCCACACGCCUGGUCUGUGGGCGGCGCGUGUAACGCCCAGCUUCAGAUUCGGCAGAUUUGAAGAAAAGAGAGGAGAAGCAGAUCCGAAAACAGUGAUUGAAAAAUAACUAAAAUCAGCUGGCUUUUUGUGCUUUGAUUUUUCUUUGCAGGUCACCACCGGUGGAAGAGGGGAUGAGGCCGUUGAAGACCCCCUGUGUUGUGUGGAUUUUUGCGGCGGCGCGUGGAUGCACGCGCCGCUACUGUUCAGGCAGCUCCAAAAAUUGUUUUCCUGAAUUUUUGGGACUAUUCUGUAAUUUUCAAUUAUGUGAUGUAAUUUUUGUUUAGUUUUGAAUUUUUUAUUUGUAUGUUGUGAAUUUGAAUGUAACAAAAAAAACAAAAAAAAAAGAAAGAAGAGAAAGGAAAAGAAAAAUAAAUAAUAUAAAGAAAGUUGUGUGUGUGUUUGUUUUUUUAUUUAUGUUAUUGAAUUAUAAAAAUAAAAAAAGGACAAAAAGAAUUAUUUGUUUAAUUUGAAUAUGGUUAAAUAUUUAAGGACAAAUAAAAUUAUGUUAUAUUUUCUAUGAAAGUGUAAGAACAUGUUUUUACACGUAUUCAGGGAUUUAAUAAUUGAUUUAUUAAAGUCUUAGAAUUUGAUUAAUAUUUUAAAUUUUCAAAUCAUAUCAAACCACGAAGCAGCUUAGCUCAGGUAGGGUGCUGUAGGGGUACUAAUACCUUUUCUAGCCACAAUCAGUCCCUUACCCUAGAAUCUCUGACCACGACCAGUAAAUCAUGGUUUUCUAGUAACCCUCUAUUAAAUACUAGGUGGCGACUCUCAAAGAACCAAUCAAGCAAAGACAACGAAAAAUUGCCAAAUCACCGCGUGGGGGACGUGCGACAAUGUUUAUUGAUGAUUUCAGUCGUUUCACUUGGAUAUAUUUUCUUCGAUCUAAGACUGAUUUAUUCUUAACAUUUCAGGCUUUCGUUGUAUUUAUUGAAAAUCAAUUUUCUACUCAUAUUAAAAUACUUUGUUCUGACUCCGGGGGGGAAUAUGUGUCCAAAGAACUUCAGGAAUAUCUCAAAAACAAAGGGAUUCUCUCUCAAAGAUCUUGUCCUUACAUUCCUUAACAAAAUGGAGUUGCUGAGCGUAAGAAUCCUCAUCUUUUAGAUGUUCGCACCUUAUUAAUUGAUUCUUUGGUACCUACUCGAUUUUGGGUAGAAGCACUGUCCACAGUCGUUCAUCUAAUUAAUUGUUUGCCUUCACAAGUACUAAACUUUGCAUCUCCAUACUCUAUUUUAUUUGGUGUUAUUCCUAAGUAUGAUUCUCUCCGUGUUUUUGGGUGUGUUUGUUUUGUUCACUUACCAUCUACUGAACGUAAUAAACUUUUAGCCCAAGCUGCUCGUUGUGCUUUUCUAGGAUACAAUAAUUUUCAUAAAGGAUUUGUGUGUUAUGAUGCAAAUGCUCAUAAAAUUCAUCUCUUGAAAUGUAAUUUUUUUUUUAAAUCAGAAUUUUUUCCCUUCUUAUCCCUCUACAAAAUCCACUCCUAUCCAACUUCCCACAUUUGAUGAUCAUAGUCCAUCUUAUAUCUUUGAAUGUUUUAAGCCAGGAAUUGUAUAUCAAAGACGUCAUCCACCAUCCAUUUUGCCCCUUCCGGACACGAAACCGGCAUCUGAUCAUUCCCCUCAACUAAGACGAUCAACUCGAGUUUCACGUGCCCCAAACAGGUAUGGAUACUAUCAGCAACUACUAUUGAUAGUACUUUUGUGCCUAAGACUUAUGCCCAGGCUUCUACCCAAGACUGUUGGCAACAGGCCAUGAAAGAGGAACUUCAGGCUCUUCAGGAUAAUCACACAUGAGAUAUUGUUUCUUGUCCUACCGGAAUUAAACCUAUUGGCUGCAAAUGGCUAUACGAAAUUAAAGCACGGUUGGUGGCUCUUGGAAAUUGUCAGGCAUAUGGUAUUAAUUAUGAGGAGACAUUUGCACCUGUGGCUAAAAUGACUACCAUACGAACCAUUAUGACAAUUGUUGCUUCCAAAAGAUGGCCACUUCAUCAAAUGGAUGUAAAAAAUGCAUUUUUACAUAGAGACUUGAAAGAGAAUAUUUAUAUGACUCCUCCUUCUGGUAUGUUUACUCACUCAUCCGAUAAAGUCUGCUGGUUGAAACGGUCCCUGUAUGGUCUAAAACAGGCACCCCGGGCAUGGUUUGAAAAAUUUCGCACUACUCUUUAGAAACUUAAAUUUAUUCAGAGCCAAUAUGAUUCCUCUAUGUUUCUUCAGCAAACUACUACUGGUAUUGUUGCUCUUCUGGUAUAUGUUGAUGAUAUUAUCAUUACAGGAUCCGACAUUCCACUCAUUGAGGAUUUACAACAUUCUCUUAACAGUGAAUUUCAUAUGAAGGAUCUGGAACACCUUCACUAUUUCCUUGGUCUACCGGUGCACUCUAUGUCCAGUAGGAUUUCUCUACAUCAGCACAAAUACACCCAAGAGAUUCUUCUUUUGGGCGUUCUUGAAUCAGGGAAUAUCGUUCUUACACCUCUCGAGAUUAAUUUAAAACUUUGUCAUAAUGAUGGUGACCUGUUACCUGAUCCCUCCAUAUACAAGCAGUUGGUGGGCAGUUUGAAUUAUCUAACCAUUACUCGGCCAAAUAUUUCUUUUGUAGUACAACAAGUCAGUCAAUUUUUACAGGCUCCUCGUCAACCUCAUUUAGCUGUUGUCCGAAGAAUUCUUCGCUAUCUUAAAGUCACAUCUGGGCGAGGAUAAUUUUUUCCUGCUGAUAAUUCAUUACAAUUAACAAGUUAUAGUGAUGCAGAUUGGGCAGGGUGCGUGGAUACACGUCGGUCUGUUACUGGGUGGUGUAAGUUUCUUGGAAAUGCUUUGAUUUCAUGGAAAAGCAAAAAGCAAGACCGAAUCUCAAAAUCUUCCAUAGAAUCUGAGUAUCGAGCUAUGUCCUCCGCAUGUUCUGAAAUUGUGUGGCUUCAGGGUUUGCUACGUGAACUUGGUUUUCCUCAGCACACUCCUACACCUCUUCAUGCUGAUAACACAAGUGCUAUUUAGAUUGCUACUAAUCAUGUGUUUCAUGAACGCACCAAACAUAUUGAAGUUGAUUGUCACUACAUUCGUGAAGCUUUUGAUCAUAAUAUUCUUACACUACCUUAUAUUUCCACCGAGCAUCAGACAACUGAUGUCUUUACGAAGGCCUUGUCUCGGCCUCGACAUCAACUCAUGAUAGACAAAUUGAUGCUUCUUGAUCGGCUAGCAUCAAUUUGAGAGGGGAUGUCAUUGUAUAUUAUGGCAAGAAUAUCAAUACUAUAUGGCAACCAAAUUGUAACAGAAUAUCUUGUAUUUAUUAUAGACUACAAAUCAGGGAUUAGAGACAGUAAAUUAGUGAUUAUUACAUGUAUUUAGAGGAUUGAAUUCCUCCUUCUGAAGUCAUUAAUUGAGAGAACAAUUUUACAUUGAAAUUUGAUAUUUGUGACAUGUGACUUGGUGAGAUUCUUCAUUUAUUAUUAUUUCCUUGUGGUGGACACAAUGGUUUACGUAGAUGAACUGAAUUCUUGCAUGACAACAACAAAAUAAGUGUGAUUCAGCACUGUCAAGAAAAAGGUAGAGCAGAGCAACCCUUUUUGACGGAGGCUAAUAAGUUGCAAAAGUUAGUAAGAAGUGGCUCAUUGAGCAACCAAUUAGCCAAGAUGUCUUAUUUCAAACCCUCGUACAGAGGAAUGCCGUAUUUUUAUUUUUCUAAGGAACUGCAUUUUUGUCCCCCUCUUCUCCUUCUUUUUUCCUGUUGAAACAGCAACAGGGUACAUCUACUCCAUGUCAAAGUCUAGUCUAUAACCAGACCAGUAAAGAACAUUGACUUACAAGGAGUUCCAUUGAAGUUUCGAUUAUGAGCAGGCAUGCUUCUAUCCCAAUUUACCACUCUGGGUCAGAUUUCACACUUAUCAGAGCACUGUGAUGACAACAGCAGAAACUAUCUAAUUUCCCACCAAACAUAAAGAGAGCUUUGAAUCUACACACCCGCCAGUUAUAAUCAUUCAAGACAGAUAUGUUAGCUAUAGUUAAGGCCAGAGAGAAACACAAGCUAAAAAAAAAUGCACCUUCUAAUUACCGAGAAGCAUGCAGAAAAAAACCUGUAGACAACUCCAAUAUUGGGUGUCAGAUUCUGUAUUUUCUGAACCUGAAACAACAAGCAAUUAAAUACCAUCAACAACCAACUCAAGUUCUAUACUAUCUUGCAAGUUAUAUACCAUCAAUGAAAUAGUUUUUAUUUAAAGGGAUUAAAAUGACAUCUUUUUACCAAAAUUGUUUUUUCCAAAAAACAUUCAAUAAUAUUUAACCAAGUUUUACCCGAGUCCAUAUAAUUUGAAAGUAAUAAAUCAUAUCAAAUUUCUUUAAAUUAUUAAAUUGGAUCCUUAAUUUUCAAUUCGUCAAAUUAUUAAAUUGGAUCUUCAAUCUCUUUUAUAGGGGGUUUGGUGUCACUGCUUAACUUAAUUAUGAUACUAUAUAUAGUGACCAUUUGUGAUAAUUCUGUUGCAGAUUAAAAAUAUUUAGCGACAUUAAAAGUGUCGUUAAAUAUAUUUUGAAGAGCCAUUACAUGUUGUUUUUUGUUUUUUGUAGUGCAACGAUAGUAAAACAUUAUGUUAAUUUUAGCAACACACCGUGACCAAAUCCAAUGAAGAAACCUAAUAAUCAAAGAAAAUUAGAAAUUUUAAAAUUGAUAUUGGAUUUUUAAAGAUUCAGAUAUUAGGUUAACAUCACAUUUACUAUAACCUUUUAAAUAAAAAAUUAUCAUUGUUUAUGUUUUUCUAAAUUAUUUUAUGCUAUUAUAUUUUUAUUUAUAAUUUAUUUAAGAAUAGACACCGGUUUCUUAGAAUAAAAAACUUGUAAAUUUUUUUGUCAUCCCUAAAAACCAAAGAGUCCAUAGCUUGUCAUUUUAUGACACUAGCCUUGCUAUGUAUAUAUAAUCUCCACGGUUAUAAAAACCAAUAUCUAAAUAGAAGAUUUCAUUAAUUUUUUUACAUUAAUCCCUGAAGACAGUAGAUUUUGUAAUUUCUUGAAUUUUAAUAAAAACUUUGAUGUUAAUCCCUUAAGAUAGAAGAUUUCAUCACUUUUUAAGAUUUAAUGAAAAUUUUGAUGAUAUUCACUAAAAUAGAAGAUUUCAUCAUUUUUUUAAUUUAUAACAAAAUUUUGACGUUAUCUCUAAAAAGUUUUUGUUGUAUAGUAAAAUGGUUUUUAUACAGUAAAAUCCAGUUCCCAUACAGUAGUGUAUAACCUUUUCGGUUUUUAGUAUGGUUUGUUUCUUUGGCUGCUUUUCCAAGAUAAAGUCUUCAUCCGUGAUUUCUUGUUUCAGCAUGAUUUCUUUUCUCUUCAGCAAGCUAGAUGUAUGUUUUGUAAAAGAAGAUUUGAAACUUCAAGCCAUCUCUUCAUUCAUUGUGUUUUUGCCUGGAAGUUAUGAAUGAAAUUCCUAUUUUGGUGGGGGAAUUAGUGAUUCUUUCCCAAAUUCUAUUGAUGAUAUAAUCUACAAAUGAUGCAAGGAAAAUUUCAGAAUCUUUCAUGAUGACAACUUCUCUUUUCUUGUAUUGCAUGGAGUCUAUGGCUACAUUGAAAUGAUGUAAUCUUCAAUGAUGCUAUUCCAGAUCUUAAGGGUUGUUUUUACUUUAUCGAUCCUCCACAGGUUCUCCUUAUGGUUGAAGUUUGAUAGCACAACUUUUGCUUACACCGGUUUGGAUUUAGGGAUCAACUCUGAUGGGAUCUUUUUCGGGGAUAACAGAAGUUGACUUCUUGUUUUUAUCUAUUGUCUGGUCCCUGUUUUCUUCUUCCUGUUAUAGAGUAGAUACCGUGAUUUAGGGAUCAACUAAGGUUCACUGUUGGUUUCUAUGCAAGGCAAGAUUGAGAGUUAUGUGAAUAUAUGAGUUGGAAGGUUAGAGUAAAUGCUGGAUGGUAUUUUUUAUUUUUCCCUCUCAUUGGCGCUGCUCACCAAUAGCUCGGGUGCAUUUGAUGCUGAUGGAGAUGGAACCGAAGCUUAUAUAUUCAGCCACUUCACAUGCUUUUUUUCUUUUAACAGUCGAGUGUAUUAUAAGAAAAUGGCUAAAAAGAUAAUAGCCUAGCAUCCAGAAGUUCUAGCUGACCACAAAAAAAAAAAAAAAAAGCAAACAAGCUUUAGAGGUUUUGAAACAGGGGAAGGAAAACAGUGUGGGAAAAGGAAAAAAACAAUUGAAAUCAGCUCCUCCUUUUUACAAAACCAAUGCCAUCAUAGCUGUUAUGAACAUCCUCGCCAGCAGAGUCUGGAGAAUUGGUAUCAAGUCUCAGCCAUAAUGAGAAACUGCCGAAGAUCAAGGAAAAACAGCUUUGAAGGUUUGGAGCAGCCCUAUUAAAGAUGAUAUCUCCAUAGAAAACCAUUAGUAGUACAUAUCAUCAAUCGAUUUUGUGAAAACAUUGAUAAUACCCCACCGUGAAGGAAUUUCAUUCAUAGAUGCCAAGCAAAGUGGCAGUGGAUGAAGAGGUGACUUGAAGAUUCCAGGUUUUUAUUACAAAAAACACAUCUAGAAGCCACUUCAGAUGCUCAUGAUGAUAUUACAUGUUUCUUCUCUCUGAAUUCAUACAAUCUUUCUUUCAUACACUUCCAUAUUUUUCAGAAAAGAUUGAGGAUGAAGAUACACCAAAUUUAGAUUGCAUCAGAGGUUGCAGUCACUAUCUUUACACGGGGUUGGCUUUUUUUACUUGCUAAAGAUGGCUAACUGUAAUUAGAAUGUUUCUUCUUUUCAAAGUAAUAAAUCUCUGAGUCCUUACAUCUCUAGUUAAUUAUAACUACCUUACCGGUCAUAAUGCUCUUUUCUAUACCUGAUGAAUGAUAUUAUUUCUGAGAUUUUUGAACAUGUAAUGACGGAAGCCUGCGGUGGAUUGGUUCCCUUUGUUACGUUACUGGAGUCGCAAUGUUUCGAGGUAUCUGACCAAAUUAAUUCUCUUGCUUUUUGCAGCAAAUCUGUAUCUCUUGCUACUUGCUAGAGGCGUACUCCCAGGCUACCACUGUUUUGGUGUUGCCUCUCUUACCAUUGUUAUUAGGUUGAAUUAAUUAAAUACCAGAAGAUUUCUGGAUGUGUAAUGACUGUAUGAUUAAACUUACCAGUGCACUGUCAAGGCUGUGGCGCAUGAACUUCAUUCGCGGGCGUGCGUCACCACUGUUCCACCGUGUGCCGUCGCAGCCUUCACCAAUUCCAGUAGCUCCAGUUUUUUUCUCCAUUGCCUCCAUUGAAGGUCCAAUUUUCGAGCUCACAAAACAUGACAUCUUGAGUUUAUUUUUCACGAAUUAUGUUUGUGUUUUGACAAAUCCAACAAUUAUGAUUUGAUUUAGUUGUUUCUAGUUAUGGGACACAAUGUUGUGUUUUUUUAUUAAAAAAAAGAAGAAAAGAAAACAGAGAGAAUGCUAAAAAGAAAGUCACAGCUGCAUGUGAUAGAAUACAUGUAAGUAGGAAAUAAAAUCCAACUCAAGAAUAGAUUACAAAUGAGUUCAAUCCAUUUACAGAAAAAGGGUAUAUAGAAUAUAUUUGUCUGAAGAAUCCCCUGUCUGGAAGUUCUUUGAAUGGGGCUGUGAUGGCAUUUAGAAAGCACAAGCACUAGGGGUCUUGUCUUUCACUAGCAGAAACAUAUUUAUUGUUGAAGAUUUUUUGUGUUAGGUUUAGAUAACUUUAUUUGGAUUUAAUCCACUAAAUUGGUGGGUAUCAUCUCUUAUAGAUGAUACUUUAGCUUCCAAGUCUACCAUUCUCUCAUUUAUUUGGAUGUGUUUUGUAGGGUAGAUAUGGUUGUUUUUCAAAAUGUUUUUUAAUUGAAAAUGCUUUAAAAUAAUUUUUUAAAUAUCAGUUUUUACAUCAACAAUAUAUCAAAAUGAUCUAAAAAUAUUUAUAAAAAAUUAAUUUAAAAUAAAUAAAUAAAAUUUAAAUUUAAAAAAAAAACAAAACACUUACACAAAAACAAAUAGAAUCUUGCUGUGAAUAACAGAAUUUGGUGCUAAAUUUCUUGUUGUGAAUUGCAGAAAACAGUUGCUUGAUCUGCACUAGGAUGGCAAUAGCAAGGUAAUGGAGGAUGUGAGAAAGGUAUAUCCAAGUCGUGCUUCUUUUUUGUAUCUUUCUCCUCAUCCACUAACUCUUGCUUCUUUUUUUCCCGUGAAAAAAUGGAGAGCCGAAAAUAGAUUUGUUAAAAAAUGGAGUUCCUGCAGAUUCCAAUUAAAGAGUUCUGUCUUUCUCCUGUAAUCAUCAAAACAAAUGUUAGGGAUGUGAGAAAUCUUUUGCCAAUCUUCACCCAUCUCCUCCUCCCCGUAACGUUUCUUAAUGGGGCAUCUACUUAUGUCCAGUUCCUGUAGAGGCGCUGCCAAAACAUAGUCUGGUAGUGCUCUCAACAACGGGCAAUUUCAAUAUCAAUCUCGAAGUUGUGGCAUAAUGGAUAUAUUGAAGUUGUGUUGGCAUCUUCUUCUCCCACUCUCCUUCCAAUUCCAUCCCACUCUUCUACUUCUUCGAGAUCCAAAUCAAGUUUUUAAUUUGGGGAAAGCAGUGACCCUUGCAAUUUCUCCUUCAUUAAUACUGGCAUUCUCAUCUUUUUCUAUACCUAAAAAUCCAGCAUCCAACCUUCUCACCUUCAACGACCUCAAACCAGGCUUUCAAGGUUGGGCAAUCUCCCAACGGAGGCAAGACCUCCAGUUCACAAUAACAGAGUUUAAGCUCCUGUAAUCUGGUUAAUGUCAUCAUCCAAUUUGGCAAAUCCAACCCUCCGUACCUAGAUAUGGUUAGAUUUCCAAGUCUGACGGAGGCGUAAAGCUUCAAUUAAAAGCCGUUCUUGCCGGCUCUGUGUCGAAACCAAUAGCAAACAAGCAGGCGCUUCUUAUUCUUGAGUUGUGCUUCUGCAGCGUCACUCGCAUCUUCUACCUCCCCGUAGAUUCCAUAUCUUAAGACUCCCUCCAAUGUGAUUUAAGUUUUUUAAUUCUCUUAGAUUAGCUGCUUUACUUUCAUUCUCACCACCACCACACACAGUAAACACAUCUAAUGUUCGAAGACAUGUUAUCCUCUCUAUUCCCUUUGGUAUGAAGGCCACUCCUGAACCAUAAAUCCGGAGAUGCCUCAAUUUGAUAAGUUUUCCAAUCGCCUUGGCAAUUCCUUGAGAACCACACCAAGUAACGUCUAGGGAUUGCAGAUUGCAUAAAUCACACAUGGUUUCUGGCAGGGACUCCAACUUAACAAAUGCCAAAUUGAGGUGUCUCAAAUGUAUCAAUUUCCCUACCUCGUUUGGUAUUUCUUUGAUUGAAGACCUUGACAAAUUCAAUGACCUGAUGCAUGUCAACUGCUUGAACAAAUCAGGCAGUGCAGCUCCAAGCGAAGGGUCUCUAGUGUCGAUCAAGAGGCUGCGAAGACCUUUUGCUUUGUGAAUGGACACGGGAAAAGAGGUCUCUUGACAGCAUCAUGCUUAAAUGACGAACCCUUUCAAUUGAAGUCUCCAUUGUUGCUCCUGAAGGUUAUUGACAUCCACUGUUAGACAUUCAUUUUUUGUCAUAUAUUGGGCAAAAUCAUGCACUAUAUCAUGCAUCUUGAAUCUAAUAUCUUCUGAUCAUACGUCUUAAAUCUUGGAAGAAAGAGCGCGCUGCUAAGACUUGAAAGUACUGCUCUCCAACAAGCUCCAUAUCUCCACCUGAAGUCUCCUUGAGGUAACCUUGAGCUAUCCACAUCUUCACCAAUUCUAUUUCCCAUCUCGUAGUCUUUUGGAAACAUGGCACAAUACAAGAAACAUCGUCUUACCACAGAAGGUAAAUCGUAGUAACUCAAAAGCAAAGGUAGAAAUAUUCCUCUUUCAACCUGAUCUCUAUCAACCUCAUCUAGCCCCACAAUUCGCUAGAUAAAACACGCUCCCACUCUUCUCUUGUUCUUUUAGACUGCAUUAGACCUCCUAAUACCUUGGCAGCUAGAGGCAAGCCCUUGCACUUGCUUGCAAUUUUUCGCCGAUAUCUGUCAAUCUUUCGCGCUCAUCUUUGCUUCUUUCCUGGAAUGCCACAUGAUUGAAUAUUGACCUGCAUAUCUCAUCGGACAAUUUCUCAAUGUUGAUCCGGUGGUCAGUUCCCAUCAUCGUUGCCACAGAAUGUUUACGAGUGGUCACUAGAAUUCUGCUUCCUGGUGCACGCCUGUGAGAGAUGGUUUCAGUUGUUCCCAUUGUCCAUGAUUUUCUGUCCAUACAUCAUCAAGGACAAGAAGGAACCUCUUUCCCUUAAUGGAUUCAGAAACCCUUUGCAAAAGGGAUUGCAAUUCAACCAAAUCGUGCCUCCCUUCAAGCUGCUCAAGGAUAGCUUUGGCUAUUCUAACCUCAUCAAAUGGAUCUGAACACACACCCAUAUCUUUUUCUCAAAAUGAGCCGUAACCUCAGCAUCAUUAAAAGCUAGUUGGGCGAGAGUUGUUUUUCCAAUUCCGCCCAGCCCUACUAGAGAGAUGACAUCCACGUCCCGUGCUUCCUGACUACUUUCCCAGCAACUUGCUUACUACAGCUUCCCUUUCAUCAUCUCGACCAUCACGAUUGAUUCAUCAACAAGGGAGGUACUUGUUAUUCGUUGGAGUUCAUCAGUGGCUCUGUACAACUCAAAGCCAUACAUAGCUCUCUCUUUGGCAAUCUCAUCCACUUUUUCACAUACUUCUUUGAUCUUGAGGGCAAUGUCGCGACGUCGACCACUUGAUUGAAACAAAAGCAAGGAGAUCCCAGGAAGGAACAUCCAUCUUCUGUAGGCUGUGAGUAUUUUCUUCAGCAUCCCCCAUUUUCCAUCUAAGAAUUGCAGAGCUCCAUUCAUCUAGCACGUCAUCCAUAUCAUAACAUACAUCUUUGAGCUUGUCUACCCAAUCUCUUACUGCCUCAUCCUUCACUUGUUUUCUAUCUGCAUCUUCAAGGACAGAGUGAAUAGCAAGGAGAUUGCUUUUCAGCUUGUCGACUUGUUUCUUCACACCCACUACUAGGUUCACCUCUUCUUGUACCUAUUAGUGUAGAAAAGAUAAGGAAGUUCAAGUAGAGGAAACAUUUCUAUGAUUUCACUGCAAAUUUUUAAUUUUAAUGUUUUGUAAUUAAUAGAUUAGCAGUAGUUGACACGUACUGUGAAAUGGAUUGGCUAUAUUAAUAAUUUAUAUAUAAAAUAUUUAUUAAAAACCUAUAUAUUAAAGAUAAUAAUAUUUCUUUUUAUCAUCAUCAUGAUGAUAUCUGUCUGCAGUCUGCUACUAACAAGAUGGAAGAUAAUGAAUCAUAAAAUUGUUCGACGUCAAACCUAUAAAUAACAUAAGCUUGCUGGAUCAAAGAAAUAUAGAGUAUAAAAGGAUCUGUAUUUGUUGGUAUUUGUAAAGUCUAUAGUUUUAAAGUGAAAAUAUUCUUCCUUUAUAACACUCACUAAUUAUUUUAACAUUUGAUUGAUUAUUUUACAGUUUAAUGAGAGGAUCGACAACUCCCUUUUCCUUCUAAGAAUAUUUGUUUUAGAUUAUUUCCGGAAAUAUGAAAAAUAAUAAUAUAAUAAAGAGAAAUUUCUUUAAUAAAAUACAAAUCUAGAUCUGAGGAUUUGAUAUUUUAUUUUAUUUUUCUUAUAAAGGAAGAAAAAAGACUUCAUUUUUAUAUUUCUUAUUCAUGUUAGGGCUAAUCAGAUCAUUGCAAAUUGUACGAAGUAAUUACCUCUUGAGCAACAAUCCUCGUUAACUGCUCCAAAAUUGGCGAUAAAAGUGCCGCUGCCAUCUGUCUGUUUAAUUUAAUUUAAUUUAAUUAUUUUUGAAAAAGAGACAAUGAUGAUAGGAUGAACUAAGAAAGAGAGAGAAGAGAGUCUGAGUGGAAGGAGGCUGCUGGUUUAUUAGUUAGUUUAUGUACUUAGGGUUUGGUGUGGAGGGUUGAGUUUUGUUUCAGUCCCUGUACUGUUUCUAACACUUCGAUUCAGUCCCUAUAUUAUUGUAGCUUUUCAGUCUAGUCCUGGUUGUAUGUUUCUACUGAGAAUGACAUGCCAUUUUGAGUUCCAAAGGUGAAAUACUCGUGCUUUUCUAACUUUUCCUGGCUAAGGAUUAUUAUUUGUGGAAAGUAAUUUCUUCUUCGAUAUAUAGCAGUUAUUUUGGAUUGAUACUGACCUUAGGUUAAGAAUGCUGAAGUUUCUAUUGAUUAUAGCAAUCUACUGAAAUCCCUGCUUCUCGUCUGCUUCUCUAUUUCUUCUCUUCAUUUUAUGUUAUUCCACUAAUCUUCCAAACUGGAUCAUGGUAAUAUAUAUCUGUCCAUCCAAACUAAUUUACACAAACCAAAAGUAGUAACCAAUUAGUUCUUGUGUAAUGGAAAUACAAACAAGCAUCUAUCUAUCUGGGUUUUUGAGAUCUGGUGAUUUUAUCCUGUUUUCAUAGCAGGGACUGGGGUUUGAUAUUGAUCUUUGAUUUUUGGGUCCGAAAAUGGAUGGUCCAGAUUUGUUGAGGUUGUAUGAUUGGAUUUGUUGAUGGUGCUUGAGAUGAUGCUGUAAAGUAUUUUCUUAUAUAUUUUCUGAUUUUCUGGAGGAAAGGAAAGGACUACAUCACCUUCCUAUCGAUUUUUCUAUCUGCAUCCAUAUACAUUUUGCAAUUAAGUCAUUAUGCUUUAAACUCAUUCCAUGUGCCUUCCCUUACAAGAAAAAAAAGAAAAAGAAAAAACAAGCCCAGGGUACUCAGCUUGGGCUUGGGUUCCCUCAUUAUGACUUGGUGAAUUGGGCAAUCUAAAUACUUUUGGGCUCUGUUUUAAUGGGUUCCAAGGGGAAGAAAACACAACGAUUCUUGAACAAGGAUUUGUGUCCCGUGCGCACUUGAACGAUGGGGGUCUGUUUGCAUUUUGUCAAAAGAGAUGAAAUUCUAAUCAAUGAUGAUGAUGAAAAAAAUAAAUAUAUAAAUUACUAUGUGCAUUCUAUAAUUUAGUUAUAUAAUAUAGUAGAUCUUUACAAAUUAGUAAUUUCAACUUACCAGUAGAAAAAUUAUAGUAGAUCUUUACCAUGAUAUUAUCGAAAUAAAUAAAUAAAUAAAAAUAGAUACACUUCAACACGUCCAUACACUCUUUACCAUGAUAUUAUGUAAAAUGUUAUUCUGAAGUGCCAAGACGGCUUCCUUGAAUUGCAAUAGUAUUUCGAUGUCUUGGUAGUUGAAUUUUUCUCAAUGAGCUCCAGGAAACUCUGUAAUUCUGAUUCUUGCCACCAAGUAACUUCAGGGCAGUCUGGAAAGGAUUUUCAAUGUACUUAUGUUCUUGAUGGAAUCUAAUUAUAAUUCUUAAAAACUUUUCAAUGUACUUCUGGCUUUUAAGCAAGCCUUGUCAGAACAAGAGUCUUGUGAUUAAAUUGUUUCUUCAACUCAAAUAGAUCCCUGAAAAUUAGAAAGGGGAGGCUUAUAAUUAAAUAAUAAAUGACACCAGGGGUAACAACUUAUACCCUGAUAAUCUACUAAUAGACUGACAUGCUGUAUCCAAGAAAUUAUUCCACCCCGUUUUUGGGCUGUGUUCAGAAAAUUAUUACAACCCAUUUUUGGGGUUCAACUUCGGUAUUGUUUAUUAUGUUGUUCGCCUUUUUUAAAUUGUGUUUUUUAAAAUAUAUUUUAUAAUCUUAAUGAAAAAAAAUAUAAAAAUAUAUUUUUAAUUAAAAAAUACUUUUAAAAAAGAUCAUAUCUUGCAUUACUAAACACACAUAUAAUAGAAUACUCGAGGGAUUUUUUUAUAAGCCAAGACUAAAUUUAUUAUUGCUAUUAUUUUAAAGUUCAUUCGUAUUUGUAUUAAACACAUACUAAUUUUCUCUUGAAAUAUGAAAGCAAAAUCCAAAAAAAAAUAAAAUGAAUGCUAAUCAAUAAAAAACAUAUGAAUUUUUUUUAUUUGAGAAUAAAGAAUUUUUUAAAUUUUUUUAUAAAUUAAUUAAAAUUAACCAUUAUUUACAUUAUUUAAGAGCAUUAAAGAAAUUUUUUAAAAAAACUUAACAAAUCUAAAAUUAGAAGUUAUUGUAGUUCUAAAUACUUCCGAGUAUUUAAUUAAUUUUAUUUUUGGAUAUGUUUUUAAAAUAUAUUUUAUUUAAAAAAUAUUAUAUUAAGUUUUUAAAUAUUUUUAAUGAUUUUUAUGUAUUAAUAUUAAAAUGGCAUGUCAUUCUCAGUAGAAACAUACAAUUAAAUUUCAUUAACAGCCAUCUCAAGUUCUAUACUAUCUUGCAAGUUGUAUAACAUCAAUGAAAAAUUUUUUAUUUAAAGGGGUUAAAAUGACAUCUUUUUACCAAAAUUGUUUUUUCUAAAAAAAAUUCAAUAAUAUUUAACCAAGUUUUACCCGAGUCCAUAUAAUUUGAAAGUAAUAAAUCAUAUCAAAUUUCUUUAAAUUAUUAAAUUGGAUCCUUAAUUUUUAAUUUGUCAAAUUAUUAAAUUGGAUCUUCAAUCUCUUUUAUAGGGGGUUUGGUAUCACUGCAUAACUUAAUUAUGACACUAUAUAUAGUGAUCAUUUGUGAUAAUUCUGUUGCAGAUUGAAAAUAUUUAGCGACACUAAAAGUGUCGUUAAAUAUGAGAGCCAUUACAUGUUGUUUUUUGUUUUUUGUAGUGCAACGAUAGUAAAACAUGAUGUUAAUUUUAGCAACACACCGUGACCAAAUGCAACGAAGAGAGUCGAAACCUAAUAAUCAAAGAAAAUUAGAUAUUCUAAAAUUGAUAUUGGAUUUUUAAAGAUUCAGAUAUUAGGUUAACAUCACAUUUACUAUAACCUUUUAAAUAAAAAAUUAUCAUUGUUUAUGUUUUUCUAAAUUAUUUUAUGCUAUUAUAUUUUUAUUUAUAAUUUAUUUAAGAAUAGACACCGGUUUCUUAGAAUAAAAAACUUGUAAAAUUUUUUGUCAUCCCUAAAAACCAAAGAGUCCAUAGCUUGUCAUUUUAUGACACUAGCCUUGCUAUGUAUAUACAUAAUCUCCACGGUUUUAAAAACCAAUCUCUAAAAUAGGAGAUUUCAUUAAUUUUUUUACAUUAAUCCCUGAAGACAUGCAGUAGAUUUUGUAAUUUCUUGAAUUUUAAUAAAAACUUUGAUGUUAAUCCCUUAAGAUAGAAGAUUUCAUCACUUUUUAAGAUUUAAUGAAAAUUUUGAUGAUAUUCACUAAAAUAGAAGAUUUCAUCAAUUGUUUCUUUGGCUGCUUAUCCAAGAUAAAGUCUUCAUCCGUGAUUUCUUGUUUCAGCAUGAUUUCUUUUCUCUUCAGCAAGCUAGAUGUAUGUUUUGUAAAAGAAGAUUUGAAACUUCAAGCCAUCUCUUCAUUCAUUGUGUUUUUGCCUGGAAGUUAUGAAUGAAAUUCCUAUUUUGGUGGGGGAAUUAGUGAUUCUUUCCCAAAUUCUAUUGAUGAUAUAAUCUACAAAUGAUGCAAGGAAAAUUUCAGAAUCUUUCAUGAUGACAACUUCUCUUUUCUUGUAUUGCAUGGAGUCUAUGGCUACAUUGAAAUGAUGUAAUCUUCAAUGAUGCUAUUCCAGAUCUUAAGGGUUGUUUUUACUUUAUCGAUCCUCCACAGGUUCUCCUUAUGGUUGAAGUUUGAUAGCACAACUUUUGCUUACACCGGUUUGGAUUUAGGGAUCAACUCUGAUGGGAUCUUUUUCGGGGAUAACAGAAGUUGACUUCUUGUUUUUAUCUAUUGUCUGGUCCCUGUUUUCUUCUUCCUGUUAUAGAGUAGAUACCGUGAUUUAGGGAUCAACUAAGGUUCACUGUUGGUUUCUAUGCAAGGCAAGAUUGAAAGUUCUGUGAAUAUAUGAGUUGGAAGGUUAGAGUAAAUGCUGGAUGGUAUUUUUGAUUUUUCCCUCUCAAUGGCGCUGCUCACCAAUAGCUCGGGUGUAUUUGUGCUGAUGGAGAUGGAACCGAAGCGUAUAUAUUGGCUUUUUUUACUUGCUAAAGAUGGCUAACUCAGUAACAGAAGAGAUUUUCUAUUUCAGCAUGACUACCUUACCCUUAAGGAAUCAAGAUGUGCUUCAUGCAAUAAAAGCUUGGAAUCUUCAAUUCACUUCUUCAUUUAGUAUCACUUCACUUUGAAUAUAUGGAUGAAAUUGCUUUUUAAUCAGGGCUUUUGUAGUGCUUUUUCAAAAUAUAUUGACAAUAUGUGUUACCAAUGGUCUUCCAUGGUUAAAGACAAGCAACAAAAUCUCUUAUAACAGCUUAUUUUCUCAUGUAUUGUAUGGAAUAUGUGGCUCCACUGAAAUGAUGUCAUUUUUAAUGACGCUGCCCCUAACCUUCAAAUCUAUUUUUUCAUGAUGCGUCAAAGUAUUGCUUCAUGGCUGAGGCUUCAUUCUAGCUUUUUAAAGCUUAAUAUAGAGAAUGUUCAGUAGGGAGGAAAUGAUUUUUUAUGUUUUUUAUUUGUUCCUCCUAAUUGUUACGCUCCCUUGUUUCAUGCAGCAGCUUUUAUGCUUUUUUUUUUCUUUAUUUAUUCAUCUAAUGUAAAUUAUGCUAUUAUCUUAAUACCCAUUUUCUUAAUAAAAAUUUCGAUUAUUACCAAAAAAAAAGAUGGCUAACUGUAAUUAGAAUGAUGGUAAAUGUUUCUUCUUUUCACAGUAACAAAUCUCUGAGACCUUACAUCUCUAGUUAAUUAUAACUACCUUACCGGUCAAAAUGUUCUUUUUCUGUACCUGAUGAGUGAUAUUAUUUCUGAGAUUUUUGAACAUGUAAUGACGGAAGCCUGCGUUGGACUGGUUCUCUUUGUUACGUUACUGGAGUCGCAAUGUUUCGAGUUAUCGGACCAAAUUAAUUCUCUUUCUUUUUGCAGCAAAGCUGUAUCUCUUGCUACUUGCUAGAGGCGUAAUCCCAGGCUACCACUGUUUUGGUGUUGCCUCUCUCACCAUUGUUAUUAGGUUGAAUUAAAUACCAGAAGAUUUCUGGAUGUGUAAUGACUGUAUGAUUAAACUUACCAAUGCACUGUCAAGGCUGUGGCGCGUCAACUGCAUGUGCCGGCGGGCGUCACCAUUGUUCCACCAUGUGCCGUUGUAGCCACUAAGUGGCCAAGAUUUUUUAAAUGAGAAGGUAAAUUACUAAUAAAUAUUUGAUAUUAUGUAUUAUGUAUACAUGCAUUAUAUAGAAAAAUCAAUUUGAAAUAUAUGUACUAACUCAUAUUAAAUGAAAUUAAUUUAAGAGUACUUUUAAAAUGAUAAAAAAAUUACAUUAUAAUUGUUCUUUUCGGGUUUUUAUAUUUUGAAACUGUUUCAUAAUAACUUCAUUAUCAAUCUCAUUAAAGAUAUUUUUCUAAAUUUAUAUAAUUAAAUUGUCAUUUAUCCACUUAUCUCCUAUCUUAUAUUGCAAUCUACUCUUGAAAACAUUCAUGACAGAUAAAACUAUUUUCACUAUAGCAGUUACAACUAGUAAAAAUAAUGACAAUUUGAUAAGUAUAUAUACCAAUAAAAAUAUUAAAUUCUUCUUUGUUUUUACCAUUUAAUUUCUCCUCAAGACUAGCGGCAAUAAAAAGUUCUCUCUGACUAGAAAGUUUCAAAUGGUAGAAGGUAAACUCUUUAAUAUUACAGAGGAGCUAAUGAAUCAAAGAAUCGAACAUAGAAAGUUUUGAUGGUAUAAACACAAACCACGGAAGCAGCAAUAAAAAGUGCUCUCUGGCUCUAUGGUUUCCUUCUUUAUAUGCGUUGAUUAGUUUUUUUUUUUGCCAUAGAAUAAAAUCAUCAGAUGUCCCUUUACUUCUUUAUCUGUUAAACAUGAAUAAAAGAAAAAUUUGAGACAACCAGCUUAUAAUUCAAACACCAAAAGUGUUUUUUAAUAGAUUCAAAGAUUAAAAAAAAUUACUUUGAACUUUGCAAGGAGAGAAUGUAGAUAGUCACAGUAGAACACAUUAAUAUAUUGUCUCUUGAUUUUUUAUCUUUUACAAAAUAUAACUUAAGUUAUUAUAUUAAUAUUUUAACGUAAAAAUUAAUUUUUUUUUUAAAAGAAGGGGGCAGCUGGCCCCUUAUGCCCCAGUGGCUCCGCCCCUGGCAGCCACCACCAAUUCCAGCAGCUCCAGCUUUUUUCUCCAUUUCCUCAUGUCCAAAUUUCAAGCUCAGCAUGACAUUUUGAGUUUAUUUUUCAUGAAUUAUGUUUGUAUUUUGACAAAUCCAACAAUUAUGAUUUGAUUUAGUUGUUUCUGGUUAUGGGACACAAUGUGGUUUUUUUUAUUAAAAACAAAAAACAGAGAGAAUGCAAGAAAGAAAGUCACAGCUACAUUUGAUAGAAUAAAUGUAAGUAGGAAAUAAAAUCCAACUCAAGAAUAGUUACAAAUGAGUUCAAUCCAUUUACAGAAAAAGGGUAUAUAAAAUAUAUUGGUCUGAAGAAUCCUCUGUCUGGAAGUUCUUUGAAUGGGGCUGUGAUGGCAUUUAGAAAGCAGAGGAACUAGGGGGCUUGUAGCAGAAAUCAUAUUUAUUGUUGAAGAUUUUUUUGUGUUCGGUUUAGAUAACUUUAUUUGGAUUUAAUCCACAAUGGGUAUCAUCUCUUAUAGAUGAAUGGUUAAGCUUCCAAGUCUACCAUUCUCUCAUGUAUUUGGAUUUAAUCCACUGAAACUGAGGUUUAAGAAUUUCUUGUUGUGAAUUGCAGAAAACAGUUGAUUGAUCUUCACUAGGAUGGCAAUUGGAAAUGAAUGGAGGAAGCAUCAAGAUCAGUGGCUUGUUUGAAGGCAGAUAGACCCUUUGAUCGUGAGAUGAUGCCUUUAGAUGAGAAAGGAUGUGAGAAAGGUAUAUCACAGCUGCAUUUGAUAGAAUAAAUGGUAAGUAGUUUGUUUUUUAAUUAAGUAUUUCAAUAUGGCAAAGAUAGGGUGUAAUUUACCAUACUUUAGUCUUAUUCCAUUCAAUAUAAUUAUGGAUACUAUAGAGCAUAUACGUACUUUGAUCUUAAUUAGUCCUUGGCUUAAAACGAAUUUGGUGCAGAUACAGAUUCUAAAGACGUCCAACUCCAACAAGCCCUAAAAGGACAUCAUUGGAUAAAUACCAAGGAGCUUGUGCAUGAGCAUUGUUUUGUUCACUCUGUGGCAGAGGCCUCUCCACAACUUCUCAGCAGGAAAGCUAUUAUUUAAGUUGCAACGCAGUGCGGUUCUAUAAACUAACUAGUUUAUAGCAAUUGCAAAUGAAUGGACCCUUUGAUCGUUAGAUUAUGCCUUUAGAUGAGGCUCGACAUUAUAGAGGCAUAAAAGAGAGAGAGAUACAUCACAGCUGCUUUUGAUAGAGUAAACAGGUCACAUAUUAUUUACACUCAACCUUAGCAAACACCAAAGCAAAUAAUUAAUACACUCAAAGCGAAAAAAUAAUGUGAGAAAUCUUUUACCAAACUGCACCCAUCUUCUCAUCCCCGUAACGAUUCGUUAGAAUGGGGCUCCUUCUUAUGAUUAAUUCCUGUAGAGGCGCUGCCAAAACAUAGUCUGGUAGUGCUCUCAACAACGGGCAAGUAUCAAUAAUCAACUCUUGAAGUUGUGUUGGCAUCUUCUUCUCCCACUCUCCUUUCAAUUCCAUCCCACUCUUCUACUUCUGUGAGAUCCAUAAUCCAAAGUUUUUUCAAUUUGGGGAAAGCAGUGACCCUUGCAAUUUCUCCUUCACUAAUACUGGCAUUCUCAUCUUUUUCUAUACCUAAAAAUCCAGCAUCCAGCCUUCUCACCUUCAUCGACCUCAAUACCAGGCUUUCAUGGUUGGGCAAUCUUCCCAACGGAGGCAAGACCUCCACGUUUGUACAAAGACCGAGUGUAAGCACCUGUAAUCUGGUUAAUGUCAUCAUCCAAUUUGGCAAAUCCAACCCUCCGUACCUAGUUAUGGUUAGAUUUUCCAAGGAUGACGGAGGCUGUAAAACUUCAAUUAAAAUGUUGUUCUCCCGGUUGAAGUUGAAAUCCAAUUGCAAACAAAGUAGGCGAUUCUUAUUCUUGAGUUGUACUUCUUUCAUUGUCUUUUUCUACUCUUUCAUAAUUUAAGGCACUUCUUUCUUCUUUUAGCUAGAAACAUAAUGCAGAUGCAGAGAGUGAAGAGUCGACAUGCAGAUGCAGGAACAUAGGAAGAGAGUUGUUUGGUUACUAAAAUAAGGGCUAGGGUUAUGAAAUCUGGAAAUUGAAAUUCGGAUCGAAAUUAGUGAGGAAAUCAGCAUGCUAGAUUCAGCAGCGUUUGGGGUCAGAAUGGCAUUGUUGGGAAUAAGACAACAAAUUAUGCGUAGCUUAGCAGCCAUUGUUGCUGCUUCAGGAACACCAAACUCCCUUGUCAAAAAACUGCAUUCAUAUGCAUUUUGCAAUUAAGGCAUUAUGCUUUAAACUCAUUCUAUUUGCCUUCCCUCACACAAAAAAGAAAAAAAAAAGGUUAUUUGCUGUCGUCACUGGAUUAGUUUCAAACCCAAAAGUCUCGUUGCGUUCUGUUUCAAUUCAGUCAGUCUUUAUUAGUCAAUGCUUCGCUGCACUGAAAAAACACCAUAUGCACCUCAUUGCAGAGUGAGGUCAUAUGUCCUACAAAAAUGGAUUUUGAACAUAAUAAUUAGAAGGAAAAAAAAAUUAAAAGUGAGCAUAAUUGAUCAUCGUGGAUAUAAUAAUAAUAUUUAAUAAAAUGAAUUAGCUUGUUAACUCCUAGAAGUUUUUAUAAAAACUAAUCUUGAAGUACAAGUAAUCCCUUCGCUCAUCAACUUCGCUGUGAAAAAGCCCAGAGUACUCAGCUUGGGCUUGUGUUCCCUCAUUAUGACUUGGUGAAUUGGGCAAUCUAAAUACUUUUGGGCUCUGUGUUUUAAUGGGUUCCAAGGGGAAGAAAACACAACGAUUCUUGAACAAGGAUUUGUGUCCCGUGCGCACUUGAACGAUGGGGGUCUGUUUGCAUUUUGUCAAAAGAGAUGAAAUUCUAAUCAAUGAUGAUGAUGAAAAAAAUAAAUAUAUAAAUUACUAUGUGCAUUCUAUAAUUUAGUUAUAUAAUAUAGUAGAUCUUUACAAAUUAGUAAUUUCAACUUACCAGUAGAAAAAUUAUAGUAGAUCUUUACCAUGAUAUUAUCGAAAUAAAUAAAUAAAUAAAAAUAGAUACACUUCAACACGUCCAUACACUCCUUUUUUAAAAAAUAAUUAUAAUAAAAUUAAUUAGUUAUUAAUUAUAAAAAUCAGACCUAUGAGUUAUGUCUAAGCUGUUGAAAAUAGUAAAGAUAAAGUAAUUAGAAGUGACAAUGAAAUUAUUAGUUGAUCAUCGAGUUGUUUUACUAGAAUCCAAAUCACUUAGCUCAAAUUACUAAUAACAAUUAUAAAUUUACACCAAAUUUGAACAAAUUUCUACCAGCCGAUGUGACUAAACUCAAAUCACUCCUAGGAAUCUUAAUAUAAACCCAUUUACUACUAGACCAGCACCUCUUUGGCUAAAAUCCACGUUGCUUUCCCACACCAAUCAUCAGCUUCUUCAAUUACAGUGCUACAAGUCCAUGUCUCUAUACCUAUUGUAACAUAUUCUACAAACAUACUGUUUUACUGUAGACUGCAAUGUUUUAAGUGUUUUUUUUUUAUUAAGUUGUUUUAUUUUUUUUAACGGUUUUUUUUAUGUCUUUCAGAAUAUUUUUUUUGCUUCGUUCUUUGUUUUUUUUUCUUUUAACAAAAGUUUUUUGUUUAAUUUAGUUUAUUAAUGUUUAAUUUUUUUAUUUAUUUAUCAGACUUUCAUGAUACAUUUUCCAGAUUUAACGGGUUAACCUGGUUUGACAAGUUAACCCAUAAUUUUUUUUUUUGCUUUUUUUAAAUUAAUUUUUUUGCUUUAGUUUAUUUUAUUAAUGUUAAAUUUCUUUCUAUUUAGUUAUCAGACUUUCAUGACAUAUAUCUAGAGUUUCACGGGUUAACACGGUUUGACGGGUUAACAUGGAUUUUUUAUUAUUUUUUUCUUUUUAAUUAAUUUUUUUCGUUUAGUUCAGUUUGUUAAUGUUCACUUUUUUUUUUAUUUCGUUACCAUACAUUCAUGACACAGAUCCCGGGUUUAACGGGUUAACCUGGUUUGACAAGUUAACCUGAAAUUUUUUUUUUUUGCUUUUUUUUUUUUAAAUUUAGUUUAGUUUGUUAAUGUUAAAUUUCUUUCUAUUUAGUUUUUUUUUCUUCAUAGAGGUUUUUUUCUUUUAUUUUUUCUUUUUAAUUAAUUUAGUUUAUUAAUAUUAAAUAUUUUUCUAAUUAGUUCUCGGCUAAUGCCUUUAGUUUUUCUUUUUGUUUCUUUUUGUUGUUUUUUUGCCUUUGACUGUGGACUGCACAAUGCAGUCCACAAUAAAAAGGUUGAUGCCUUUUGUUUUUUUUUUCUUUUUAAUUAAUUUUUUUUGUUUAAUUUAAAUUAUUAAUGUUAAAUUUUUUUUCUAUUUAGUUAUCAAACUUUCAUGAUACGAAUUCUGAGUUUGACAUGUUAACCUGAUUUGACGAGUUAGCCCAGUCAACUCAAUGAAUCACACAGAUAAAUUACACGGAAUCAGUAAAAUCAAAAUAAAACGUGUUAAUCUACUUUCUUAUGUUAUGAAAGGAGAUGAAUCCAACAAAAACAUAAUAAGCCACAGUUAAUUUUUUUAUCUUUGAGAUAAAAAAAUAUUUUUGAAAAAAUUAAAUUUUUUAUUAAUUUAUAAUUUAUUUAUAUUUUAAAAUAAUUUUAAUGUAUUAAUAUUAAAAAUUAAUUUUUAAAAACAAAAUUUUAAUUAUUUUUAAAUAAAAAUAUUUUAAAAAAUAAUUAUUAUUUUAAUACCAAAAACGCUUUUGCCUGCUUGGGAGUUAUGGUUGCGGUUGCUUUUCAAAAUGUUUUUUAUUUAAAAAUGUAUUAAAAUGAUGUUUUUUUUAUUUUUUUAAAAUUAAUUUUUAUAUCAGUGCAUCAAAAUAAUCUGAAAAAACUAAAAAAAUAUUAAUUUAAAUAAAAGAAAAAAAUUAAAAUUAAAUAAAUAUUUUUCAAAACGUUUUUAAAACAUAAAAACAAAUAGAAAUAAAUGCUAAAAUAGGAAAACAAACCAACUCUUUAUUAAAUGACAUUAUUUUUGAGAUUUUAUAUAUAUAUAUAUAUAUAUAUAAAAACUUUGGUGGACACACCAAUCAAUCCAUUCGAUUGGCCACCCAAUCUUGGGCAAGAUCGACCGUGGGUUGUAUCUUAUUACUAUGGUGAUAAGUAAUCACUCGAAAGUUCAAAACUAGCUUGACCCAUAAGAAUAUAUAUCGGAAUAAGUUAAGACUAUGAUGCCAACUUUAUUUUUUUAAAAAAAUAAAAGGCAUAAAUCAUUAAUAAAAAUCUAAAAGGUAUGAAAUUUUUAUUAUGUGUGUACCAUUGUUCACCCUUCCAUAUUUUAUUAUAGAUAAUCUAUUGUUUAAAAUUUUGUCUUUUUAAUCUGGGCCUUGAUUUUUUUUACACGAUUGCAUUCUUUUUUAACCAAAUUAAAAAGCAACUUUAUCAAAUUCGCCGACUACUGAUAAAAUUAAAAAAGAGAGGACUAAAAUAGAAAAGGUGCAAUAAAUGGAUGAUGAUUUCAAAGUUCACACAAAAAAUCAAUUUAGUCCUCACACUUUAAAAAUUAUACAUAUUCGAUUUUUCAAUAUUUUUUUAAAUUCAAUUUUAGUAUAAAAUUUCACUUUUGUUAUAUUAUAGUUCAUGGUUUGAGAGAUAAGAGAGCAAGGUCACCGGAUUCCAAAUCUAGACAAAAAAUAUUGUUGGCGUCGAUUUUGACCAUAAAAAUGAUCGAUUUAUAUGUCAAAUGAUUUCAUUUGAUGAUGGGAUUUCAGCUUAAGUGUUUUUUACUUUAAAAAUAUAUAUGGGCUCAAGAGAUUGUUCAUUUUUGGUUGAUUUUGAGUUUUGAGAUAGUUUUUUUUAUGUCAUAGACAUGUUUAUCAAAGUUCAUAUGUUUUUUUCUAGGUAUUUUGGGUAAAAAAAAAUUAAAAAUGAGUUUUUGAAUGAAAAAACCUCAAAUCUUGAUUUUUCUGCCACCACAAUAAUCAAAAUAUGAGGAAAAUCAUACGAUGCAUCAUCUAAUUUAAUUUUCUUUCAAAAAGAAAGGAGGGGGGGGGGGACUUUGCAAUGAAAGAGAAUUAUGGGUCUAAGCAUGUGGGCCUACCUUGACAGACUUGUACACGGGCCCUAACAAGAUUAGUCGAAUGGGGUGGCUCGGCUUGUCAAGCCUAGUAACACUUGAGCUUUUUUUUUUUUUUUUUAAAUUAAUACUUUUUUAUAUUCUUUUUUUCAAGUUUAAUAUUUUAUUUAUAAUUAAAUUAAUAUAUUUUCUCUCUUUUAUUUUGUUGAUAUAGCCUCUUUAAAAUUACAAUUAUUUUUUAAUUAUUUUGUAUGCAUUUAUUUUUAAAAUAUAUUAUUAUAAUUCAUCUAUAAAUGUUUUUUGUGUUUUAUAUGAAUAAAAAAUAUUUAUUUAUUUAUUUAUAAUAUUUCUAACAUGUGUAAUCUUACAUGAUAUUGUUUUUAAUUCAAUCAAUUUUACAUGUAUUUAUUUUUAUUAUUGUUUAAUUGAAUGAAAAUUUGAUUUUGAUAAACAAUGAUAUUUAAUACAAUCAGAUGAAAUGCUUGUAUUGUAAUGUUAAAGAUCUUGAUUUAUAUAUGUUUAUCGAUAUUUCAAUUUUAUCUUUAUUUAUUGUUAAUAAUAUUUUAUUUUUUAUUUUUUUAAUACACAUUAUUCUCAAUAUAUUUGAUUAUAUUUAUGCAUCAGUUUUUUUUUAUGCUUAUAAUUUUUUUUAUGUACAAAUACAUGUUGGAAAAAUCUUCAUAUAUCAUUUUUUUAUAUAUAAAAAAUAUGUUUGAUGCACUAACACGUGAGAGCUUUCACUUUUAAUUUGCAUAAUAAAAGAUUUGUUUUUGUCCUUUUUUUUUUUAUUGAUCCUUUUAAUAUUGCACUGAUCUUAUAUUGAUUUUUACGAUUUGAUUUUAUGCCAAUGAUGGGACCUUUUAGUGCUGGGGAAAUAUUACGUGCUUGGUUGAUUCUCAAUUUUUAAUAAAAUCAAAAUCAAUUGCAUUCGUAUAAAAGAACUAGAAAUUCAGGUAUUGGAAUUGAAAGACUAAAUAAAUGUGCUAUUCCUUUUGUUUGCUAACAUUGAGAAUUGAUUUGCAUAUUCAAUGAAAAAAAAAUCAAAUUCAAUUUUAGCAGUGGAUUGAUUGCCAUGAUCUAGCUAGCAGAAUUUGCUAGUGUUUUUUUAAUUAAUUUUUUAAUUUAAUCAUUUUAUAUUUAAAUUGUUGAAAUUUGACAUAAUAAUUUUUUUGUAAUUGCUUUGUGGGGUUAUUUUAACAUUAUAACUUGAGUUAUGGUUUUAACAUACUAAUUAAAGUUGAUUCGAAUUAAUUUUUAUAUAUUGAAUUAUAUAAGAAUUGAAUUUGUAAUUAUUCUUUUGCGAGAACUUUUUUAAGCAGGUCACGCUAACCUUUUUUUUAUCUUAGCCUGCAACGGCAUAACACGAACAAUCUAUCUAGUGUUAUUACUGAAAGAUCACAUGGCCAACCCAAAAAGUUCACGAAGAACACACAAUCAAAAACGCAAAAAAACAAAAGGGUUUCUUGAAUUUCAACCAAAGAAUAUAACAAAACCGAUAAAACAAAAUAAUAAAUGUUUACUUACAGAAGAUUCAUCGACUAAAAUAGAUGGCAAUUUCUUCUCAGUUGCAAUAACAACAACGUUUGCCGCUACAACACCAAAAAAAUAAUAAAAUCAACAACAUAGUACAUUCGAAAAUGACAAGAAAAUGAGAUGGUAGAAGAAACCAAAGCGAAGAGGUCACAUAGAGUAAAUGGUAAGAAUUAACACCAAAGCAAAUAAUUAAUACACUCAGAACCAAAUCUUUUACCGUUAAGAAUUAAUACUGGUAGAAGAAUUUACCUCUAUAUCAUCAAAAUUAAUAUUUGGGAUGUGAGAAAUCUUUUGCCAAUCUUCACCCAUCUCCUCCUUCCCGUAACGUUUCCUUAGAAUGGAGCAACCAUUUAUGUAUAAUUCCUGUAGAGGCGCUGCCAAAACAUAGUCUGGUAGUGCUCUCAACAACGGGCAAUCAACAAUCAUCAACUCUCGAAGUUGUGGCAUAAUGGAUAUUAUUGAAGUUGUGUUGGCAUCCCACUCUUCUACUUCUUGGAGAUGCCAAAAACCAAGAUGUUUUAAUUUGGGGAAAGCAGUGACCCUUGCAAUUUCUCCUUCAUUAAUACUGCCAUUCUCAUCUUUUUCUAUACCUAAAAAUCCAGCAUCCAGCCUUCUCACCUUCAACGAGCUCAAUACCAGGCUUUCAAGGUUGGGCAAUCUUCCCAGCGGAGGCAAAACCUCCAGGUUUUCACAAUCAAAGAGUUCAAGCCCCUGUAAUCUGGUUAAUGUCAUCAUCCAAUUUGGCAAUUCCAACCCUCCGUAACUAGAUAUGGUUAGAUAUUCCAAGUAUGACGGAGGCUGUAAAGCUUCAAUUAAAGAGCCUUCAUUCGCUUGCAACUCUGUUUUCUCUCUGUCGAAAUACAAUCGCAAACGAAGCAGGCGCUUCUUAUUCUUGAGUUGUGCUUCUGCAGCGUCACUCGCAUCUUCUUUACCUCCUCCUAGAUUCCGUAUAGUAAGACUCCCUCCAAUGUGAUUUAAGUCUUUUAAUUCUCUUAGAUUAGCUGCUUUACUUUCAUUCUCACCACCACCACACACAAUAAACAAAUCUAAUGUUUGAAGACAUGUUAUCCUCUCUAUUCCCUUUGGUAUGAAGACCACUCCUGAACCAAAAAUCCGGAGAUGCCUCAAUUUGAUAAGUUUUCCAAUCGUCUUGGGCAAUUCCUUGAGAGACCGACAGAAAGUAACAUCUAGGGAUUGCAGAUUGCAUAAAUCACAACUGGUUUCUGGCAGGGACUCCAACUCUCCACAUUGUGCCAAAUUGAGGUGUCUCAAAUGUAUCAAUUUCCCUACCUCGUUUGGUAUUUCUUUGAUUGAAGACCCUGACAAAUUCAAUGACCUGAUGCAUGUCAACUGCUUGAACAAAUCAGGCAGUGCAGCUCCAAGCGAAGGGUCUCUAGUGUCGAUCAAGAGGCUGCGAAGACCUUUUGCUUUGUGAAUGGACUUGGGAAAAGAGGUCUCCUCUGACAGCAUCAUGCUUAAAUGACGAACCCUUUCAAUUGAAGUCUCCAUUGUUGCUUCUCCAAGUGUAUUGACAUCCACUGUUAGACAUUCAUUUUUUGUCAUAUAUUGGGCAAAAUCAUGCACUAUAUCAUGCAUCUUGAAUCUAAUAUCUUCUCGAUCAUACGUCUCAAAAUCUUGGAAGAAAGAGCGCGCUGCCAAGACUUGAAAGUACUGCUCUCCUACAAGCUCCAUAUCUCCACCUGAAGUCUCCUUGAGGUAACCUUGAGCCAUCCACAUCUUCACCAAUUCAUAUUUUCCCAUCUCGUAGUCUUUUGGAAACAUGGCACAAUACAAGAAACAUCGUCUUACCACAGAAGGUAAAUCGUAGUAACUCAAAAGCAAAGGUAUAAAUAUUCGUCUUUCAACCUGAUCUCUAUCAACCUCAUCUAGCCUCCACAGUUCGCUAGAUAAAACACGAUCCCACUCUUCUCUUGUUCUUUUAGACUGCAUUAGACCUCCUAAUACCUUGGCAGCUAGAGGCAAGCCCUUGCACUUGUUUGCAAUUUUAUCGCCGAUAUCUGUCAAUCUUUCGCGCUCAUCUUCGCUUCUUUCCUGGAAUGCCACAUGAUUGAAUAUUGACCUGCAUAUCUCAUCGGACAAUUUCUCAAUGUUGAUCCGGUGGUCAGUUCCCAUCAUCGUUGCCACAGCGUCCUUACGAGUGGUCACUAGAAUUCUGCUUCCUCGUGCACAGCCUGUGAGAGAUGGUUUCAGUUGUUCCCAUUGUCCAUGAUUUUCUGUCCAGACAUCAUCAAGGACAAGAAGGAACCUCUUUCCCUUAAUGGAUUCAGAAACCCUUCGCAAAAGGGAUUGCAAUCCUACCAAAUCAGAUGCCCUCCCUUCAAGCUCCUCCAGGAUAGCUUUGGCUAUUCUAACCUCAUCAAAUGGUUCUGAAACACACACCCAUAUCUUUUUCUCAAAAUGAGCCGUAACCUCUGA